GGUUUCUAUAUACGAGAGAAGAUCAAAACCUAGUUUUCUAGGGUAUAAAAUCAAACCUUAUACCUAUUGUUACAAAACACCUCACCUUAACCCAAAGCUCUCCAAUGUCCACCUUGUAGGAGAGAUCCCAAGCCUUCAAAACCACCAAAAAUCCCUCCAAAGCCUUCUUCUCCUUCACCUCCUAGCUCUUGGAAGUGAUCUCUAAAGAGAGAAAGAGAGAAAUGAGAGAAUAGGUGUGUGUUGGCUGUGGAAGAGGGAGAGAGAGGUGUUGGGGUGUUUUAUAAGGUGCUACAAUUGCGUCUAGGUCCCCAAUUUCUUUUUAUUUGCAGCAGACCAAAUUGGUGCUGUUAGACCAAAGUGUACCGGUACACUUUGUUCUGUCACUGAUUACACGAUCACGCAAAGGCAAACCCGAGCGCACGUUUCUCGGUUACGCAAGAUUUGUACCGGUACACUUUCAAAGGUACCAGUACACUUCGGAUUUUUCUCUCAAACCCGAGAGCAAGCUCUUCUUGGUCUGCAGGGCUGUACCGGUGACAACUCAAUCGUUGUACCGGUACACUUUGCCCAGAAUGCUGGUUUUGCGUCGUUUUCGAUUCUAUUUCGCGCCGGUCGAUGUUAAAAUCCUUUUAACUCUUUUAGAACUCCUUUUCAACCCUUCCAACAUUGUUGGAAUGUCAACCAGACUUUGUCCAUCCAUUUCUCUCGGCAUUUUAACCAAUUUGGCUAAAGUUCGAUAAUCGCUAUCGAGCUUUCGAUACAUUACAUAUUUUGUAUUUGAAACUAAUCCAAAUCAUCCUAUGUAAUAUUUAUUUUCCAUUUCAACUUGGUUUAACAUAGAAUACAAAUUAGUUUAACUAGAAUGUAGUUAGAUAUGUAGUCAAGGCAAUUAAACUGAUUACAUUCAUAAACUGUUUAUGUUUUGUAGUGUUUGGUUUGAAGAAAAAAAAAUAGUUUUUCAUCAAUAUUUAUUUUCUUUGAAAGAAAAAAAAUAAAUGAAAAGUGCUCUAUAUGCAAGAAUUUUUAACUUUUUUGGUUGGUCCCUAACUGAAAGAUGUUUUAGAAGUCUUUUGAUUUUAUUGUCUGACUAACCUGAUUUUUUUUUUUUUUUUUGCAGAAAUUUCAAAAAAAGGAAGAAUUGGUGUUUAAUUCUGAGUGAAUUCAUAAAAUAAGUUGAAGAACUCGUAGAAAACUUUGAUUUCAUAUGGAUUUUAUUUCUGUUAGAUUGAAAACUUCUUUGAAUAAAAUUUUUAAUUGACAAUUCUGUUUACUCUGCAAAUUCCUAUUUGAUUAAAUGAUUUGGCUUGUCUUGUUUGACAAUUGUCGUAUGUAAUCAAAUUUAAAUUUGUUUGAAUGAUGAAUUUGUUCUUAUAUCUCAAUUUAAAGAGUAUUAAAUUUUUGUCUAGUUUUUUUUUUUAAUUGUAUGUUUUAUAUUUUGUAUUAGAUUCACAACAAUUACGAAACCGAUGGUAUAAAUUUACUAAUUUAUACUAGCGCUUUUUACUAUAUUUAGUAGCGGUCGGAGAAGCGUUACUAAAAUUAUUUUCUCCAAUGGUUGUAUAAACUGUCGGUAAAGACUUUUAGCGACAGAGAUCUAACAGCGGUUAUAGAACUUUUCUCGGCGGUUUUACAAAUGUCGGGAAAUAUUUUUCCAGCGAUCCUAGACACUUUUCCCAGCGGUUUCGACCGCUUCUAAAACCUAUUUUUUUUGUAGUGUGUGAAAGCCAAACCUUUAUCUCCACCCUCUCUUUUUUUAGUGGCUUCAUCUUUCUCCAAGCUUAGAAUUGGACAAGAGCACUUGAAGAAGGAGCACUCCAAGGGUGAGAUCAAGUUCUUCGACAAUUAUUGAUCCACCUAAUGGUAAGUGAGAUGAGUUUCUCGUAUUUUGGAUGUGAUUUUAGGGUUUUCUUAGAUAAAGACUUUCAAAAGUUCUAACUUGAUUAGAACUUCUUCUUUAGGCUUGAUUAGAAGCCUCAACAACAAAAAUCCACUUUACGAUGAGGCUCUAGUGACUUGAGGUGGGUUAUGCUUUUCGAAAUGGUUGGAUCCUUUCCUCUAUCUCUAAAUCCCUGUUUCUCUAACUUAUGGUUGCAUGAUUUGAAUAGUAAGGUUUUUUGAUAUUCCUCCUCCUUUUAUUUGAUAUGCAUGCAUAGUAGAUGAUAGCUACAUCCCAUCUUUGGAAACUUAUGAUUUAGCAUACAUGAGUAGAGAAUGACAAUAUUGUGUCCUCAUAACCCUAUCACUUGUAUGAUUAGCAGUAAAAGUUAUCUUAUCAUGAGAUGCUUGAUUAGCAUAGUUGCCAUGCAUGAUUACCAUAAGGGGCCGUUUGGUUCCCACUAUAAAAUAUUACUAGGAGUAAAAAGAUGUUCGAGAAUCUUAUUUCUAUUCAUUCUAUUACUAAGAAUAUGACAUUCCGGUGUUUGGUUCGCACGGUCAUAUUAUUUAGUCAUGUUAUUUAAGAUUACGAAAAAUAUACAAUUAAUUUAUUUAUUUUGUUAAUAAAGUUUAGAUAAUAUUAUAAAAAAUUUCAACAUCUUUUUAGAAAAAAAGGAGAGAAAAUAUUGGUUAGAGAGAGAGCAUAAUUAAAGAAAAUAUGAAGAGAAAUAGAGUCGAGGUUAGAGGGAGUGAGAAAAUUGAGACUUUAGAAAAAGAGGGGGAGAGAGAGCUUUGUUUAGAGAGAGAAAAAGAGUUGAAGUUGAGAGAGAAAAAGAUAAGUUUGAAGAGAGAUAUGAGGUUAGAGUGUAAAAAAAAAAAUACUAACUAACCGGCAGGUAGGAAAAAAGAAAGAGAUUAGACAUAUUAUAAUUACUCUAAUCCAUUAAUAUGAGGAUAUCCACCCUCCUUCAAAGGAAUGAGAUUAGUACUUUGGGAUGAAUCUCAUUCCCAAGUAAAUCCAAUAUUACAAAUUAGAUUACUUAGUGCGUUUAGCCAAACACUGUUAUAUUUUUUUAUUCCUAUUAGAUUAAUAGGAAUCUUAAAAAGAUAGCGCGAACCAAACGCACCCUAAAGAUUUAUGAAUUUGUAAACCUAGUAUGGUUAAUAAACGAUGAUGACAAUUAUCCAUUUUGGUACCUUCUAGUAGCAUGCUGUAUUUACCAUUGUGAUACUUUCUUCAUGAGAAAAGCAUGCUAGGAUAGCAGGUACCACUAUUUUAGAAUAGGCGCUCUUCAUUGUGAGAUUUUUGACCAAGCUUGCGCUAGUUGUUUAUUAGCUUGUAGAGUUUGCGACUACACGGGCAGCGUCCCUCCGAAGGUGAUUAUACAAAUUGGGGGAUAGACUGCCGAGGUGGGCGUAGUGCCCAUAAAGCCGUGACGAGCAAGCUUGGAACGGACCAUGUGGUCGGUUGAUGGUAAAAUUGGAUCCUUGUGACAAAUGUCACAUUGCUAGGAUUUGAGACAUAUAUCGGCAAAGUUGAUCAUGUUGGACCUACAUGUACCCUGUACUUUGUAGAGGCAUUGUAGCGACAUCUUUACUUAUACUCCGUUAUCCUAUUAUUUAGUUGCUUUAUAUCUCGCUUAUUCAAUCCUAUUAACUCAUUUAGACCUAGUGUGGACAUUUGGCCAGGUUUGGCGGUCGUACCCACUAGAAACUUAUUGCAGUUCUCACACCCUCUUAUUGAUAUUUUUAUUACAGAAACAUCUAUCAACAGUGAGGCGCAUGAUCACGUCAAGGGUGUCGUGAACUAGUUAGAAGGCUACCCUUCACGUGUUGUAGGCGACCCAUUUCGUGACAUGAUAUCAUGUAUUUAUAACAUUAUGAGAGAAGAAGAAAUGUGUUUCGUUUUGGUGAUGGAAUUGUAUAAGGAAUAAAGAUUAGCUUGUAAAAGUUUAUAGUAUACUAGUUUCACUCUAAUGCUAGAUGGUACAUGAUCUCGUAUGUGAUGUACAAGUUGAAAGUUUUUAUCCGUUUUGUGCGGGCAAAGGAGACUCUGUGCAUUCAGCGGGUCCAUCGCACAUGCACGAGAGAGAGCCUCGGGUGGUCCGGUGUGAAGGAAACAAAUAAAAAGGAUACAAGGGAUGGUUGGUGCUAUCCAAAAGAAUUAUUAACAUUACAAUACGGAGGAGGAGGUGAAUGUUAGGUCAGCUAAUUUGGUAAAUUUUGAGAUUUACUAACUAGUCAUGCAAUAGUCAUUGGCUGUUCUUGAUAUAGUUCGAUCAUAAAUUUAAUGAAACAUUGAAAUAAAUUGAAAAAAGUAAACUUUCAGGCAAAACAGUAGUCUACAGUUUUACAUUUCACUCGAUAUGACAAUAACUGUUAGAUUAUCCAUCUAUGACUACAAUUCUAAGUGCAUCAAUGAGUCAAUCAAGACGAGAUAUUAUUUAAAGUUGUCCAAAUUUUCCGAAAGAUGAAGAAUUAUAUCAUUGAUGUUUAUAAUAGACAGUGCAUCUAAUAGAUCAAUUUGACAACCAUCCACAAUAUAGCGGAGCUAAUUCACAUAAAAUGCCAGUUCAAGAAAGUAACAAGAAAGACAUAUACAUGGAUUCCACUCAAAUCUAGUAUUAAAUUUUACGAGGAAGAACUCAUCAACCAAAAGAUAACAAUCGAUACACAGUAAUAGUCAUAACUGAAGACCGAUCAUCAAUAGUAACAGCAAAAUGGGAAUAAAUCCCAAAACCGAGAUGAAUUAAAAAUGAAAACAUCUAUGUUGUGUUUUUACCCAAUGUAAAUAAGCAUUAGGGUCUGUUUUGCAAUUAUUGAAAAAUAAAAUAGAGUUUUAUUUUACACUGUAUUUUGACAUUUUGAAAACUCCAUAAAAAAAAAAUUUACUUAGUAUUUUAUUAUUUGGAUUGUUUCUUAAAAAAAAUACUCGGAUUUUAUUCUUAUAUAAAGUAAAUUAAGAAAAAUUGUAUUAAUUAAAACAAAACUUCUUCGUUUAUGAAUCAAAGCAUGAAAAAAAUAUAUAAUUCAUUUGUAGAUUGUAUUUGUUGAGCCAAUAAGGUGCGGACAUAUGGUAUACCGGUACUCCAUUCAAUUAUAUAGAUUCACAGUGCACCGGGAGUAUCGGAAGGAUCUAAAACCGCAUGAUUUAAAAGAAGUUACAGUAACCGCAAGCAGUUGCAAGCAGUUCCGAUCGACUAGAUGUGACGCCCCGACUUCCCAGGGGGUCACCCAUCCUAGGACUACUCCCGUCCUAGCACGCUUAACUCUCUUAACCUCUUGGGUCUAGCCACCACCCAAAAUGCUUAAGCCGGGUUAAGAGUUUAGCCCUAUUAUAUCUUAUAUAUAGGACUAUCUGGGGUCUCACAAUCUCCCCUCCUUUAAGCCCUGACGUCCUCGUCAGGCUCAGACUCACAAGUACCAGGCGAUGUGAGACUCGUCUCGCUAGCCCGUCAUCCAGACCCUGGCUCAGCCGAGACUCAUCUCACACUUCCGGCUGGUAAUUGGCUCUGAUACCAUCUGUGACGCCCCGACUUCCCAGGGGGUCACCCAUCCUAGGACUACUCCCGUCCUAGCACGCUUAACUCUCUUAACCUCUUGGGUCUAGCCACCACCCAAAAUGCUUAAGCCGGGUUAAGAGUUUAGCCCUAUUAUAUCUUAUAUAUAGGACUAUCUGGGGUCUCACACUAGAAGUGGUCCGGAAAAUUAGGAAAUAAUGGCCGAUCGUGUAAAAGCAAUAACUGAUCAAUAGGGCAAUCUAUAAAUAGAAAAAUAACGUCCUAAAAAGGGGUCUUUUUCCUGUGAACAAAUGACCGCCUUUAUUUCCUUAUAAUUUUCUGCAUUUUUUAGGAGUAGUCUACUUGUAACUUUUAUUUUUCCGCAUUUACUGUUCUUCCUAGGAGUAGUUCAUUAAAUAGAUCAACUGAGUCUGCAUGCCAUCCGGCACACUUAACCCCUGUACUUCUUACCAAUUAAUAUAAAGGCAUUCGGUUUUUCAAGCUGACCAAUUCCUGUGUUCGUUAGUCAUUCGGCUCUUCGGCCGACUUCAGUUCUUGCUUGGUUCGUGCAUUCGGCUCAUCCAGCCGAACCGAAUUUACUGUAGAGGUUUCGAACCCGGCUGAUCCGAUCCCUCGUCAGCUGAAUCGCUUGAUCAAUCGAAGGGCGCAAACUUCGAGGAUCACCAUUCGAAGCUGUUUUCAUCCUGACACGCUCCCCGAAGAGGAUCUUUGACCGGGUCAAGAGUCAGGGAAUUCGGCUCGCAACAGUAUCAAAUUGAGAACUUUUAAAAAAAUAAUUAAAAACAAAAUAAUUAAACAAGUAUCAUAGUAAGCGUAAUUCUUCUUCAUCACAAAUUUCAAAACAUAACAAAUUUCAUCACAAAUGUCGAAAAAUCACAAAUUUUGUCGUCUUCUUUAUGGUCGCCAGGCACUCCCUCAUUGCUCGAGUUUUUUACCGGCUGUGAUCAUGUUCUUGCCUUAAUGAUUAAAUAAAAAAAAAAAAAUCAGUUGGGAUCCAAAUCGCACGUCAUCCCUUUCCCGCAGAGAGACUCCCCCUUCCCACCCCUUUCUCUGCGAUUCCUAAGGCAGCGGCGGUAGCAGUGAUCAUCUCCGUCUCCUUUUCCAGCCCCAUCUCCACAACCCCAUCUCCACUGCUAGUCCGCUACUGCUGCUUGCAUCCAUCUCUUCCUACGAUUAUUCCUCCUGCAGUCGUGGCCGUUAGCAUCCAUCUCUUCCUACGAUUAUUCCUCCUGCAUCAUGGCUGUUAGCAGGAGCGCAUUGUCAUUGUAGUCUGCAGAGUCAUUGGCAGUGGCACCAGGGAAGGCGAUGACAUCAUUGUUAUCAUCGUCGUCGGAGCGAGUAGAGGAGGGAGGAGGAGAGAGAGGAUGGGGAGGAAGGAUGAGAGGGAGUGAAGGGAGCGGUGAGGGAGACGACUUCUAACCAAACUUUUUUUAUCCCUAAAUUACUCUGUAAAAUAUAUAUUAUAAAGUAAUUUUUUUACUUUAUUAAACCUUCCAAAAUUACUCUGUAAAAUAUAUAUUAUAAUAUCUUAAGAAGCAUCUAUAUUAUAAAGAUAUUAUAUAGAUGCGUAAUAGGAUUACAUUUCAAGUGAACAGGCAAGCUGUAACACACAUUUGAAUAUAUUGACUACAAUUUUUGCACCAAUUACAAACUAUGAGGAACAGAUUAUUAUUUGUAAUGAAUUAACAUAUCUGGUAAGUGGGCCAAGCCGCCAAAGUAUUGUGCCCAGGAUUUUGUCAAUCGAUAACUGUUUAAUAAAUGUUGUCUAAAAGAAAGGAUUUGUCUUUUCACCCACCUAUGACAAGAAACGAUGGACAAACGGCCAGACAAAUGAAAAAGUUCAAAAGGGAGAAGGGAGGAGGGAGAAAAGUUUUGUUCAACCCUCAAACAACAUCUUUUCCUGAACAACGACCUCCAUAUAUACCCACCUAGAAAAGAAUGAGAUCAGAUCGAAAAGCAAGUAGCACAAACAAGUAAGCAACUAAGUUUGCUUGGGAAAACAAAUGCUUCCGAGCAAGUUAUACCCUCAAUACGGCAGAUGAUGGAUUUCUCUAAAGUGAUGAUAUUAAGGAACCAAAGAUUCCUCUUUUGUAAUGGAGAAAAGAUGACACUCAAAUGCUCUAAGGGACUAGUUAGCAGGCAACAUCUCCAACUACAUAGGAACCCAAAACUUUUCUUUGGUGUAUAGCAGUUAAAUCCAGUUCCAGGAACUUGAGUCGUAAAUCAACGUGCAGAAGUUGCAUCUCAACCUACACCCAUUGAGAAUACAAGAGGAAAAGUAGUAGUUAUGAUUUCGUUUCACUGAUUUAAAACAUUUCAGAAAUGUUCUGCAUUUUCUUUUCAAUUGAUUAGAUUGCUGACAAGCAACUCGUAACAGUAGGCAUAUUGACAAGGGAUGAAAUCAUACAAGCUUCUCUAGCAGGAGGAAUUCUAUACUGUCACACUUGCACUACGUCAUCAAUAACAAGCCAAUUACAUUUCUUUUUUCAAACAAAAGUACAAUAAAAAUAUUUUUUUAUAAUCAUGAUGGGGCAUAUACUCCUAAAAGGAGACAUUUGAUUAGUUUGUUACGCCACGUCACCAAUAUAUCCGUUGCAUUCUAGAAUUUUUCCUCUAGUAGGUAUCUUAAAUCAACAUGAGGGGGGAACUUUUUCUUAUCGGCAUACCCAGUUGGAUGAGAUUUAUUCCUCGCUAACAAGAAUUCACAAUUGCCUUGUGUUCUUCCAGCCCAAGUUGCGAGCUAACAAUAUUACCAAUUGCAAUAGAAAAUGUGAAGCAUUCCCAAAGUGAUCCAAAUUAGUGAAACAAAUUGGUGAAACAAGCACCCCGUAGGGAAUAAAUGUCACCCCUCUGCCCAAUGCUCAAAGAAAAAAGAGUAAUAACUAAGGAAUAGACUCACUACCCAAUAAAUAAAGGGAGAAAAUUGACAAAUCCAACAUCAACUGCACACAACCAAACCAAAAGGCAAAAAAGAAAGUUACAGUUACAGCGAGAAAGAGAAGACGCAGCUGCAAACGUGCCUAUCCAACUAGAAGCAUCUCUAGCGACACAGCAUUUUAUAACUCCAUCAAGCUAAUCAAACUCUCAAUCUAGUGACAAUUCGCACCAGAAAUUAACAUGUAAAAACAACUCUAUUGUGACAAUCAAUCAAACAUGUGCGGUAAGAAGAUACCAUAAUACAGACUAUGCCAUUCUUAAAUCAGUUAGAGAUAGCAAGCAGACAGCAAUCAUGAAGUUCUAUUGACUCGGGACCGUAGAGAGAGCGAUCUAGGCAUGAGAAUAUUUAAACUACCGCGACAAAAUAACAAAGGAGCAAAACUGAAAGGCAUUAGAUAAUGAUUGUUCUUAAGCAGUAAGUUGCAAUAAUUAAAUCAACUAUCUUAGAGUAUAAAUAGAAAUAAAUUUAGCAUGAUAUAUCAAUCAUUUGCUACUUAAACACUCAGACUAUCAAUUAUGAUAUGCAUGAUAUUGAAAAUUUAUUUUGAUUAUCGUUCAUCGGUUCAUGUGGUACUUCGUUUAUUUUUCUCUCAGUAUUUUUCUUAAAUAAACUAGAAAUUUCAAUGAAUAUAACAUUGCAAUGCCAAAAAAAUAUUUUUCUUAAAUAAACAGCAUGUGGACUGCUCAAUUCAUAAUUGUCCACAUCCUACAUUUUCAUUAUGCGAUGGAUCGACCGCUUGUACGCUAAAUUCAGCUCUUUCAGAACAAAAGUUCUUACAUUCUACUAGAAGAUGCUCAACAGGAACUUCUAUGGAAAAAAAAAAAGAAAAAAAAAAAACAUAAUAUUAAGGGAAUGAAUUCAAAAGAUCCAAAGUUAAGGGCUCUUUUCGAAAUUAUCUUGAAAGCCAGCAGCUUGGAAACAGAUUUUCCUUCUAUAAUUUCGAUGUGAUAGUCAACACUUCAAUGCCCAACUUAGCCAAACUUAUUAAUUUAACUUCUAUUACAUGUCUCUAAUGUAAUCAUAGUCACAUAUUUACAAGUUUAAUAAAGAAAAUAAAGCACUAAAAUAAACAAGCAAAACUAGAAUUUCCAGCAAAACCAGUGUUCCAAUAGUGUUCACGUAUUCACAAAUUCAAUGAAUCACUAAACUGUAGCAUUUGAAUAGUUUAAAGAUCCUAUGGAUUUGAUUAUGAUGUACACAAAAAAAAUAGCCACUGACUCCAAUAUUCUAAAUUCAGUCUGCAAGAAAAAUAUUUAUAAUUUGAUUAUCAAAGGUCUUCAAAAGAUGAAGACUUGCACCAUGCCACCAUUAAUGCUUAGUAGUGUAGGGCCCACAUUUCGCGGCGAGAGGUAGUAUUUCAGCCAAUUAAUUGGGAUUGAAAAAAAAUUAUAACAAAAAAGAAAUACAAAAAGAAAAAAAAAAAAUAAAGUACCCUUUUAUGUACAUUAUAAAAAGGGAUAAUAUCUGAUACGCCCUUCAAAAUAUCAAAAAUAUCUUAAAUAUCCCUGGAGGACCAAAAUAUUCUUGUUGAUUUUAAAAAAUUCCUUCAAAUAUCGCCAUUUCCCAUAGGGUUUUCUAAUGGGAUUUGGUUUUAAAAGGAUAUUUUUGUAAUUUAAGGGUAAAUUUGAACAAUUUGAAUAGUAAUGGGCAAAUACUAAUAAAAAUUAACCAUAACUUUCAGUAUUUCUAGAGUUAAAUACUUAAAGUAUUCUAAUAACUACUAGUUAACUUCUUGGAGAUUAUCUAACUACUGAUUUACCUGUCGAACAACUUCUUCGAUGUGAUGCCAUAGUUGAAUAAUAAUAAUUUUGAGAUGUUAUAACAGAUGAAAUGCUAGCAAUCAGUUUUUGAUAGCUAAACCAGCCGUCACAUCAUAAUUUCAUUAAAAAAAAUAAUUUAAAUUUGCGAAAUAAUCUAAGGCAAAAUAUUUAAAGUUCAAUAUCUCUACUGAAAUAAAGUAAAGUUCACCGACCUAAAUGAAAUUUCACUAAAAGUUUGGCGACCAACAGUGAAAUUUACUUAAAUAAAUAUUAACAAUGCUACGUACACGUAAAACAAAAAAAAUUCCACGACAAUUAUAUAUAUGAAAAUCGAGAAAGCAAUCAUCAAAUGAUCGAAGUCACAAUUACUGACCUCUAAACUUGAUAACUGUGUACAACUCGCUCAUGGUCCAUCAAGGGACGAGGAACUUGAGAACUCAAAUAUUUUCCAAACUACUUCCAAACUUGCACCGCAUAAAUCCAUAAACAAUACUCUCCUAAGUCCUAACAAUGGCAAAUCGCACUUUUCGCGAGGAGAAGGCAUUCUGUUAGACGCCAACUUCAAACAACUAGAUUUUGCCCCAAAAGCCUAGAUGUUCAUGAGGGUGAGGAAAAGGUCUAUAAAAUUGUAAGGCGCAUGCUAAGAUAGUAGUUCUACUACACAGACAUACAAAGCGUUAUCGAACAAUUUAGUUAAAGAAGUGCUGCCCAGGGCAACAUAUUAUAAUUUUUAAGAAACUGUAAAAUACGCAGAUCCCGUAUGCGAGUUAGAGCUAGCAAUAACACGGGAAACUAAACUCUCUCAUGAGUCAUGAUAACACAAAAUUUAAAGGAGGAUAAGGUUGAUCGGGUUUCACCAAGGGACAUUUCGCUAGUCCUCGUUCUUCUUCUUCUUCUUCUUGUCCUUCUUGCUCAGCAGCUCAUCGGGGACCACUUUCAGGAGCUUCCUGUCCUUGGACUUGGCAAUCUUCUUGAGGGUCUUGGGGUUGGUGAUUUUCUGCAACUUGGUGCCGGAUCUGAGGAUGUUCUCCUGCUUCCUCUUCUCCCUCUCCUCCCUCGCCUUCCUCUUACUCUCCUUGCUCUGGCGGAUUUUCUCCUUGAGCUCGGCCAUGCGCUCCCGAUACGCCCGCUUCGUCUCCUUCUCGAUGGUGCGCAGCUCCAGCGACUUGCCGCGGCGGGAGGCGGCGACGGCGGAAGCGCGGUGGGCGCGCGCCUGCUUCCACUUGCGGCCGGAGACCCUGCCGGCGAUGACGCCGUCGUACGUGGGGCGGCCGAAGGAGGCAGGCUUGUCCGGGUCCUCCAGAGAGGGCAGAGCGGCCCGCUUCCACGGCGGCGGCCCGCCAGCGUCGAGGUCCAUGGACGAGGAGGCUCGGCCGUCGUCGUCGCGGUCCUGGCCGACCUCGGAUUCCACCCGCUUCCGCUUGUUCUUCGCACCGCCGACGCCUUCGUCCAAGAAGCGGAAGUCCAGGCCGGACGCCAUGCUGAUUAGUUAUUAGCGUUUCUUUCUUUUUUUCCUUUUGGAGGGCGCCGCGCGGCGGAGAUGAUCGCGCGGGGGUCCAAAAAGAAAGGAAGCAGUAGCCGCGAGCGACGGUCUUGUUAUUAGGGUUUUGAGUCACACGAUUGCUUUUGUAACAGAGGGUGGUGUGUUUACAAGUUUAGGGGGAAAAAAAUUAUAAGAGAGUAUUUGGCCAAGCUUUUUAAAAGUAAUUCUGUGCCUAAAAAUAAUUUUCGGCUCAGUAGAAUAUUUGAUAAUGGAGAUUUUAAAAUCUAAUUCUGCUUCUGAGAAUCAGAAAACUGAUUUUUCAUCCUCUAUAAGCAGAGGCAGAAAAAAACUGCUUCUCAAAACUAAUUCCCGCAAAAAUAGUUUUCUCACUUAAAAAAUUUUAUGAAAAUACCGAAAUUACCCCUAAACAAACAAUAUAAUUAUACUCUAACCUUUUAUCACUUAAUACUUUCAACUACCCUCCUCUCUCUCCCAUUUUACCACAGCCAACCUCUCUCUCCAAAAAAAUUCCCCUUUCCUUUCUUCUCUCCUCCAUCUCUUUCCUUUCUUCCUCUCCGGUGACACCUCUCUCCGGUGAAUCUUUUCUUUCCGGCGAACCUCCUCUCCGGCGAACCUCCAAAGAAGGUACUCUGUCACGCCCUGGACUUUAGUGGAAGCUCAUCAGUCACGUGUACAGACCCGCCGUAUACACCUCAACCCUCAAGUGUACACCAGGCGUCUACAAAUCAAUAUAGCAGAAAGGAUAAUAUCUUGACCAGGUAAUCAGAGCGAAACUAAAAGUUCAUAAACUUAUACAAAAUAAAACUUUAUUACAACUUAAAAAAAGUACAAAGUACAUUCUACAUAGUUCUAGUAUACAACACUGAAAUAAACUAGAAAAGCUGAUAUGGUUUCAUCUAUUUAACAUCGAGGAGGCUCUAACUAUCCGUUGACCCCUUGCUAGGAACUCUAGCCUUCCCCGCUAUGGAAGGCUCUGUAUAAAAACAAUCAACAAAAGGGCGUGAGAACUAUUAAACAAUAGUUCCCAGUAGGUAAGCCACCGAGAGUGGCGAAGUACACCACUAGGUUAACUGAGGCAUAAAUAACUGUAACAAGUAUGAAAAGUAAAUGCAACAAGCAAAGUAAUUCAAUCAUAACAUGCCUCAAUAAGAUCUAUUUUCUAACAUGUCUUAUAUGCUACUCGUCAUAAAUACAAGUUCAGUAAGUUAGGCUAAUUAUCAAUUUAAUCACCUAUAUGUCAUGCUGAAUAUCAACAUUAUCAUUGAACUGACUAAUGGCAUCAUAUAGUUAUUUCCUACACUAGCAAGAGUGUAAACAUUUCGGAACUGUUACUAAACUAUUGACUGAUAGGGAUGUCAACCUUCUAGUAUACUCAUUACUAGGUAUAUUCAACUAAUGACAUAAAGUAUCUUUAUUACUAUGUCCAUCUAAGGUUAAAGUCUUUAACAUUAAACCAAUUAAUAAGAGACUUACAUAUGGUAAAGUCCCAGCCCGUGCCGUGCCCAAUGGUCCCGUGGAAGUCAAUACUACCCACGGCAAUCCACCUCGGCGUUCAGUCUCGUACAAAAGCGAGUAAUCUGUCGCUAGGCUAACUCCAGAGUGCCGGCUUGUGGGGCGCGACUCUCACAAGCAUGUGCGAAUGAGCACAUUGGCAAGCAAGCAUAAUCCAUAACAUAGGUAUCACAAGUUCAUCAUGUCUCUAAUAUGGAAUCUCAACUCGAUACAAGGUCGACACUGUAAUAGUAAGUCAUAAUCCACUAUCAAUUACUUGGUGACAUAAUUUUACCAAUAGAUAGUAUGACUUAAACAAGUACAUGCUUUACAUCAUAUUGAUGAUUCUAACGGGCUAUACCUACAUACUCACAUAUAGCUCUCUCACUACUUCCUAUACAUAAGGAAAGUGGUUUACUAAGAUCAUACUUAAUAACUCAUUCUAGUGUUCAUAUAACUCAUGGCACAUAUUCUAUAGUUCUACAUAAACCUCCACUACCUGGAGUAAAGGAGUAUUAGGCAAGUACUUCUACUUGACUACACAGGUAUAUCCUCAUAUCCAAUUCUAGUUAUUUAACUAGAUCAUAUUCAUAGUAUAACAUUCAGGUUAUGUUACAAUGCCCAGUUCUAGUUACUUGACUAGAUCAUAUAUAUAUAUAAGAACAUGAAAUUCAUGCUAUUUGUAUUCUGUGAAAGCAAUAACCAACUUGUCAAUACAAGUAUGCGAAGCAUCCUCAACUGUACUCUUAACAUGAUUUUCGUAUAAUUAUAUAAGCAUGUAACUUCACUAUACAUGAUAUGCUAAGAGUUCUAUUAACAUGUCUACAACAUGGAAUUGCAUGAAUUUAACGCAAAGAUACAUCAUCACAAUACAUCAUUCACUUAGUUGUCCAACUGAACUAAAUAUCAUGUUCUUGGCUUAACAGCUAUUUCAUAUUGAAUGAUGUUGUACUUAACUUGUCCACACAGGUGUACUAAUAACAUGAAUACAUGCUAACCAAGCAAGCAGUCUAUGUAGACCAGGCAAUUUCACAACCCUUCCUCUACUGCAUAGAGGUUCCAUUUUAUGCGAUAUAAUAUGCAUAUUGAUGCAUGUCCCAAUUCAUUCAAAUAUCCAUAUAUUCAUGUGAAUAUGCCACAAUUCCAAUUUCAUAAUGUCAAAGAAGACAUAGAGGGAAUUCACCCAUUUCGGUAAGGUCAAACCACCAAGUAGUCGACGCCUCGUUGAUUCCGCCAUUGAAGGUAAUCCGAAGCCUCCGAGGACCAUAACAAUGAUUCUAAAAUCAGCUAGGAGUUUAACCAAGCUUCCACAUAAUAAACCCCACAUAAUCACAUAGUCUAGGUUAGAAUCUCACCUAGAAUAAAAUCCAGCUUUAAUUCUACUUCAAUUCAGGUUGGAGCACCUCAAAUUUACCCCUUUAAAGCUCACAAAUUUGAGCUAACGGGGUUCAACAACUUACUGCGAAUCUGCUUUGAACAUACCCCAAGAAUUCCAUCAAUACUCUACCAAUACAUCUCAAUUUAGUAAGAAGUUAAAUUGCUCACCUUGCACGGCUCUAACUCGGGUUAAAGCACAUCAAAAUCAGUCCAUAAGAGACACUAAACUCAUCUCAAAGGAGUCCAAUUCCCUGCUGUGGACUGCAUUAAAACUGUUUCAAAGCUACAACCAAUACAACUAUUAUAGCAUCAGGAUAAGGAAAGGUAGUUAGCUAAUCACCUUGUACAGCUUCAACUCAGGUUCGACUGAGUUGGGAGUGAAGAAUCACAACAAAAACACCCUUUCUUCAGCUGCUACAAGCAUCCCCAACUCUGCUGGCAGCAAAAACAAAGAACAAGCUCAACUUCCCUACUACAACUAUCAAUACCUCAAACUAGAGAGGAAAGUUAGAUUACUAACCUCACUAAGCUUUAACUCAGUUCCCAACUAAGUUAGAACAGAGAAACACCUCUUCUAUAGCUGUUUAGUUCAUCCCAAAACCAGCUGAUAACAAAAAACCAACAACCAACUCAACUUCACUAGUAUAGCACUAAUCUAGAGAGAAGUUGAAUUAUUUACCUUACCCAGUCUCAACUCAGCUUCUCAACUCAGCUUCUUGCUGAGUUAGGGCCACGAAAUACCUCCCAAAAUCUCCUUCUCCAACAACAAAACACAGCUCCAAGCCUUCCAACCAGCUAACAAUCAAAGAGGAGGAAGAACUAAACUCAAAUCCACUAGUUUUCCACUUCAAAAUGGAAAACCUAGAGAGAGAAAGGGAAAGAGAGAAGCUCCUACCUUAUCCUCAGCUCCAGAGGGAUAAGGAUAAGCUGAGGGGUCGACCAGAGCUGAUAAGAACAUGUUUUGGAAGUGAAAAGAGCAAAACAACCUUGCUGCCACGCAGCUACAAUGCUGGUACCGGUACCCCAUCAUUUUGUCACCAGUACACAGUGCCAAAAUACAGAUUUUUGCAUUUUGUAAUGCACUUUUGCUCUUCCGGCCACUUGUUCGCUCCAGUAACUUGUCGAAAAUCUCUCGACAACUAUUCAAAAAAUGUAGACUAGCUCCAAUUACCAUUCUAACACUCGAACUUCGCAACAUGCCAAAGUUCAGUGUACUACAUACUCUCUUCUCUCUUUUUUUUUUUUCUUUUUUUUUUUUUUACAGCUUUCUCUCUCUCCCUCUCUGUCUUUGUCGGAUCUGGGGUCGAAUCCCCUUAUGGAAGCCAUGAGCAUUGGCCACGCCGAAUUCGUUGCCGGCCCGGCGUGAGUCCAGCCGCGCCGGGGCUGGAUUCGGCAAAGACGGAUCCCGCAGGAUCCAAGCCGACGGGAUCCGUUCUUGCCGAAUUCGGGAUCCGCAUCUGGUGAAAAUUGAAUUUCUCACUUAUCCAUCAACUCAACUCCUAUUUAACUAUGCUUUUUUGACAUUAAAGUUGAAGCCAUUGAUGAGAUUUUUAUGGCACUUCUCUUUGCAUUUCUCACUUAUCCAUCAACUCAACGGAAGCGGUUUUUUCUUCAUGUAUUUCUGAGGCAAUUGUUCUACUGAUUUCAAAACUCUGGUAACCUUCUUAUGUUUACUUUGAUGUGCUAGAUUUGUCAUUACAGUAGAAAGCUAUCAAAGUCGCUUUUUUUUUUAUAUGAAGAGAAGAUAUAGAGGCUAAUGACUUCUGUCAUUUAUGAAAGAGAUUGUCAUUAACCUUUUCUUUUCCCCACGAAAAACUAUACUGGAGCAUGAUACUUGUGGUCUGUUGUAGCCAAACUGGUUGAUUAAUCACUUCAAGUUGCUUAUUAUUCCAAGCCUUUCAUAUUUCAAGUAGUGACACUUGAAUUUUCACCGGAUGCACAUAAACUGAAUUUUCAAUUACUUUCAUAAAAAUUAAGUUGCAAGAAGACCAAGCAUUGUUGCAACCUUUUUUGAUGUCUAAACUUAGCAUGUGUGUUUGAUUGUUUGAUUAGUUUGUAGUGUGUAAUGUUUUAAAAUUUUAUUUAAUUUGUACUAUUGUGUACUUUGUAUCCGAUAUUUCGAUUAUUUGUUGUGCAUUUGUGUUGCUUGUAUUUUUUAAUACAUAAUUUAUUUACUAGAAAGUUGAAAGAUGAAUCAAUCACAAGGAGAACCAUCUACCCAGAAAGAAAGAAAAAUUAAACCUACAUGGGAUGCAUCAUUGCUCAAAAUUUUUUGCAAAAUAUGUGUUGUAGAGGUCAAUGCCGAGAACCGACCUAAUACUCAUUUUAAUAGAAUUAGAUGGCAAAAUGUGGUUAAUAAGUUUAGAGAGAAAACAAAUAGAGCGUACGACAAAAUACAAUUGAAAAAUAAAUAGGAUUCUCUUAGAAGGGAUUAGGUUUUAUAGAUGCAAUUAGUUGGUAAUUAAAGAGACAGAAUUAGGAUGGAAUCAUGUAAGGGGUAUCAUUGAUGCAAGCCCUGAAUGGUAGGAGGAGAAAUUAAAGGUCAGUAUAUAAUUUAAUUUUUCACUUAUUCAUACUGUAUGUUUUCUUUACAAUAUAAUGUAACCAUAUGAUAUAUAUAGGUACUUCCUGAAGCUGCGAAGUUCCGUGACACGGGGUUGGAGAAUGCUACACUACUACAAGUUAUGUUUUCAAAAACCGUCGCUUUAGGUGACACGGCAUGGACACCGGCUUUAGGGACAAUGCCUCCCGAUCCAUAUCGUUCACAUGAUUUAGAGGAAGGUAGUGGAGACUCGGAUGAAGAUGUUAAUGUGGCAGGCAUAAAUCUUGAAUCCGGUGAUUCUGAGGUUACUUGUAACAUACCACAUCCCUCGUAAAUCGUGUCGAGUUCCGUCAACACGAGCGGAACGCGAAGUUGAACGGGUUAAAGUGGACCCAAAGUGCGUUGGAGUUCUUAAACGGAGUAAAAAGGGACCCGGAGAGCAAAUUUGGAAAUUUGGCUAAGUCCCAGAUUUUGAGCUCUCGGGGACCGGUCCCUGAAGGAGAGACCGGUCCCCGUGCGCGUAGCCUACCAGGAAAUCCUGAGGCAUCUGGUCCCUGGUGGUGAGACCGGUCCUCGGGAGACCGGUCCCUGACGGGCAGACCGGUCCCUCGCUGCGCAACAGCGGAAAAACUCGAAAAUUGGGCUAAGUCCUGGAAAACCCCCGUUCGGGAACCGGUCCCUGGUCGGGGAGACCGGUCCCAGAAGGCGAAAAAUGCCCAGUCUGGGCAGUUCAAGAGGAAACAUGUGGAGGGGCUUAAGUGCAAUUGUUACAACACUAUAUAUGGCCCAACCCCUCUCUCCCACAGCCAUUCUCCUCCUCCUCUCUUAUUUCCUCACUUUCUCUCUCUAGAAUCCCUCUAGGGCUUGGAGAAGAAGAAGAAGAAGAACUUGGGGAAGAAAGUGGAUUUGAUGCUUUGGAGGUUCUAGGAGCUCUCCAACAANGCCUGGAUGGACCUAGUGGGUAAGUCGGCGAGGUCGGAUGCCGAGCCCACUGGGAACUUCGUUGUAGUUCUCACACCACUAACCCUACAGGUCCUAGCACGAGCGGGGCGGCGGAGGACCGAGGCAAGGGUUUGGCGCCAUAGGUAGCGGCCACCGGGACCUUAUACAUUUUGUAGUCAUUCCCUUUUGUUACAUGUAUCAACUUUAUUUUGUUGAAUUAGAGAUGUAAAGUUGCAAACAAUCAUGUAUUUGGUGGAUGACUAAAUGUAAAAGAUAAGAUGAUUGAAUGGAAUGUAAUAGAUUUGUUUACUUGAAUUUGGUUUAAAUGAAAUCAAAUAUCAUGUGUGAUAUAUAUUUAGCUUAGAGCUUUCGCUUCCGUUGUUGCUUGCCCUCGUGCGAGCCCUCUAUUAUAUAUGCAAUUCUCUUAUUGAUUGCCUAUUUAUACAUGUUGUUAGAGCCUUGGGCGGACAGGGGAGGCUCUGUCCGUUCGGCGUCUGAUGACGUGACCUGAGCCCGACCAAAUUGGCGGGGAUUGGGGCGUGACAUUACUCCUUUAAGUGAUAAAGGAAAGAACAGAGCACGAGAUAGUCAAGGAAAAAAAAAUGCAAGAAAGAUAAAAUUGGGACGGCUACUUAUAUGCAACGACAAUUAUCAUGUAUAUGCGAUGCAAUUAAGAGCUUUAAUUCUCAAAGUAGCCGUUCAGUUACAUCUAGGAGCUCGACCUAUAGUUUUAAAGAUUGUAUAGAUUUGCUAAUGACGAUGAGUGAAAUUACAAGAAUGAGUGCACUUUAUAUGUUUGCCAUUCGCUUAUUUAAAAAAUCAAUUAAUCGAGAGUUAUUCAUAGACUUGAAGGAACCGGAAGUGUGACUUGUGUGGCUAAAGGAUGAAUUUGAGGAAUAUAUCGCGGCAAAAAAGUCGACAACUUAGGAUAUUUUCCAUUAGUAUUAUGUUCUUGUACUAGUAAUACUGAUUUAACUUUAAAUUUAAAUGUGUGUUGUUGUGUGUUUGUUGUGCUCUAAUGCUAUGUUGUCUUUCUUGGUACUUUUAUGUUAUGUUGUUUAUAUAAUGCUAUGUUGCUUUAAGUAUUAUGUUCCUUAAGGAUGAAUGUACUAGUAACAUUAAUGUGUGUAUUAUUUUCCUUCAGCAAAAUCAUUUUUAUAUCAGACUCACCAAACGCUCUACAGCUUUUAACAGAAAUCACUUUUCCAAACCAAAAUCACUUUUUCAAAAUUACUUUUUCAGAAGCUAGGCCAAACAGGCCCUAAGAACUGUUUACAAGUUUAGGGGCAAAGGUAUAAGUAACAAUUGAUCAAGGUUUAGUUUGGUAUUGAGACCCUAGUUAGUUAAUUUACGAAUUAUUCACGAAUUAUUUGCGAAUUAUUGAAAAUCCGAAUUAAAUGAUCCGUUUAUGAAUUUUUUCCAAAGAAAUAAAAUUAUUCGUGAAUUUUUGGGCCAGCCGAAUUAUUUGCGAAUUAUUCCCGAAUUAUUGAAAAUAUGAAUAAAAAACUUAUAAUUUUUAUUUUUAAAUAUAGAUUAUCUUAUAUUUUAUAUAUUAUACCGAAUUCGUUUUUUGAGCCGAAUUUUUCAACGAAUUUAAAAAUUAGAAAACAAAUUUUAUGCGUAUUAUAUCCGUACCAAUUUUUUGCCAAAUCCGAAUUAACUAACUAUGAUUGAGACCCAUUUUGUGCUAUUAGAUAAAAUAAAAUUAAAAUAAAAGUAUAUAUGAAUAUAUUUCAGCGUUCUCCAGUGGUGUCGCAAAAAAUAUAUCGCAACCGACUCAUCGUGAUAUGAAAACGUAAUAUUACGUAAAGAAACAAAGUAACAAAAAGAGUAUUUUACUUUCUCACCAUAAGGCAAUCUCCCCGCAAUCCGGAAGCUCAAUUUUGCAUUUGGAUGAAAAUUGGGUUGUUUUCGAAAAUAAGAAAAAUAACAUUUGGAUAGGUAAGGUUGAAUAAAAAGAAUAGUUUGUAGUUAUAAAUAGAAAAUAAUGAUAUUACUCCUCUAAUUACAUUUUAUUUUAAUUUUUAAAUAUUACAUUUAUAUUCUUAAAUUUAAAAUUUUAACUUUUAAAUUUAAAUUUUAACUUUUAAAUUUCAAAAUUUGAAAUUAAAAUUUAAAAUUUAAAAUUUAAAAUCUCAAAUUUUAAAUUUCAAAAUUUUAAAUUUUAAAUUUCAAAUUUUAAAUUUAAGAUAAAAUUUAAAUUUCAAAAUUUUAAAAUAUCAAAUUUAAAAUUAUAAAUUAUAAUUUUUAAUUUAGAAUUUAAAACUAUAAACUUUAAUUUAAAGAUUACAAAUUAUAAAUUUUAAAAAUUUAAAAUUUAAAAUUUAAAAUUUAAAAUUUAAAAAAUACAAAUAGGGGUGGGAACAAAUGUCCCCAACAGCUGUUUCCGCCCUUAGCGAGUUAUCCUGAUAAAUUAUUUAAUAUUAAUUAUAUUAAUUAAUAAUUUAAAUAUAUUAAAUAGAUUAAUUAAUAAUUUAAGUAUAUUAAAUAGAUUAAUUACCAAGUUAAAUAUAUUAAUUCGAUUAAUUAAUAAUUUAAUACUAUAAUUAAAGUUAAUUAGUGUUUAACUAACUUUGUUCUCACUUUUUACAGGGAUAAAGGUGGAAUAGUAAUUCCAGACUUAUACCAGGUUAUACCAGCUUGUUCCAGCUACUCGAGAACUACUGUCCUUGGGUACGAAAUUUCGGUUUGGGUAUAAAGGGUGGGAUAAUCCCUUAACCCACCCUCUAUACUUAAACCAAAUGGGGUGUUAAAGAGAUAGCGACCGAGAGCUAUUCCGCAUCCCGUCGCUUGUGGGGUCCGCUUGUAAUUGUGGGCCUUGCAAGUUGUCAUGUAAUGCGUAGCUACGAGAUCCGCUAUUUAUUAAAUGUCAUUUAAUGUGUACAGUUUUCCCACUCACUAAUGUGAGUUACGCAGUUUGGGGAUUCAUUAUUUUCGCUUUCUUCUAUUGUUCCGCAUUCGCCCUCUCUUGCUCCGUCUCCGCCAUUGCAGUUCGCCGUUACCUCCAUCCUUUCCAUGACAGGUGCGGGGUGGGGGUGUCAUUGUCUUUGUCGUGCCCAGACGAGUCGGUUGGUACGAUCCCCCCUCCUUUUUUCCUUCUAUUGGUUUCCUGUCUUUGUUACCUCGGAUGUUGGACCCGCUAUGCUCCUCUUCAAUGUAUCUUUCUGCAACUCAACGAAGCGCCAUGGAGCAUGACCACCAUUGUAGAUAACUCGAAGGGUGUGCCGGUCCCUGACAAGUUGUAUGGUCCCCCUACCUCGACCAUAUACCCACUCUUUGUUGGGAACCGGAUGGAUCGUCCGUCAUGUGCUACCAACAAAGAUGCACGAAAAAUAGAGAAAAUCGACCGAACGGUAAAAAAAAUAAAUGCAGAAAGAAGAAACCAAGAUUUACGUGGUUCGGCAAUCGCCUACGUCCACGGGGAGAGCGAGAGAGAUGUAUUCCACUAUAUGAAGAAAUAGAAGUACAAGCUUACACCUUAUGUCUUCUCCGGAUAAAAAAUCAAGAACCUUAUGGUGAAUCCCACUUANAGAGCGAGAGAGAUGUAUUCCACUAUAUGAAGAAAUAGAAGUACAAGCUUACACCUUAUGUCUUCUUCGGAUAAAAAACCAAAAACCUUAUGGUGAAUCCCACCUAUCUUGUUCCAACGAAAACUCCAAGAAAAUACCGAAAAAGCUUUUCAUAAAACCGAGAAAACCAAAUUAGAGAAGUAUAGAAACUCUAACCAAAUUCCUUUAUGCCGUUGCUUCGAAGAAUCCGAACCGCUCAGGCAAUUGGUUGAGAACCGCCGCUCCGCCGCCAACGUCAAUCCGUCGCAUGCGUGCUACCGCGCAUCUCCUUCUCUUGCUACCGUCGUACGGCUCCCGGAACCAUGAAUUAAUUAGCCAACAAAGCUAAUUAAUUUUUUCCAUGACUUACCGUACAGUUCGAAGAGGGCCCGAAUAGGGCACGCAUAUAUAUAUAUAUAUAUAUAUAUAUAUAUAUAUAUAUAUAUAUAUAUAUAUAUAUAUAUAUAUAUAUAUAUAUGCGUGGUUGGCCGGUCAACAAGUCAAAUUAGGAAUUGAAAAUCCUAAUUCAAUUCCUAGUCCAUCCAGAUUACUACAGAGCCAAAUCAAAGUCUAUUCAAUUUUAAAAAAUUAAUAUAUUCCGUAGACCCGGUGCAUGGACCAAACCAAUAAAAGAAGGCAUAUCUUUAACACUCUUCUCCAUUCCUUCAUUCUUAAACCGCUUACUCUCUUCCUCAGUGUGGCGGUUGUUUUGUCAAAAAUAAUGGGUUGUGUUCGGUUUGUUUCUUUGUUUCUACUGCUUUACUUCUCUCUUUGGUUCCCUCUUGAUAUUUGUCUGGUCUUCGCCCCUCCUAUGGGUGACCGUUUGGCCCGAUUUGCUUUCUACUCGUAGUUGAUAAUUUUGGUUGUGCUAGGUCUACUUUAUUAUUAUGUCAUCUUUUCAUGUGCGCGCGUAGGGACUGUGGUUUGCAAAUAUGCUACUGUCUGCUUAUUGUGAUCUAUUCUUGGUUAAAAUACAGGUUAGUAUUUUGUGGUUUGCUUUUUUGUUGCAAUAAAGUGUGCGUCUUGAACUAACUGGCUAUUUCAUACUGAUACAUGCUUCCUUAUUUAUUGCUUGGUUCUGACAAUAUGGUUAAAGUUGUUUUGCUUCAUUCUGUGACUAGCUGAGGACUAAUUAUGCUGUAUGGUAAAAAAGCAAUGUCUGUUUGGUAUUGUCUUUCUCUCUGGUUGUUUUUGUGUCUACUUCAUGUUGGAUUGGAUUUUGUAUUAGUUACAUGCUUUUGAUGUUUAGCAUUCAGUUUUGAAUGCAGUUAUGGCAGCAAUUUUUGUUAUCUUCUGCUUCUAUGAAUUGCUCCAUGAUGUAUGCCAGCAUUUUUCUCUGGCGAUCCGAGAUACGGUGUCUAGAUCGAAAAUGAAUAAGGGUUGGUUAGUGUUUAUAUUGAUUUGCAUGUUGGUGGAGAAGAUACUAUUAUGGAGUAUAAGGUGUUGGAGUGCGUUGUUUGCGCAUAUUGAUUAGUAUGAGGAAGAUGCUGUGCACCGGUUUGUUGGAAGCUGCAUGAUGACUUGCUUUUUGAAAUUAAAGAUUUCGAUGCUGUUACUUGCUUGCCGUGAUCUAUUUCUAAUUAAAAUACAGGUUAGUAUUUUGUGGUUUGCUUUUUGGUUGUGAUGAAGUAGAGGCUUACAAUGUGUACUUGUGCAUUAAAUGACACUUCAUGAUAAAUUUCUCUUGUGUAAGCGUAGGAAGCAUGUUAGAGAUGAAGGAAUCAAAGAUGAGAAGGAAUCAAAAAUGGAGAAGGAAUCAAAGAUGAGAAAGCUUAUCUUGAUCUCCACAGGUUAGGGCUCAAAAGAGCUCUCUAAGGGGGCUGGGGUGUUAUAUAUAGAGUUGCAACAAUUGCAAAUACAACCCCCAACUAAAACAGCCCUCUCUGCAAAGUGUAUCGGUACACGGGAAAGUGUAUCGGUACAAACCCAGUGUACGCGCGAACUCGAGGCUCGGGUUGGCAGAAAAUUUCAUUUGUACCGGUACAACCAUCAAGGUGUAACCGGUACACUUUCUGUACCGGUACAACCAUCAAGGUGUACCGGUACACAGCCCAGCAAAAUGCAACCUGAGAGCAGCCUAAGUCCAUGUAAUAUACCGAAACUUCGGUAAAUAAAUGUCGAACUUUAGUCAAAUUGACCAAAGUGCGAGGUUGGUACGCUUUGGAAAGGCCGAAGGCGUCAAAAUGGGUAAAAGUGCAUUGUUGGGGGUUUUCGAGAGCUAAAGAAUCAAAAAUCUGCUUACUGCAGUUUUUGAGCUCUCGGGGACCGGUCCCUGGAGGGAUAGACCGGUCCCCGAAUGUGAAAAAUCUCAUAGAUGGAAAAUCGGCUAAGUCUCAGAAAACCAGCUUUCGGGAAUCGGUCCCUACGGGGAGAGACCAGUCGCCGAGAGACCGGUCCCUCAGGAGAGACCGGUUGCAUUGUGCGAGAGCCUUGCUGAGCUGCGGGAGUGCUCUCUGGGACCGGUCCCAUGCUUGAGAGACCGGUCCCCGGGCGCGAAAACUGCCCAGUCAGGGCUAUUCAAUGAGAUCAAAGUUGAGGGGCUUAUUUGCAUUUAUGCACUAAGUGGGCUAUGUAUGAGGGGGUAUGAGAUAUUUCUCUCAUUUCUCUCUCUCACACUCUCUCAUAUCUCUCUUUCUCUCUCUAGAAGGCAAGGAGAAGAAGAAAGAAAGGAGAAAAAGGAGAAAGUAGAAGAAAUAAAGGAAAAGAAAGAGAAGGAAGGGUGAAGAAGAAGGCAAGGGAGUGGAGCUACUUCCUCUUCUUCCUCCUUGGUGCAAGAAAGUGAAGCUUUUAGAGGUAACCUUCAACCUCUUUCAUGGUAGAACCUAAGUAGGGUUUUGAUAGAGCUAAGAAUGGUUUUGAUGGAAUCUCUUGAGUAGAUUAAGCUUUCUUUUGUUUAUCUUUAAGAUCAAAACCUAGGGUUUUGGUAUAUGUUGGAGCUAGGGCACCCCAAAUUGGAGCUUUUGCUUGUGAGGGUUCCAAAGUUAAAUCGACCCUCUAGAAACCUAAUUGGGGGUAUUUCCGACGCGUUGGUGCGCUCGGUUUAACGUUACAAAAAGCCUAUGUAGAGAUAUAAGCAAAAAGGGCCUAAUUUGGCUUCGUUUUGCCGCAGAUAGCGAUCUAGGCGACUAAAAAUUCUAAGAAAAUCACCGUAGCACCCUAGCAAACCUAUGUGGUGGGUGGUGCUUUCCAAACUUAUUAAAAUUCCUUUUAUGUCUAAUGUAUCACUUUCUUGAGCAUAUGAGCAAAUGUUUGUGCAUGCAUUGUAGGGUAAUUGAGAUAAUGUUAUUGGAUUGUUUGCAUGUUGUGAGUACAAAUGCAUUAUGAGACGGUUGAGAACCAAUAAGAAUGUAAUAACCCUAUAUGUUCAUGUAAAGAGACAAGAAUUGAGAAUAAUUAAAGAACAAGUGACAUGUGACAUGAGGACAAUGUAAUGUUAAGAACAAAAGCUAGAGUUAGCAUCAAAAGUGUGGUAUUAAAGAAUGAAAGCUAGAGUUAGCAACAAAUGUGGCAUAAAGAACACUAGAGUUAGUGUAAUGACAUGGUUGAAAACAAAAAAUGCAAAGAACUUGAGAUUGAGACACAAUGACAGAUAACCUUAGAGCUAAGGGUCAUUUGUGCAUGAUUUCCUUAGAGUUAAGGAACGGAUUGAAUUGAAUAUCCUUUGAGUUAAGGAUUUGAUCAUACUCGCUAUAAGUCCUUACUCGAGGGUGGUCGCUCCCCCUCGGGCGAUGCGCUCCGGAGUUUGUCAUCACUGGGUUGGUGCUGUUCCCUAGAGGACGGUUCCAACGGGAGGAAGCUGAGGGCCCGUUUAAAUGGGAUUUUGAGUGGGCGAGUUAUUAACGUGAAUGUAGUGUACCGAAUUUUUAAUAUAGAAAUAAGUGUAAAUAAAAAAUAGUGUUAUGAGAUGGGCUAAGGUGUAAUUGUGCAAAUGAGAGGGGCUAAGGUGUAAUGGUGCAAGUAAUUGAGUUUACUUGUUGGGCAAGUUUCCUAUGUACCUAUGUAAUUGAGUUAACUUGUGGGGCAAGUUUCCUAUGUAAUUGAGUGAAUUCUUGACCUUUUACCCCAAACCGUAGGAGAAAGAGAGGGUGGGUUUUCUCUCUUUUUCUCUUUGACUUUAUGACCUCUCUUUCUCUUUGCUUCUCUUUACCAAAGAGAGGAUUAGAGAAGAAAGAAAAAUUAGAAUUUGCUUGGUGGUGAAGCAAGCUUGGUGGAGAAGAAGGCUUGGAAUUGAGUUACUUUCUUCAUCUUCUUCAUCACUUGGAUUAGAGAAGAAAGCUUGUUUAAGGUAAGCUUCAUGGGCUCUAAUGGCAUAUAGCUAGAGAUGGGUUUAAAUCNCGGCCAGUGAAUUGUAAUACGACUCACUAUAGGGCGAAUUCGAGCUCGGUACCCGGGGAUCCUCUAGAGUCGACCUGCAGGCAUGCAAGCUUGGUGGAGAAGAAGGCUUGGAAUUGAGUUACUUUCUUCAUCUUCUUCAUCACUUGGAUUAGAGAAGAAAGCUUGUUUAAGGUAAGCUUCAUGGGCUCUAAUGGCAUAUAGCUAGAGAUGGGUUUAAAUCUCUUAGAAUCUAGCUAGAUGGAAAUCCUAGUUGAUGUUAGGUUGCUAUUUGCUUGAAUCAUGAAUUUAUAUAGUGUAUUAUUGCAAUAGUGACCUCUAGGAUUUUGGAAGAGAGCUCUUGAUCAUGAGAGGUUUUAAUCUCAAUUGAUCAUAUGUUUCCGCAAUUGAAGGUGAAACCGACGCGGAGGAUCAUUCGGAUUGAGAUUCCGUUGAGCCGGUGGUGGUCAAAGUGAAGAAAAUUCUAUUUUUGCUUCAUUUGUCGCAGUUGGAAGAAAACAACGGCCGUAAAUCGCGCUGCUAGGCUACUCGCUUCGUGUCGACAUCACGAGGUGGGGGGUGCUAUCCGAAAUAGCCGGGUUUCAUUCUAUGUCUGAGUUCUACUAUUAUUGAUCAUAUAUCAUCAUGCAUAGAAUAGUGCGAAUCCUAUGAGUUGUGGUAAUUUCAUGCUUAGUGUAAGGGAUAAUGAUCCAUGAUUGCAUGAUACUUGUAGGAAUAUCUAUUUGCAUGAUGUUGAGAUAGAUGUGGACAUGUAUGUUGUAUGAGAACUUUUAUAUGAUGCCAAUAUAAAUAUUGUACAUGUUGUAUGAAUUGCUAGUGGACAUAUGCAUGUGAAUAUGAUGUAAGAAUAGACUAGAUUCAUGAGGAACUAGUAUGUAAACCAAUGACAUUGUGAGAAUUGGAAACUAAUGCAUAUGUGGCCGACCUGAGCAAAGCAUGCCUUGUGAGGAUAGGGAUAUGGUACCCCUGUGGCCCUCGAAUGAGAGGACUUGAUCAUAUUCGCAUUGUUUGUUAUAGCUUGUGGAUGGUCGCUCCUCCCAAGCAGUGAGCUCCGGAGUUGAAUCACAUUGAGAUUGGAACGGGGGAGAGAGUCACUACGGUGCGCCCUCGGCAGACGGUCACGGUCGCGUGACAGUAUGUGUGGCGAGUGAUUCGACCUUCGGGCGAAUCGUUUGGAUUUGACACAGGCAUGAUCAUGGCAUUUCGUAUAUAGUUUGCAUACAUGACAGAACUUAAACAUGUACUUGUUGACAUGAUUUGUAAAGGCAUAGCUACACAUUUGAAGCAUGAUAUAGAUGUAUAUGAGCAGGUUAGGCUUAUUGUUUAUCUAUUAUCUCCUUGACAUAUUAUCAUUCUAUUGUUUCUAUGCCUUUCUUGGACCUAGUGGGAAAAUCGGCGGGGUCGGCGGCCGAACCCACUGGGAACUAUGGAUAAUAGUUCUCUCACCCUGUUUUGCAGAGCCUAGUUCGAGCGCGUGUGUCGAGGAUCGCGGCAAGGGCGUCGCGCAGUAGAUAGCGUGGACCACCGGCGUUAGCUCACUACCCUCGAGUAUAAAAAGGAAAGAAUGAUAUGUAAAACCCUUUUGUGAAGAAAUGUAAUGUAUUUGAGAGAUGGUAUUUUGGUUGUAUGUAUGAGAAGUAAAGUGAAAUAUGUGAUGGUUCAUGUGUGUGAACAAGUGAUGUAAUAGAUAGUUUAAAUUCUCUUGUAUCUGUGAUUGCCUCUCUCAAUGUUGAAUGCUAAUAUCACUUGUUGGAUAUGUAUGCAUAGACUUUGUUACAAUUCGAUCCAUGUUCAAAGAAUAAUGUUCAAUGACAUUGUUCACUAUUCUUUUACCCAAUCUGUAGCGAAGCCCUAGAGUUCGCCAAUAACUCACCUUUCAAUCCCAAAGUGGGGAGGGAGCUCCAAGUGCACCCAAGCCCGGGACCGUCUGCGGACCUCCAUGUGGUCCGGACCUCCAAGUGGUCCUAGUCGCACGACACUCCGGAGUACUUGACGACAAUCCCCUCCAUGUGGGGAUAUGGAUGGCUAUACCAUCCCAAAAGCAGACUGUGAGCUAGAUCUAUCCUCUCCAAGUGAGGAUACCCUACAACUUGGGUCAACAACCCAAUCCAAUCCUCUCCAAGUGAGGAUGCUCUAUAACUAGAGUCAACAACCCAAUCCAAUCCUCUCCAAGUGAGGAUGCUCUUCAACUAGAGUCAACAACCCAAUCCAAUCCUCUUCAAGUGAGGAUGCCCUACAACUAGGGUCAAUAUCUCAAUAACUCAUCGACAACCUCUCCAUGUGAGGGUACUUAGGUUUACUAAGUUCUUUAUCCACAAGGCAUUUUCUAAGGGAUUCACCUAUCCCUAGGUUCUCAAACCUCUAGUGUCAAAUACACUACAUUAAUGCCACUCGAUGUGUUCUUGUUUUCCAAUGUCAAUUUCUCUAAUCGACCAAGUUCAACAUGCAUAAUUCAUCCACUAUGUUCCACAAUAUGGCAACAUGUAUAAUUCUUCUAUCAUAUGCAAUAUAUGUCAUCAUGUAUAUGUUUCUAUUUAACAUAAUCCACAAUAUGUUAAUUCACAACAUGUCAUCAUGCACAUAUAUUACUAGCAUCACAUGAUAUGUCAACAUACAUAUAAUCAUCAUCCAAAGUAGUCUAUACUUAGCAUCUCAUGCAUUCUUUUAGCAUUUAAUUCAUUAUACAUUUCAUCUCAUUGGUAGGUAAUAUCAACUACAUAAUAUGUUUCAAGCAUUCAUAUUAUCAUGUAAGCCUACCAAUACAACUAUAUGCAUCAAUGUGAAUUCAUAUGUUUCUUAAACAUAAAGGGCGACCUAGUCGCUUCGGUAAGCACAACCCACCUCAAAUCGCUUUCCGAUUGCUUGUCGACAUUUGCAAUCGGCCUCCCGCGGCACCCGUGACCCGGUUCGGCCCGAACUCUCACGCGACCACCCGAACGGCCACCAAUCCGCGAUACGUCUGUUCUGGAGUUUAUUCCUCGAUACAACGAUGCUCCAGAUCCGUUUUCGUGAUUUUUGGGCGUCUAUUCCGUGUGCUGCUGCUAUCUGUACCAAAACAGACUAUUUCGUCAAUAUCUUUGCGUACACUCGUCGGAUUGUCGAACCGAGCGCACCAACGCGUUCGUUAUACCCCCAAUUAGGUUUGUAUAGGGUCAAUUGAUAUCAAAACCCCUCAUGAGCAAAAGCCCUCUUUUUGGAGUCCUAAAACCUCACUAUUGCAAUUAGCUUCAUACAAGCAUUAACCCGAGCAAUAAAUGAGAUUAAUUACUUCUAGAGCAUCAUUAAGUUCCAUUUCUAGAGUAUAAAACCCUAAUCCAAGCAUUCUUCUAUGAGAAGGCAAAGAGCUUACCUCUACUAAGCUCUUUCUCUAAGCUAAGGAAGAAGACAACAAUGGUGAUCCUCCUUCAAGCUCCAAAUCUCCACCAAUCCUCCUCUUGAUUCCACUUCUAGAGAGAGGGAGAGCUUCUAGAGAGAGAGAGGGAGAGUGUUCGGUGGUUGCAAAUGAGAGAAAUGAGAGGGGAUGAGUUCUACACCCCUCUAUAAUAGCUUAACUCAUGCAACAAUUACAAAACAGCCCCUCAACUUUGUGUUUUAUGCACUGCCCGCGCGGGGUCAUUUUUUGUAUAAGGGACCGGCCCUCUAUACAAAUGGGGGACCGGUCCCCGUAAGUCCAGAAUUUCAGCAUUUUUAGGACUUAGCCAAAUUUCAGCCUUUUUCGUUUUUUUUCUGUUUUCGCUCGUUUGACCUCCGAUUCUUUUCAAAUCGAACCGAGACUCUCCAAACAUGUUUUUGAGCGUGUUUUCAUCAUCUUUUCAUCCACGCUAAUGCCGGAUUCAGUUCAUGGUCAAACAUAGCCUUUCGGGUUCCGUUUUCGCGCCUACGCGCACCAAAACGCCCGUAUGCUCCCGAACUUCACCGAACUUCACCGGAACCAUUCAAAUGGUUUUUCAAACCAAUGUACACCGUAACUUCAUAAUUUUAGAAGUCCGGUACCUUACAAUUGCACAAAUCGGAAGAUAGACGGUCGCAAUCCUCACUCGAAGAUGCCGGCCUUGUCCUCGUCGUCCCGCACGAUGAAGGGCACGCAGUGUAGAAGCCGAGAAAACUCCCUCUCAAACUCGGCUACGGUCCGGUCUCCCUGGCGCAAGUUGCGCAAGUCCUGCUCCAUCUUUCUUUUGACACCGUCAAGGAAGUAGUGCGCCAAAAGAAGCUCCUUGAACGUCUUCCAAGAGAUAGCCACGACGUCCGUGCUGGUGUUCUCCUGAAUGUCCAACCACCAGAGGUAGGCCUCGCCGUCCAAGUGGUGUGUGGCGAGCCAAACUCAAUCCCUCUCCUCCAUGAAGGUGUCGCGGAAGAGCUUCUCCAUGUGCAUCAACCACUUCUCCACGAUCCAGUGGUCGACCUUCUCUCCGUCGAAGAUCCGGGGACUGCACCUCCUGAACUCAUUAAGGCGAUCCAUGAGCCGAUCCCGCUUUGCUCCCUCAACUAAUGCGGGAAAAACUGCCCCCGCCGGAGGCACCUGAGCUGGUGGUGCCACACAAUCUCUUCCCGAGGUGCGACUGCAGGUGUCGUCCGAGAUGUGUCGAGGACGGGGGACGACCCCCUGGGUGCGACCACAUCCACAGGCGCCGGUGGUGUAGGAAUCUUAUAGGUUGCUUCAUACAAUGCCAACCGGAGUUGGCAACUCGAAGUUGAGUUGAUCACCGCCCCCCGGGUUUGUUCUCGGUGAUCAACAUACGAUAAAAUUAGGCUUCGCCGCUUGAGAACAUCUGUGGCAUAGCAACCGGGGGGAGAGACCGAAUGUGUAACACACUGGACCUUUGCAAAUUGCGAGGCUCGAGUGAUUGGAUGUGUUUCGAGCUUCUCCACACUUGGUGGAGGGUCGUAGAAUAUUUUCCGACCUAAGAAGUUCGAAAACUUGAGUUCCGGACGAGUCCUGAGAGUUUUCACUCUCGGGGACCGGUCCCUGAAAGGAAAGACCGGUCCCCCAGUGAGCAGUGUUGUGCUGUCGGCGAGGCAACCGGUCCCUGGCGGGCGAAACCGGUCCUCGAGCGCGCCUUCGCAGUGAGAGACCGGUCCCGCGUAGGGAGAGACCAGUUCCCGAACGUUGGUUUUUCGGAUUCACAGCGAGAGACCGGUCCCUGCUGGGGAGAGACCGGUCCCUCUGGGCGAAAACUGCCCAAACCGGGCUGAUGUAAUAUUGGUUUUUUUGAGGGGCCUCUUGGGAUUUUGUUGCAAUAGAUGGUCUAUAUGACCCAUCCACCCUCUCUUCUCCUCAUUUCCCUCCUCACACUCUCCCCACACCCUUGCUAGAGAGAGAAGAAGGAGAAGAAGAGGAAGGAGAAGAAGAGGAGAAGGAUCUAGCUUGGGCUUGAAGCAUUCCUUUGCCUUUCUUCCUCUUCCCACCUUGUUGGUGCUUGAAGGCUUGGACUUGGAGCUUGCAAAGGAGAAGAUCUUCACCCUUGGAGCUUGGAUUGGAGUUCUCUUGAGGUUGGUUGUUUGUUUCUUCCCUCUAGACCUAGCUUUGAUGGAUUUUAGGGGAUGAAACCCUAAAAUGGGAAAUCUAGGGUUUAUUUGGGGCUUUUUGAUUGAAGGCUUUUUGGGCUAAUCUAAUGAGAUUAGAACCUUGGUUUAGGUUGCUUUGGAAGGAUCCUAGCCUUCUUUUGGAGCUUGAGAGAGAGAUUCUACUCCUUAGGUGAGUUUUUGCUCUAUUCUUGUGAUUGUUAAUGUUUGAGCUAGAGUUGCUCGUAAUGCUUGUAUAUCUCUUCACUGAUCACUUUUAGGGUAUUUUGAGACUCGUGAACAACUUCGUUCGGCGAAACGAAGCCUUACGCGACGGUUUGGUGGGUUUGACCUAGCCUUUAAUAUGAGAAAUUCUCAUAUAUGGUGAUAAAUGCUUCGUAAAUUGGAAAAGCAUGCAUAUUCACACUAAAUGUAUUUAUUAUGAUUUUUGGAAGGCUUAAGAUGCCUAUGUUACAUGUGAUGAAAUUUUGAGUCUCCUUGUAGUAGAGGAUAGCAUAUAAGGCUUAUGCGGGAUUUUUGGCAUUCUUAUAUGGAAUCAUGUUCCUUGUAGUAUAAAUGAGCUUGGAUUCAUGUAUCUAAACCUAAUUUUAAUUGAGACAUGAAAGAUAACAAAAUUUGCCAUAAAGAGGCACCGAACUUGAAUGUCAUAUGAUUUAGAGAGCUAAUGUCAUCAAGCGGCGUUGAGCUCGGGACAUGGUUGAACCUAGUGAAUAGGGCCAUUGAGGGAUUGGAAACAUGUUGAACAUUAAAUUGUCUAAGUGUCAUCAAGGGGCACUAGGCGUAAUAAAUGUUGGAACUUCACUUUGUGACUUAGAACUAGAUCUUCGGGAUGCUAGUGACUAUACCAUGUUAGAGACAUGAUGAUUGGAUACUUGAGACGUUGACUACGCUUGCUUGCCAUUUGUGCUCAUUCGCACAUGCUUGUGAGGGUCGCUCCCUACAAGCCGGCACUCCGGAGUUAGCCUACGCGACUUAUGUUCGCUCGUGCGGUAUUGAGAAGCCUACGGGGUCGAGUGGGACAGACACAUUCCAAGAGUAGGGAUGUUGGGCUACCAUAGGCACUUAGGCGACACAAGCUGGACUACCUUUCGUAGGUCCUUAAUUGGAAAUGAAAAUCGACACAGGGUUGAGAAUGAAUAAUCACUACUAGAUAGGAUUAGUAGUUGGAUUACUAUGACAUGCUUGUAGCAUAGUGUUGAGACAGGUAGUAUACUUGAUAGUCUUAUUUAUUGCAUCAUAGUAUACUCACUACCAUGAUAGAGCAUAUUCUUCGUACAUUGUCAUAGUAGAUCAUGUUACCUACUUGCUCGUUAUGUUGGGAUAUAUUAUUCAUGCUUUGAUAUACUUCAUUUGGAUAUAGUAAAUGUACAACCAUUUGACAUCUUGCUUAUGUGCAACAUAGUAGUUUAGCAUUUUAUUUUGCUUUCUUAAAUGCAAACCGUUUAUUAUCAUUAUAAUUAUCAUAGCUUUUGGACUUACCCUUUUCUUUUGGGGCCUAGUGGUGCAUUGUGCUGAGGUCAGUAAUUGCCCACUGGGAACUAUAAAUUAUAGUUCUCACGCCCUCGUUUUCUUGAUGUUUUUCAGAGCCUUCCACGCCGGGAGAGGCUAGGAACCGCGGGAAGAGAGUUGCUUCGAUCUAGCUUCCUUCGGGGACGAUUUGAUAGGUGGUCUACCUCUCGUUAUUUUAUUUUGUGAGAGGUUGAGAGUUGUACCCGUAUAUGUAUAGAGACCACCCUUCUUUUGGAUUUAUGUAUUUUUUUUGAGGAGUUUGCUUUGUAUCACCCUUGUGCUUUACUAUUAUGGAUUAGUAUGUUUCCUUUCUUUUUGUUUUAGAUGAUAGAACUUUACUCGCUCUGAUAUCAUUAGAUGUUAUUCAUUCCUAAUCGUUGUGAUUCUUGCUUUUACUUUCGCUUUUAUUUUAGACGCCUUAUGUCACGCCCCGCGACCUGCCAAUUUGGCCAGAUCCGGGCACGUCGAUCAGACGCCGAACGGACAGCACCUCUCCUGUCCGCCCAAGGCUCAACGACAAUAUCAUGUACAAGAAUUUCCAGGAGAAAUUCAUUCAACAUACAUGAUACGACAAAGCACCACUAGUGCUAUACAAUUAAGAGCAAGGAUCACAAGUAACAUACAAGUGAAAUAAAGAGAGAUACAUCUAGCUAUUACAUUCAUUCAACCUCAUUUUUCAUAUUGAUUUACAUUUUCAUCUUCCCAAAUGAAUACAUAUUCUUCUCAUAAUACAAAAUGGCUCUCCAAAUGCAUAAGUAACUUCCAAAUACAUUUACAUCUCUAUGUACACGAGGGUACUCUAAUGCAUAAGGAAAGCUACUAGCUACUAGGGCGCUGUGCCCUUACCACGGUCCUCUGCCGGUACGCUCUCGUGUGUACCUAUACCCCAAAACCACACGGGGUGAGAACUAUAAUGCGUUGAUAUGCAAGUUUAUCCUACGACGAUAAGAAGAGAAAGACGAAGAUCAUAAAAGGAAUGAAUACAAUAUUGUUGAUUAUGAUAAGACAAAAUUGGUGCUGAAAAAUGAUUUUUUCCUCGUUAAACUCUGAUUGUAUUUAUUUUGUUUCCUGCUGCACUUCUUUGUAUUGAGGCAUAGAAUAUUAGUAGCAAUGUAUUUCUAAUGUUACGGUCCCCUAUCUAUCUACUGUGCCAGCUUUGGAACCGUGAAAGUGAUCGGCCGGGUCGCGGCGCGACCACUGGAACGUAUAUUUGANNNNNNNNNNNNNNNNNNNNNNNNNNNNNNNNNNNNNNNNNNNNNNNNNNNNNNNNNNNNNNNNNNNNNNNNNNNNNNNNNNNNNNNNNNNNNNNNNNNNCAUAUCAAUUUGCUAAAGUUUUUUGAAUCACAAAUCGAUUGUUCUUAUGUUCAAAAUAUAUAAAUCGUUGUGUUUGACAGGGGUUUUCUUCGAAAAUGUACUCAUGGCUACUUGUUCUUGUGGUUCUUAUGGCUGGUGGUGGUCGUGGAAGUAAGCGACAGCGCUCGAAAGCUAAAAAGCCGAUUGAGUAUCAACCGGAGGAUGAAGAGAGCGAAUAUGCUCCUGGCGACGAUUCUGAGGAGGACGAGCAGGAUUGGGAGACUUUUGUUCCUGAAGUUUUAGCUAAGGAUAAGGACGCUGGGAAAGGCAAGGGAAAAGGAAAAGCCGUGGAUAAAGGCAAAGGAAAGGCAAUUGAGCGUCCCAGUCGUCGUAAGUCCGGGGGUGUUGAAAUUCGUGAACCGGGCUCUGAACCACCACGUCACAGUCUACAGGAUGUUCCAUCUAAUCGACGGUCGAUGUACUCGUCGAAACACUGUAUUGGUGAGCGAGAUGUUGGGGUGGCCAGUAUCAUUAGUUGUGUGCCGGGUUUUCAGGAGUUAUUUGAACAGGGAAAUCUUCAUCAGAUUUGUGAUUUUCCGGAGCAAACCGGUUAUUGCUUGGAGUUGAUCAGAGAAUUUUACAUGAGAGCAGGUCACCUCCGUGACUCCGACGGCGGUCCGUACGUGUUUAAGACUUCCGUACGUGGUGUUGAGUUAUCCAUCACUCCUGAGACAAUAGCUUCGGUGCUAGAGAUGGAAGCUAAGACUGACGGAGUGGAGUAUCUGCAGGCCGGGUUCGACUCACUUCGAGAUUGGAACCGUGUCGUGAACACUAUCUGCAUGCCGGGUACUGAAUCAAACGGAAUUAUGGUUAUGUCCAAAGAUUUCAAAAUGGAGUACAGAUUUUUGCACUUCGUGGUUUGCUAUAACAUCAUGCCUCUCGCAAACACGAAAAUUUUGAGAUGGGAUCGUAUUUUGUAUAUGUAUCUUUUGGGACGGCCUGAUAUUGUGAGUGCGAAAAACAUUAACAUGAAUAUUCCGUUUCUGAUCUGGCGGCGGAUGGCGAAAGACAUCAAAACCUCUGGACAAAAUGAGAGGUUACCAUUUCCUUUAAUCAUUAUGCGGAUUUUGCGACUUCGUGAGGUGGAUGUUCGGUGUACAUCAUAUGAGCACAGUUUGGGUCGGAUCAAUGUGUUAAGGAUUUUAUAGGUUGGCGAAUUUCGUAUAGUUGUUUGGAGUCUUGAAGAGUUGGUCGCAGAAGUUUUUGAGAAGAGAUUCAAAUUGGAGGACAAAGACUCAUUCGGAAAGAUCGACACCUAAGGUAUGAAUAAAAGAUCAUUUGUGGUGAAGAUACAUAAUUAGAAUAAGUUCAGAAGGCUUAGAUCGAUUUAAAACAACUUUUCUGAACUUUCAUGUGUUCUGGGACCGGUCUCUGAGAUGGAGAGACCGGUUCCCCCAAGGUCCUCACUGCGUAAACCAUGAUGGAACCGGUCCCCUGUGAUGAGAGACCGGUUCCCGAACCUUGGUGGUUCUGUCGCACAGCGAGGGACCGGUCUCAAGUUUGAGAGACCGGUUCCCGAACGUUGGGUUUCUGGUCACGCAGAGAGGGACCGGUUCCUCACUUGAGAGACCGGUCUCUCACAGACCGGUCUCCUCAAAAGGACCGGUCUCUGAGGACGACACAGGUUUUUGAAAACGACUUUUUGCAAUCCUAGUCUACUUCUAAGUCUUCUAAACAUAUAAAUAAGCUAUGUGGGUCAUCUAAAAUUAAGGCUUUGAAUAUUUUACCAAUUCUAAACUCUAGAAACUUGUUUCUUCCCGUUUCAAUGCUUAGAUUUACAUGAUGAGUUUCUAGUAAUCAACAUCGGCUUGAUUCUUCGUUUUUACUCGAUACUUCUUACGAGAAUCAAGUAGAUGGUUGAUUAAAGGUGAACCCUCAUAGCUUAUGGUUUUCAAAAGUUAAAUCACCACAAAUCUUCAAUUCUACAAGCUCCGGAAGGAGGUUCGGCGCGUGGAUCUCGCGUGAAGCCGAGGAUUCGGUGGACGCUUCGAGGAGUUGAGGCGUUGACGCUGCGAGGAGUUGCAGCAAGGUCGAUUGGUGGAUUCCUAUCGAUCGAGGACCGGCAAAGAUCACCGUCAACGAGAAAUCGGUAAAUUGAGUCGUGUGUUUUUGUCGAAAUCACUUGUACUCAAGUUUUCUUAGUGGAUUUUCUUUGCGUGAUCGGUCCCGUGGGUUUUUCACUCCGAAUUGGAGUUUUCCCACGUUAAAUUCUCGGUGUGCUAUUUUAAUUUCCGCUAUUGUGUUUUGUUUGCAUCGAGAUUUUUCGAGUUUGCCGGAUUUACACCUAUUCACCCCCCUCUAGGUGUUACUUACCUUUUAGAUCCUCGGGAUCCAUAUCUUACAAGUGGUAUCAGAGCGGGUAUAGGUUGUAAUUCAUGGCUGAGGGCGGUAACAUCAAUCGACCCCCGCUCUUCGAUGGCACUAACUAUGCUUAUUGGAAAGUCCGUAUGAGGGCGUUUCUUAUUGCUAUCGACGAGCGGGUUUGGCAAGCCAUUGAAUUCGGAUGGAAAAAUCCUACCGAAGUUGUCGAGAAUGUUACCGUGCCGAAACCUAGGAAUAAAUGGACGAAAGAGGAAAAUGAACUAUCUUCGUUCAACGGGAAAGGUAUCAAUGCUUUAUUCAAUGCUUUAAACCAAACUGAAUUUUCUCGCGUCUCGGCGUGCGAAACCGCCAAAGAGAUUUGGGACACUUUGCGAGUUACACACGAGGGUACAAGUUUGGUUAAGAUUCAAAAAUUGCAAAUGCUUACUAGCAGAUUUGAUUCCAUUCGUAUGGAAGAACAUGAAUCUUUUACCGAGUACUAUACUCGUUUGCAAGACAUUGUAAACACGUGUGCUAACUUGGGCGAGAAAAUUCCCGAUUCCAAAAUUGUUCGAAAAAUUUUGAGAACCCUUCCCGAACGAUUCCGUCCUAAGGUUGCGGCUAUCGAAACGGUUAAACAUCCUGAUGAACUCAAGGUAGAAGAACUAGUAGGUGCUCUUCAAACUUAUGAAAUGACUUUUCCAUCUAAUUCAUCUUCUUCCAAGUCUUUCUCUAAAGCCUCAGGGAUGGCUCUAAAAUCAACAAAAGGAGAUGCUUCUUCAACCUCAUCAGAUUCAGAGUCGGAGCAAAGCUUGGAGGACUUUGAGAAACAACUCGCACUUCUAACAAAGAAGUUCCGUCGGAACUUUAGAAAGAAGUUUCCUCCCAAGUCUACUUCAUCAAAGACAAACAAAUCAAAUGGGGGUCCGUCUUCUUCUUCCUCGUCAAAAUACAGAAAAUCUGAUAACUCUCAAAAGGACUCCACAAAAGAGAGGAAAAGCGGUGAAGGUCAAAUCCAAUGCUACAAGUGUAGGGGCUUUGGCCAUAUAGCGUCUGACUGUCCUAAUAAAAAGUCAUUGAAGAAGAAAGCUAUGCAAGCUAUGACUUGGGACGACUCCUCAUCUGAAGAUUCUACUUCGAGUGAAGAGGAUGUGAAUGCCACAGCACUGUUUGCACAGGAUUCAACUUUCAUGUGUCUAGCAUCUGCUGACUCGAUUUCUACGACAUCUAUACAAGAGAGGUCAUCUUCGGAGAACUCAUCGGAUGAAGAAUCGGACGAAGACGAUAUGGUCGCAGCAUAUCAACAAUUGGUUGUUGAAUCAAAGAAGAUGGCUAAACAUAACAAGAAACUGCGGCGUAGCCUACAUGAGUUGGAACAAGAAAAUUCAAAGUUGGCCUCUCUAACAAAGGAUUUAGAACAAGAGAGAGAUGGGUUGACCAAGGCUUACAAUUCUUUGCUUGAGAAGUGUUCGUUACUUGAAAAAGAAAAGGAGACUCAGGCGGAGAACAUCAAGUAUCUUACCAAGCAAAACUCAGAAGCUAGAGAAGCAAAUAUGGAAUUCACCAAGACGAUCAUUCAACUGAAGUCGGAUUUGAACCAAUUUUCAUCUGGCUCGAGCAAACUAGACAAGAUGCUUGGACUUGGUCAAACAAGUAAACUUGGACUUGGUUAUGAACGGACUUAUCUUGAUCAAGCUAUGAAGAAAGACGAUGGAAAUUCGUCAACGGCCGUUCCUAAACAUUAUGGUAAGUUUGUCUCUCCUAAAAACAAUGUGGCUAACAAAACUUGUCAUAUUUGUGGUCUUUUAGGACAUAUAAAGAAAUUCUGCUACCAAAUGGGAAAGAGCUCAAUAGCUUCUUUGAAGAGUGAUCCUAAAACGACAACGAAGUCAACUGUGAUUCCAAGGAAGAUAGAACAUAAGAAGAGACAAACUUGGACGCCAAAUACUCCAAAGCCAAAGGCAAAACAAGCGUGGAAACCAAAGAAGGAGGAUAUGAAGAAGAAGUCAAUUCAAAUCGUCGACAAGCCACGAUCAACAAAAGCAAGCGAACUGUCACAACCCAAAACACGUAAGGUUUGGGUGCGCAAAGGUGAACUCUUCCCAUGCCUAGUCAUUCACACUUCACUUCAUGCUUACGAUAACUCAUCUUGGUAUCUAGAUAGUGGCUGUUCCCGUCACAUGACCGGAGAUAAAAAUUGGUUUGCUUCUUUGACCAAAAUCUCCGGAGGACUUGUUGUCUUUGGGGACGGUCGAUCGUCAAAAAUCGUUGGAAAAGGAACAGUGGCUAUCUCAGAUGGCCCUACUUUGAACGAUGUUUUUUAUGUUGAGGGGCUUAAAUCUAAUCUCGUAAGCAUAAGCCAACUGUGUGAUGAUGGGUACUCUGUGAACUUUUCUGAUAAAGAAUGCCAUGUUACUCGUGAUGACAAUCUAUUCUUAAAGGGCAUUAGAUCUCAGAAUAAUUGUUAUGUAGUUCCUAGUUCGGCCACUGAACAUUGUAACCUAGCGUCAUUAGAAACUGAAACUUUAUGGCAUGAACGACUAGGUCACAUCAAUUUUAAAGAGCUAUCAAAGAUAACCAAGAAGGAAGUAGUUAGAGUUGUACCUAAGAUUGAUUUUAAAGAGAACACUGUGUGUGGGGGUUGCCAAUUAGGGAAACAAACUAGAUCCACACAUAAGAACUUGAACCACUUAGGGACAACUAAACCUCUAGAGUUACUUCACAUGGAUUUGAUGGGACCAUCUAGGAUUCAAAGUUUGGGUGGUAAACGUUAUAUUCUGCUUAUUGUUGAUGAUUUUACUCGAUAUGUAUGGAGUGCUUUCUUACGAGAAAAAGCUGAUACUUUUAAUUCUUUUUCUGAAAUCUGUCUUCGUCUUAUGACUGAACGAAAUGAGAAAAUCGUACGCAUUCGAAGCGAUCAAGGGGGAGAAUUCAUAAAUUCCAAAUUUGUUGAUUUCUGUGUUUCAAACGAUAUAAAACAUGAAUUCUCGGCCCCCUAUACACCCCAACAAAAUGGAGUGGUUGAACGUAAGAAUCGGGUUGUACAGGAGAUGGCUCAUGUUAUGCUUCAUAGUAAGAAAAUUGCUUUACAUUUUUGGGCCGAAGCAGUUAACACAGUUGUCUAUGUUAUCAAUCGGAUUUAUGUACGUCCGGGCACUUUGAAUACGCCUUAUGAACUUUGGCUUGGUAGAAAACCUAACAUUAAAUACUUUCGUGUCUUCGGGAGUAAAUGUUUUAUCCUUCGGGAUCGCAAAAAUCUUGGAAAAUUUGACUCUCGCAGUGACGAAGGCAUAUUUCUUGGUUAUUCUACUACAAGUCGUGCUUAUCGUGCGUACAAUUUACGAUCUAAGACGGUGAUAGAGUCUAUCAAUAUAAAAGUAGAUGAAGCUUCUUCUGUAAGUUCUUCUGUGAAUGGUUCUUCUAAUUCUUUGAUGAAUGACAAUGAUAAUGAUUCUCCGUUUGUAAUGCAUGUGAAUGAUGAUGUUUCUAUACCUGAUAAUUCCAUUGCAUCUUCUGAAAACAUUGCAUCAAAUGAUUCAUUUGAGCCACAAAACACUACGCCUGAAAUCCCUAGCGGAUCUCCUGAAACUAUCCCCCUGACUGAGUCAAGAGAUCAUCCUUUGUCGAAUGUGAUUGGGGAUCCUAAUGUUGGUGUGCGAACAAGAAGUCAGUUACAAUGUGAAUUUGCGUGUUAUGUUUCUUUGAUCGAGCCAAAGAAUGUUGACGAAGCUCUUGCUGAUGAAUAUUGGAUAAAUGCUAUGCAAGAAGAACUUGGUCAAUUUGUUCGCAAUGAUGUAUGGGAAUUGGUGCCUCGUCCUGAGCAACAACACAUUAUUGGUACCAAAUGGAUCUUUAAGAAUAAGAAAAAUGAGGAUGGUACUAUCGUGCGGAACAAAGCCAGACUUGUGGCUCAGGGGUACUGUCAAAUUGAGGGAAUAGACUUUGAAGAAACCUUUGCUCCGGUUGCCCGCCUUGAAUCUAUUCGUAUCUUGUUUGCGAUUGCUUGUCAUUUUAAAAUUACGCUUUUUCAAAUGGAUGUCAAAAGUGCGUUUUUAAAUGGAUUUUUAAAAGAGGAAGUUUAUGUUGAACAACCGAAAGGUUUUAUAGACUCAAAAUUUCCAAAUCAUAUUUUUCGACUGAAAAAGGCACUUUAUGGACUAAAACAAGCUCCGCGAGCAUGGUACGAACGUUUGACAAAAUAUCUUUUGGAAAAGGGCUAUAACCGAGGGGGAGCAGACAGAACUCUUUUUGUGAAGCAUCUGAAGAAUAAUUUCAAUGUAGCACAAAUAUAUGUGGAUGACAUAGUUUUUGGGGCUACUAAAGAUAAGGAUGCCGCUGAUUUUGCAAAGUUAAUGACCAGUGAGUUUGAGAUGUCAAUGAUGGGGGAGCUUAAUUAUUUUCUCGGGCUGCAAGUAAAACAAUCAAAAGAUGGAAUUCAUUUGUCACAGACAAAGUAUGCGAAGGAACUAGUUAAGAAAUUCGGACUAGAAAGUGCAAAGGAUUUUGUCACUCCGAUGGGUACAAGCAACAAAGGAUUGGGUUUGAAUUCAGAAGGUCAGAGUGUGGAUGAGAAACAGUACAGAAGCAUGAUUGGUAGCCUUUUGUAUCUGACUACGAGCAGACCUGACAUUGCGUUUAGUGUUGGAAUAUGUGCUCGUUAUCAGGCUAAUCCUAAGGAAGUACAUCUGAAAGCAGUUAAAAGGAUUAUUCGAUAUGUUAAAGGAACAACCGAGUAUGGACUAUGGUAUCCUAUGGGAACGUCUCUUGACCUAAUCGGCUACUCGGAUGCUGACUGGGCAGGCUCCGCAGAUGAUCGAAAAAGUACUAGUGGGGCAUGUUUUUACAUCGGACAUUGUUUGGUCGCUUGGCACAGUAAGAAGCAAAAUUGCAUCGCUCUUUCCACUGCAGAAGCUGAAUACAUUGCAGCUGGAAGUUGCUCUACUCAAUUGAUUUGGAUGAAAAGCUUACUAAGCGACUAUCGGAUUCCUUCUACCACUCUGACUAUUCUGUGUGACAACACAAGUGCAAUUAAUAUUUCAAAAAACCCUGUUUUACAUUCUCGAACAAAACAUAUUGAACUACGAUAUUAUUUUUUAAGAGAACUGGUAGAAUCAAACGUUUUACAACUUGAAUACAUUUCAACUGAAAAUCAACUUGCAGAUAUUUUAACCAAACCUUUGGAUCAAAAACGUUUUCUGCAUUUGAGAAAGGCAAUUGGUAUGAACCCAUCAAUCUAGAUGUAGUCUAUUGAGCCACAGAUCAUGUGCAUGGUGCAUAUUUUGUUUCUUUUCUUGCAUGAUUUUCUGUGUUUGACAGUAGAUUGAAUUUCGAGAAUAAUCUUGCUGUUUUGGGACGUGAAUUGGUCUAUGACUUGUAUUAUUUCAUAUUUGUUUUUUGGUUGAUCACUGUCAGGGUUAUUCUCUAUUGGCAUAUUUUUACACGAUCAAAUCAUUAAGAUUCUUGUUAACAUGUUGAAUCAUAUUCAGCACCUCAUGCGUCGAACUUUGAAUGUUGCAAUCAUUUGUUUGAUUAUUAGUUUUGAGAUGAAUAAAUCUUUCUCUGUUUUGAAAUAACUAUAAUAUUUUAACUUGAGGGUUGCACUAAUUUAGGGGGAGUCUUUCUAAUUCUAGCUAUGAAUAUUUCUGAAAUUCAAGAUGUGGAAAGAGUUACAUCCCUGCUGGGAGUGUGAAAACUACCACCACAUGGAGGAAAGAGCUACCACCCCGGUCGUCCGGUUAGUGUGUGCAGCUACCACAUGUUGAUUAAAGUAUUUAUGUGAGACAAAAGAAAAGUACUUCUCAGAAAGAAAAAAAAAAAGAAUAAUAUGCUCAAAGAGCUUUACAUCUUGUAGGUGAUAUAAGGUGGAAUGUCAAUAAAAGAUGCUCAAAGAGCCACUCCUGUCUCAGACGAUGUGCAUAACUCAAUUUAAUCAUAUUAUGUUAAUUUCACAAUUUUGAGAAAUAUUUAUUUCAUUUUCUUUAACAAAAUAUGAUGAUAAAAUGAUACAAUUUAUUUCUAAGAUCUUGCAUGAUGUGUGGGAUUUUAUUUUAUAUGUAUCAAGAAUUCUCAUUGAUUUUCGGUUAAAAAGUUUGAAAUUUUGAAUAUCCCUGAACUUGAUUUUUCAAAAUUCAUUUAUGAAAUUCUAUUUAAAGUUUUUUUUUUGGAUGAAAAUAAGUUAUUUGUGAUGAUUAGAUAUUAUGAGAUACCCUUCAUUUUUUUUGGAUUUUUUGGGGAGUAUUUAAAAUUUUUGAAAAUUUUCUGGCUCGGAGACCGGUCUCAGGGAAGAGAGACCGGUCCCUCCGCCCGAACCGAUAUAAAGGUUUUUGCGGGUUCUUCUUUUUCCUUACCAAUCUCGCUCAAGUUUUUUCUCCAGAGCUUCUAAUAUCCCCAGGUUGCUUUUGCUUCCAUUCUUCAUCAAUCUUCACUUGAUUUUGGUAUGAUUCUCGGAUUUUAUUUCAUUGUUAACCUAGAAUCCGAAUUUAUGCUUUAUUUUCAAUUUUUGGAGGAUUUGUUCCUAUUAUGUUGUUAGAUCUUUCCGUCUUUGCCCUGAUCUUACCCCUAGACAUGUUAGUCAACAUUUUCAUGCAUUAUUUCGUUUUUUAUAUACAAUUGUUUGGUUGUUUUUGCUACUUUUUCAUCAAAACCUAGGUUUUCGAAGUUUUCGUAUUUUUCUUUACUGAUUUUUUUUAUGCUUGAUUUGUUUAUGAUUUAUAUGAUCAUGUGGCUCAGAGGAUUAUCUAAUAUUUAUAUACGAAUUUGCUGAAAUUUUUGGUUUUAAGGAAAUUUUAUAUGUAAAUUUCAUUAUGUUUAACAGGUAAUUUUUUCACAAAAUGUACUCGUGGGUUCUCGUGCUUGUUGUCCUUAUGGCUGGGGGUGGUCGCGGUAGCAAGCGACAGCGCUCCUCGACUAAGAGGCCGGUUGAGCAACAACCGGAAGAUGAAGGGAGUGAAUAUGCCCCGGGUGAUGAAUCUGAGGAGGACGAGCAGGAUUGGGAGACUUUUGUUCCUGAAGUUUUAGCUAAGGUUAAGGACGCUGGGAAAGGCAAGGGCAAAGGAAAAGCCGUGGAUAAAGGCAAAGGAAAGGCGACUGAGCGUUCCGGUCGUCGUAAGUCCGGGGGUGUUGAGAUUCGAGAACCGGGCUCUGAACCACCACGUCGCAGUCUACAGGAUGUUCCAUCUAAUCGACGGUCAAUGUACUCGUCGAAACACUGCAUUGGUGAGCGAGAUGUUGGGGUGGCCAGUAUUAUUAGUUGUGUGCCGGGUUUUCAGGAUUUGUUUGAACAGGGGAAUCUUCAUCAGAUUUGUGAUUUCCCGGAGCAAACCGGUUAUUGUUUGGAGUUGAUCAGAGAGUUUUACAUGAGAGCAGGUCACCUCAGUGACUCCGAUGGGGGUCCGUACGUGUUUAAGACUUCUGUCCGUGGUGUUGAGUUAUCCAUCACUCCGGAGACAAUAGCUUCUGUGCUAGAGAUAGAAGCUAAGACUGACGGAGUGGAGUAUCUGCAGGCCGGGUUUGACUCACUUCGAGAUUGGAACCGUGUCGUGAACACUAUCUGCAUGCCGGGUACUGAAUCAAACGAAAUUAUGGUUAUGUCAAAAGAUUUCAAAAUGGAGUACAGGUUUCUGAACUUUGUGGUUUGCUACAACAUCAUGCCUCUCGCGAACACGAAAAUCUUGAGAUGGGAUCGGAUUCUGUACAUGUAUCUCUUGGGUAGGCCAGAUAUUGUGAGUGCAAAAAAAUAUUAACAUGAAUAUUCCAUUUCUGAUCUGGCGGCGGAUGGCGAAAGACAUCAAAACCUCUGGGCAAAAUGAGAGGUUACCAUUUCCUAUGAUAAUUAUGCGGAUUUUGCGACUUCGUGAGGUGGAUGUUCGGUGUACAUCAUAUGAGCACAGUUUAGGUCGGAUCAAUGAAAGGACGUUUGUAAAGUCCUCGGUGCAGCUUCGUACGCCGUCUCAACGUGCUUCUACCCCUCCUGCAGCUCCACCUCCUGCUACUGCUACUUCUUCCCGUCCUUCUAUCGACAUUUCUGAGGAAGAUGUUUCUGUUUCAUCGGUGUAUCGCGAGCAGCAACGUUUAUCUGAGGAGCUACAAAAGUUGUCUGCAGAACAAGCUGUGAUUCGUAAGGAUGUGAGCAAGAUGAAGCGCUUGUUGAAUAUGAUUUUUGACAUAUUGGGAUGUUGUCGGGCAGAUUUACCUCCAGGAGAUGAUUCUGACUAGGGGUUAUCGAGCUUCUUCUUUUGUCGUUUUGGCGCUUUCUGACAAAAAGGGGGAGAUGGAUGGGAUGGUCUUAAUGAUGAUGAUGAUGCAUUGGUGCAUUCCUGAUGUUUAGUUAGUUAAGAUGUUUAAUGCAUUCCUGAUGUUUAGUUAGUUAAGAUGUUUAAUUAUGAACUAUGAUGCUUUAGGUGUCUGACUUAGUGCUUUCGGUUAGUUUGACUAUGAACUAUGAAGUGUGAACUUUAGUUGAUUGUUUGAUCUUCUUGAUACUUGAAUCUUGAUUAUGUUUUGAGAAUGUUUUUGCAGGAAUAAUUCAAGACUUCAAGACUCCAUGUCUAAGUCAUAGAGUUUGUAUUAAGGUUGUAAAAGUGUAAAUUUUGUUUAUUGGAUUGAUCAUGCAGGAGAUUAUCGUUUGGUGAUUGCGAUGAUCUUCUUUUUAUGACUUAUUGGUUGUAUACAAACUUUGUGUUAUAUUUUGUCACGAAAUCGCCAAAGGGGGAGAUUGUUAAGGAUUUUAUAGGUUGGCGAAUUUCGUAAAGUUGUUUGGAGUCUUGAAGAGUUGAUCGCAGAAGUUUUUGAGAAAAGAUUCAAAUUGGAGGACAAAGACUCAUUCGGAAAGAUCGACACCUAAGGUAUGAAGAAAAGAUCAUUUGUGGUGAAGAUACAUAAUUAGAAUAAGUUCAGAAGGCUUAGAUUGUUUUUAAACAACUUUUCUGAACUUUCUUGUGUUCUGGGACCGGUCUCUGAAAUGGAGAGACCGGUUCCCCCAAGGUCCUCACUGCGUAAACCUUGAUGCAACCGGUCCCCUGUGAUGAGAGACCGGUUCCCGAACCUUGGUGGUUCUGUCGCGCAGCGAGGGACCGGUCUCAAGUUUGAGAGACCGGUUCCCGAACGUGGGGUUUUUGGUCACGCAGGGAGGGACCGGUUCCUCACUUGAGAGACCGGUCUCUCACAGACCGGUCUCCUCGACAGGACCGGUCUCUGAGGACGACACAGGUUUUUGAAAUCGACUUUUUGCAAUCCUAGUCUACUUCUAAGUCUUCUAAACAUAUAAAUAAGCUAUGUGGGUCAUCUAAAAUUAAGGCUUUGAAUAUUUUACCAAUUCCAAACCCUAGAAACUUGUUUUCUUCCCGUUUCAAUGCUUCGAUUUACAUGAUGAGUUUCUAGCAAUCAACAUCGGCUUGAUUCUUCGUUUUUACUCGAUACUUCUUACGAGAAUCAAGUAGAUGAUUGAUUAAAGGUGAACCCUCAUAGCUUAUGGUUUUCAAAAGUUAAAUCACCACAAAUCUUCAAUUCUACAAGCUCCGGAAGGAGGUUCGGCGCGUGGAUCUCGCGUGAAGCCGAGGAUUCGGUGGACGCUUCGAGGAGUUGAGGCGUUGACGCUGCGAGGAGUUGCAGCAAGGUCGAUUGGUGGAUUCCUAUCGAUCGAGGACCGGCAAAGAUCACCGUCAACAAGAAAUCGGUAAAUUGAGUCGUGGGUUUUUGUCGAAAUCACUUGUACUCAAGUUUUCUUAGUGGAUUUUCUUUGCGUAAUCGGUCACGUGGGUUUUUCACUCCGAAUUGGAGUUUUCCCACGUUAAAUUCUCGGUGUGCUGUUUUAAUUUUCGCUAUUUUGUUUGUUUGCAUCGAGAUUUUUCGAGUUUGCCGGAUUUACACCUAUUCACCCCCCUCUAGGUGUUACUUACCUUUUAGAUCCUCGGGAUCCAUAUCUUACACAAUGAAAGGACGUUUGUAAAGUCCUCGGUGCAGCUUCGUACGCCGUCUCAACGUGCUUCUUCCCCUCCUGCAGCUCCACCUCCUGCUACUGCUACUUCUUCCCGUCCUUCUAUGGACAUUUCUGAGGAAGAUAUUUCCGUUUCAUCGGUGUAUCGCGAGCAGCAACGUCUAUCUGAGGAGUUUCAGAAGUUGUCUGCAGAACAAGCUGCGAUUCGUAAGGAUGUGAGCAAGAUGAAGCGCCUGUUGAAUAUAAUUUUUGACAAAUUGGGAUGUUGUCGGGCAGAUUUACCUCCAGGAGAUGAUUCUGACUAGGAGUUACCGAGCUUCUCCUUUUGUCGUUUUGGCGCUUUCUGACAAAAAGGGGGAGAGAUGGAUGGAUGGUCUCUAUGAUGAUGAUGAUGCAUUUAGCUUAGGGCUUUGCUUAGUUAAGAUGAAGAUGAACUUUGUUUUAAUGCUUUAGGUGUUUGACUUAGUACUUUCGUUUAGUUUGACUAUGAACUAUGAAGUGUGAACUUUAGUUGAUUGUUUGAUCUUCUUGAUAAUUGAAUCUUGAUUAUGUUUUGAGAAUGUUUUUGCAGGAAUAAUUCAAGACUUCAAGACUCCAUGUCUAAGUCAUAGAGUUUGUAUUAAGGAUGUAAAAGUGUAAAUUUUGUUUAUUGGAUUGAUCAUGCAGGAGAUUAUCGUUUGGUGAUUGCGAUGAUCUUCUUUUUAUGACUUAUUGGUUGUAUAUGAGCUUUAUAGUAUAUUUUGUCACGAAAUCGCCAAAGGGGGAGAUUGUUAAGGAUUUUAUAAAUUGGCGAAUUUCGUAAAGUUGUUUGGUGUCUUGAAGAGUUGAUCGCAGAAGUUUUUGAGAAAAGAUUCAAAUUGGAGGACGAAGACUCAUUCGGAAAGAUCGACACCUAAGGUAUGAAGAAAAGAUCAUUUGUGGUGAAGAUACAUAAUUAGAAUAAGUUCAGAAGGCUUAGAUUGCUUUAAAACAACUUUUCUGAACUUUCAUGUGUUCUGGGACCGGUCUCUGAGAUGGAGAGACCAGUUCCCCUAAGGUCCUCACUGCGUAAACCAUGAUGCAACCGGUCCCCUGUGAUGAGAGACCGGUUCCCGAACCUUGGUGAUUCUGUCGCGCAGCGAGGGACCGGUCUCAAGUUUGAGAGACCGGUUCCCGAACGUUGGGUUUUUGGUCACGCAGAGAGGGACCGGUUCCUCACUUGAGAGACCGGUCUCUCACAGACCGGUCUCCUCGAGAGGACCGGUCUCUGAGGACGACACAGGUUUUUGAAAACGACUUUUUGCAAUCCUAGUCUACUUCUAAGUCUUCUAAACAUAUAAAUAAGCUAUGGGGGUCAUCUAAAAUUAAGGCUUUGAAUAUUUUACCAAUUCUAAACCCUAGAAACUUGUUUCUCCCCGUUUCAAUGCUUAGAUUUACAUGAUGAGUUUCUAGCAAUCAACAUCGGCUUGAUUCUUCGUUUUUACUCGAUACUUCUUACGAGAAUCAAGUAGAUGGUUGAUUAAAGGUGAACCCUCAUAGCUUAUGGUUUUCAAAAGUUAAAUCACCACAAAUCUUCAAUUCUACAAGCUCCGGAAGGAGGUUCGGCGCGUGGAUCUCGCAUGAAGCCGAGGAUUCGGUGGAUGCUUCGAGGAGUUGAGGCGUUGACGCUGCGAGGAGUUGCAGCAAGGUCGAUGGGUGGAUUCCUAUCGAUCGAGGACUAGCAAAGAUCACCGUCAACGAGAAAUCGGUAAAUUGAGUCGUGUGUUUUUGUCGAAAUCACUUGUACUCAAGUUUUCUUAGUGGAUUUUCUUUGCGUGAUCGGUCCCGUGGAUUUUUCACUCCGAAUUGGAGUUUUCCCACGUUAAAUUCUCGGUGUGCUGUUUUUAAUUUCCGCUACUUUGUUUUAAUUGCAUCGAGACUUUCGAGUUUGCCGGAUUUACACCUAUUCAUCCCCCUCUAGGUGUUACUUACCUUUUAGAUCCUCGGGAUCCAUAUCUUACAUCGGGUAGUUCUUCUCAUAUUCCUUUAGUUGGCGAGAAGCAUACGCGAUCACCUUGCCAUCCUGUAUCAAUACACAGCCCAAUCCAUUAAGUGAAGCAUCACUAUAAACCACAUACCCUGCUCCAGCUACUGGUAGGGUCAAGAUCGGGGCGGUCGUCAAUCUCUGCUUCAACUCUUGGAAGCUUCGCUCGCACGCGUCAUUCCAAAUGAACUUGACUCCUUUGUGCGUGAGCCUCGUAAGGGGAGUAGACAGUUUAGCAAACCCCUCUACAAAUCUCCGGUAGUAACCGGCCAAUCCAAGGAAGCUACGUAUCUCCGUGACACUCGUCGGUAUCGGCCAAUCCUUGAUUGCUUCAAUCUUCUUGGGAUCCACGGCUAUACCCGAUCCCGAAAUCAAGUGUCCAAGGAAAGCUACCUCUCGAAGCCAAAAUUCACAUUUCUUCAACUUGGCAUAAAGCUCCUUUUCCCGAAGUACUUGGAGUACAAUCCUCAAAUGCUCCUCGUGAUCUGCAUCACUUCGAGAGUAGACCAAAAUAUCGUCGAUGAACACCACGACGAACCUAUCCAGGUAAGGCUUAAAGACACGGUUCAUCAGAUCCAUAAAAGCUGCCGAGACAUUAGUAAGCCGAAACGGCAUAACUGUGAACUCGUAAUGUCCAUACCGUGUUCUAAAAGCCGUCUUCGAUACAUUCUCGGGCUUGAUCUUCAACUGGUGGUAUCCCGACUGCAAGUCAAUCUUGGAAUACACACAUGAUCCCUGAAGCUGAUCAAACAAGUCGUCGAUCCUCGGCAAUGGAUACUUGUUCUUGAUCGUGACUUUAUUAAGUUCACGAUAAUCCACGCAAAGGCGAAGUGAUCCGUCCUUCUUCUUGACGAACAAAACUGGUGCUCCCCAAGGUGAAACACUCGGUCGAAUGAAGUCUUUGUCCAACAAAUCCUGCAGCUGUGCCCUCAGCUCCCUCAGCUCUGCCGGUGCCAUCCUAUAGGGUGCCUUUGAGAUUGGGGUAGUCCCAGGGACGAGAUCUACUACAAACUCAAUCUCCCUAUCAGGAGGCAUACCCGGUAGCUCAGCUGGAAACACAUCCCGAAACUCUCGCACCACAGGAAUAUCCUCGAUCCUAGGGGUGUCAUCCUCGCCCCUCAACACGACACUAGCCAAAUAGGCUACACAGCCUCUGCUGAUCAGCUCCCUAGCUCGAGACGAGCUGAUCGUCAUCGCAAACAGCGAACUCCGGCAUCCACUAAAUACCACCUCAGUCUGCCCAGGUUCUCUAAAAGUAACCGUGCGAUUCUUGCAAUCAAUCGUGGCAUAAUACUUGGUCAACCAAUCCAUGCCCAAGACCACAUCAAAAUCCCCCAGCUUGCGCAAAGCUAGCAAAUCUAUAGGCAUGACCUAAUCUCCUACCCGAAUAGGGCAACUGGGGCUAUACUCUCUAAUGUCCAAGAUGUGGUCGGGUACAACAACAUGUCCCGUAUGCAACAAAGAAACCAAAGGGAUGCCAUGCAACUCGGCAAACAGCCGAUCUAUAAAUGAAUGCGAUGCACCGGUAUCGAAUAAAGCACGAACUCUAAUGCCAUCGAGUAAAAUAAUACUUGCAACCACAUCCUCGGCUGCUGCCGCCUCCUCGGUCUGAGCGGCGUACAUGCGCCCACUCGGGGCCUGUCGAGAUCCCUCGCUCUGGCGCUGGGCGGGUGGCCGCCCAGGCUGGUACUGUGUCGACGGAGUCCCGUGGCUGACGGCUGGUAGAGCCGGUGCCGAUGCAUUCGACGGUGCCGGUGAAGAACCUCUCGGGCACUCGGUACGGACGUGGCCCUCCUGGCCACACUAGAAGCACCUGCCCGCUCGCUGUAGACACUGCGGUGGGUAAUAGGGACCAACGCAGAUCACGCACGGGGAAGGCCGGCGCCGAUCGGAUCCUCCUCGCUGUGCUGUUGAGCCGCGUCCACGGUGCUGGCUCCUCGGAUGCUUCGGCGGCCUCCUAGAGUGCGCCUGGCUCGCACCCUCAGCCGUAGGCCUCUUGGCCUUACCCUUGUCCCUAGCCUCUCGCUACUCCUGGACCUCUGUCGCGCCGCUCUCCACGAUGAGCGCGCGAUCCACCACCUCCCGGUAGGUUUGGAGGUUAGAGGAUUGCAUAAACCGGAAAAUCGACGGUCGCAACCCUCACUCGAAGAUGCGGGCUUUGUCCUCGUCGUACCGCACGACGAAGGGCAUGCAAUGCAGAAGCCGAGAAAACUCCCUCUCAUACUCGGCUACGGUCCUGUCACCCUGGCGCAAGCUGCGCAAAUCCUGCUCCAUCUUCCUCUUGACGCUAGUCGGGAAGUAGUGCGCCAGAAGAAGCUCCUUGAACCUCGUCCAAGUAAUAGCUGACAAGUCUGUGCGGGGGUUCUCCUAGAGAUCCAACCACCAGCGGUAGGCCACGCCGUCCAAAUGGUGAGUGGCGAGCCAAACUCUGUCCCUCUCCUCUACGAAGGUGUCGCGGAAGAGCUUCUCCAUAUGCAUCAACCACUUCUCCACGAUCCAGUGAUCGACCUUCUCGCCAUCGAAGACUCGGGGAUUGCACCUCCUGAACUCAUUGAGGCGCUCCAUCAGUCUGUCCCGCUCCGCCCCCUCAACCAAUGCAGGAAACGCUGCUCCAACCGGGGGCCUCUGCACAGAUGGGGCUACCAAAACCUCCUCUGGGGGUGCGGCCGCAGGCGCCGCACGCGAAGAACUGGGCGCGGGGGACGGCGCUCUUGGUGCAACGUCCACAACUGGUGCUGGCGGUGUAGGGGCCUGAGUCUCCCUGGAAGCUGCCGCCUGCUGCAAUAGUAGGUCCUCUAGACGCUUCAUCCGCGCCUCCUGUCGGCGCGCCGCCUUGGUCUGCUGUCGGGCCGCCUCUGCCUGCUGAGUGACCAAAUCAGUGAGGGCCGCAGGCUGGCCCCUGAACUCACGGACCUCGCUGGAUCCGGAGGUAGCGGAGGUCUCGACCUCCUCGAAGUUUGCCGCAUUGUCCGCCCCGGCAGAUUGGGAGCGAGUAAUCAGCAUCGUCACUACAACAUUAUAAGGCGUAAGUUAGUAAAACCCACGCUAUCGCAUCCCCGCUCAAAAUAGACAAACCCCAAAUCAUGCGAAAGUAAAGAAGUGUUCUUCACUACUAACUCCCGAUGUUACGUUGUCGGCCGCCAACGUAAUCCUCCGCGAAGUUAGAAGCCAAACACUCCAAUCAACUCUAACUUUUUAGAGUUAUCAUAAUACCCAAUCAUGAUACUUUCGCUCACAAGUCGAAUAGACCUCGUCUCUCUCGAGCCUAUUUCCUAUAGUCCAACCGGCCUAAGGUUUGCUAGAUCCCCUAAGACUCAACCCUAGGCUCUGAUACCAAAUUAAUCUGUCACGCCCCGGGACCCAGCGGAAGCCCGCCCGGCACGUGUCCAGACCCGCCAUAUGUCUAAAACAUAUAAGGCGUCUAAAAACAACAAUAAUAAAAGCGAUAGUAAAAGACAUCUAGGAGUAUCAGAGCAUAAUGAAAGUCUAAAUGCUACAAUAAAGGAUAAGGAUAAAACUGUAAAUCCACUAAAUAAGACAUAAAGUAAUACAAGGAAAUUCCAGGUAUAAGUGCUAUAGGUAGAUACAUAGGUGGUCUCUAUACAUGGAUUCAAAAACCUCUCACUCUCUCAACUACAAAAAGAAAGAGUAAACCACCUAGGCAAAGUACCGCUCCUCGCUAGCUAGCUAAGCAAUCCCCUUGCUGCGAUCCUGUGCCUCCGCCGGUGCCGAAGGCUCUGAAAAGUAAACCAUAAAACAGGGGCGUGAGAACUAUUAAAAAUAGUUCCCAGUGGGCAAUUACUGACUUCAGUGAAUGCACCAUGAGGCCGAAAGCUACAAAGAUGUCAGUGAACUAUGCAUGAAGUAAAAGUCUCCAACUAUCAUAAUGUCCACAAUGCGAAAUAGUAAAGUUCCGUUGUUUACUAUUCUAGUCAAUGUCCAAGUAAUACUCUAAGUCAUUAUCUGUCCACGUGUCGUAAUGAAUACUCAAAGUCAAAUCUGAAGAGACCCACCCGAAGGCUGUCUAUGGCCCUGAGACCCACCCGUAGGCUGUCUGGCCGGUGCCGAGCCUAAUGGCCCCAUGGUAGUCAUCAUCCCCACCCUAGGAAUGAGCCUGUCCCAUGGCAAUCCACUUCGGCGCCCAAUCCCGCACGGCGAAUAUAAAUCGCGAUGGCCAUCUCCGGAGUGCCGGCUUGUAGGGAGCGACCCUUACAAGCAUGUGCGAAUGAGCACAAUGGCAAGUAGUCACACAAUCUGUCACAAGUACCAAGUCCUCAUGUCUAAUAACAUGAAAUGUGUCAAGUAUCUCAAUGGCCUAUCCCUAUGUCAUCAUGUCUCUAACAUGGAAUAUAGCAGAUAUGUAGUGGCCUAUCAACAUGUCUCUACGUUGCAGUUUCAUAGUUUACUAGUUUCAAGUGCCCCUUUAUGACACUCUUGUUCUCUAUGACAAACCAUGGUAACUAUAUUCCGAAGUACAUAUUCCAAGUCAUAAUCCUCAUAAGGGAUGUAUUUUUCACUUGCAAAAUAAACACUUUUCCCGUAUGCAUGCAUUCUACUCAUAUAGCUUUACUAUAUAGUGAAAUUUUCAUAAUACACAAGGCAUGCAUUUUAAGUGCUCUAAAAUUUAUAUAAAUUUCAUUUAGCAUAGAAAUGAACUUAAAAAUAUUUUACAACAAAUAGAAAGAGCAUAGGGGCCAUUUCGCCCCAUUUCCACGAAGCCAAACCCACCAAAAUCGACUUCUUCGUUUCGCCGAACGAAGGUAUCCACAAGCUUCCUAGUACCCUAGAAACAUCAAAAAUAGGGUCACCCAAACUAAACGAAGAGCAAAUAGCUCAAUCAUUAACCAACUCAAGCUAGGGUUGGGAGGAACUCACCUCAAGUGAAAAACCUUCUCUAAAUCCUCAAAUAGAAGGUAGGGGUCUUCCAAUCUAACUUAUAUAAAGGUUCCAAACCCAUCAAAAGAGAUCAGGAAGCCUCAAAUCUAAAAACCCCCAAAAUAAAUCCUAAAUCCCAAAAUCUAGGGUUUCAUCUAGCAAAACCUAGGAAACAAGUAUCAAAUGGGGAUUAUAAGCUACCAACCUCAAGAGAAGCUCCAAUCCAAGCUCAAAACCAAGUAGGGUUGAAGUUUGAUCCUCCACAAAGCUCCAGCCGCAAGUUCAAAGCCACCAAAGGUGAGAAAUGAUGAAGAAGAUGGUGCUCCAAGGCCUCCAAGCAAGCUCCUUCUCCUCUUCUUCUCCUUCUUCUCCUUCCCUUUCUCUCUCUAGAAGUGUAGGAAGAGUGUGAGGGAGAGAAAAUAAGAGUGAGAGGGGAGGAGAGGCUGCCUAUGGCCUCUAAGGUAACAAAAUCCACUUAGGCCCCUCAAAAACUCAAAUUUACAUCAGCCCGGUCUGAGCAGUUUUCGCCCAGAGGGACCGGUCUCCCCGACCUGGGACCGGUCUCUCAGCCUGCCCCCGACAAUCCAACGUUUGGGAACCGGUCUCUCCCUGCGCGGGACCGGUCUCUCCCCGCGCAGACGCGCUCGGGGACCGGUCUCGACUGCCAGGAACCGGUUGCCUCGCCGGCUGCGCAGCACUGUUCACUGGGGGACCGGUCUCUCCCAUCAGGGACCGGUCCCCGAGAGUAAAAACUCUCAGGACUCUGCCAAAACUUUCGAGAUCGAACUUUUAGGCCGGUAUACCAUCGACGGCCCUCCACCAAGUGUGGAAAUGUUUGGAAUACACAUCGAACACUCGAACGUCGCAAUUUGUAAAGGUCCAGUGUGCUACAAGUUUGUAGCACUGAACUUCAGAACAGUUGGCAAUGCAAAUUUUGGAUUCUUAAUUUCUGAUUUUAAGGGCUCUAUCUUACGAUUUUGACAGUGCGAUGUAUGAGAUGUACUUAUACACCAGGAUUAAUCUCUUUUGUUCUUUUGAACCAUAAAAUGUAGGAUAUUGAAAUGAUUAUCUAAUACUAAAAAAUUUAUUUGUUUAAGUUUCAGACGCAUCUAGCGCUCGUAAUAUUCAUCCACAACCUCAUUACCCUGCAGGUAAAAAUUAAACUUAUAUUAAUUGGUUUUCAUAUUAAAAAAUUAUUUGACUAAUCUUUUAUUAACUUUAGUAUUGUUUAAUUUGUAGGUUCAACAUCUUAAUUGCCGAGCUCACUACGACUGGAUCUGAUAUGAUAUUAUUAGCUUUUGUUUUCAUUUCUCCUUCUCUUGGGUUGAAAAGCUAGAAAUUAUUGGUAUUGUGAUUUAGUGACUAAAUACUCGUUUAAAGAUAUAUGGAUAAUACCUUGAGACAUUUUGGUAUUAAUUAGUGUAACUACAAAACUUCUUUUAUAUGCUUUCUUUGUUAAUGCAAAUCAAGGCGAAUAAAAUUAAAGGUAUGCUUAAUGAUAAUGUAAUGCACUGGAUCUUGCAAAUCGCAAGAUUCGAGUGUUUGAUCUGUGUCUUGAGCUUUUUCACAGUUUUUGUAGGGUCGUUGAUAGUGUUCCGACCCCUGGCACGCACCCCGAGGACGUUGGUUUGAAACUUGGCACCAAAAUUCCAAAAUUGGAAUUCUUGGUCAGUUCUCGGGUAGCCUGCAGCAGGGCUUGUACCGGAACAAGGAUGGUCUUGUACCGGUACAAGGUUGAUGGUUGUACCGGUACAGAGCCGCAGACCCAGCCACCCGAGCCUCGGGUUUGCAUUUUCGUGGGCCUUGUACCGGUACAAGGGCCCGUGUACCGGUACAAGGGGGCAGUUUUUGGGCAGAUUGUUCUGCAGGGGUGUUUUUGCUAUUGUAGCAAUACUAUAACAGCACCCACGCCCCUAGGGCUCUUCUUUGAGCUUGCCACUGUAGGGAGUAAGGUAAGGGGAGCUUCUCUUUGCUUCUCUUUGGUUUUAAUCUCCCUCUAGCCUAGAUUUUGGUGGAUUAAUCCCUCUCUUUCUCCUCUUUUGUGCUUUUCCUCCAUGGAUGAAGUUGGAGCUUGGUUUUGGGAGCUUGAGUGAGGGAAAAUCCUUGAAGUUUGGAGACUUUGAGCUUGGAUUGAGGCUACUUGGGGGUAAGUAGUAUGUUACUCUCCUCUAGAUUUGGUUUUGAUAGUUUCUUUGAAGUUGCAACCCUAGAUUUUGCAUUUUAGGGUUGUUUUUGGGGAUUUUCGUUUGAGGGCUUUUGUACCAAAUUGAUGGUUUAGAACCUUUGUUUAGGUUAGAUUGGAAGGACUCUAGCUCCCAUUUGGAGAUUGAGAGAGCUUCCUUCGCAAUCGGUGAGUUUUCUCCAACCCUAGCCCAAGAUGCUUAAAGAUUGAACUUAGCGUCGUUCGUUUCGACUAGAUGACACUUGUUCUCAUACCUUUAGGGUACUAGGAGUGUGGUGGACGCCUUCGUCGUGGCAAACGAAAGCUUUCGUUGACGACGGUGGGUUUGGCUUCUUUGAAAUGGGAGGAAAUUCCUCCUAUGCGGUUAAAUGCUUUCAUUUACCAUAAGUUCAUGUAUAUUCAUGUUUAGUAGCAUUUAUGAGAGUUUUUGAAUGCUUAGAACUCAUAUGUUAUGCAUCAAGAAAAUUUACUCUAUAUAGUAGAGAGAGACAAUGUGCUUUGUUAAUAUGCAUGCGGCGAACAUUCUAUGAGAUGGUAAGAAAUCAAGUUUCUUGCUUCGAUUUUGACUAAAAUUAUAAGUGCUUGAACUUAGUAUCCAUGUUGGGACAAAAUAAGCCAUAGUGUCAUAAAGAGGCACUUGGCCGAGAGAAUUAUUAAACUGCAAUAUAGAGGCUUGAUAAUAGGUCACGUUGACAUCAACUAUAUUCCAUAUUUAAGAUAUGAUGAAAUAGUGACUUGGCCACGAUGACAUUUAUUAUAUUCCAUGUUUGAGACAUGACGACCUAGAGAUAGGCCUAUGAGAUUAGUGACAUAUUCCAUGUUAUUAGACAUGAGGACUUGGUACUUUUGACAGAUCGUUUGACUACUUGCCAUUGUGCUCAUUCGCACAUGCUUGUGAGGGUCGCUCCCUAUAAGCCGGCACUCCGGAGAUGGCCAUCGCGAUUUAUAUUCGCCGUGCGGGAUUGGGCGCCGAAGUGGAUUGCCGUGGGCCAGGCUCAUUCCUAGGGUGGGGAUGAUGACUACCACGGGGCCAUUAGGCUCGGCACCGGCCAGACAGCCUACGGGUGGGUCUCAGGGCCAUAGACAGCCUUCGGGUGGGUCUCUUCAGAUUUGACUUUGAGUAUUCAUUAUGACUUGUGAACAGAUGAUGACUUAGGGUACUACUUGGACAUUGACUAGAAUAGUAAACUACGGAACUUUACUAUUUCGCGCUGUGAACAUUGUGAUAGUUGGAGACUUUCACUUCAUGCAUAGUUGUUUUCAUACUUAUGCUAUUUAUGCUAAGUAGAGACUGUAUGUUGUAGUAAGUUACAAUUUUACUUACCUUUCACUUUUCUACUUUUAUAAUCACUGACAUCUUUUGUAGCUUUGGGCCUCGUGGUGCAUUCACUGAAGUCAGUAAUUGCCCACUGGGAACUAUUUUUAAUAGUUCUCACGCCCCUAUUUUAUGGUUUACUUUUCAGAGCCUUCAGCACCGGCGGAGGCACGGGAUCGCGGCAAGGGGAUCGCUUAGCUAGCUAGCGAGGAGCGGUACUUUGCCUAGGUGGUUUACUCUUUCUUUUUGUAGUUGAGAGAGUGUGAGGUUUUUGUAUCCAUGUAUAGAGACCACCUAUGUAUCUACCUAUAGCACUUGUAUCUGGGAUUUCCUUGUAUCACUUUAUGUUUUAUUUAGUGGAUUUACAGUUUUAUCCUUAUCUUUUGUGGUAGCAUUUAGACAUUUAUUAUGCUCUGAUAUUCCUAGAUGUUUUUUAUUAUCGCUUUUAUUAUUAUUGUUUUUAGACGCCUUAUAUGUUUUAGACGUAUGGCGGGUCUGGACACGCGCCGGGUAGGCUUCCGCUGAGCCCCGGGGCGUGACAGAUAAUCAUCGUGGAGUGGUCACUACAACAGAAUUAGGUUAUAGGGACACAUGUUUGGGACACUUUUGAGUAAGUGUCCCAUUUAUGGUAAAACUUAAAACCACAUCUACUAAUGCUUAAAUAUAAAGCCCAAUCCAACCAAAAAUAAAAGAUUACUCUACUCAACCCACCACACCCAGUCCAUUUGGCCUGAUUACAAACAGAAAAGAAAAAAAAAAGAAAAUUCAAUUUUCAUCUUUUCUUCUCUCUUCACUCAAUCCACUGAAAUUCUAGACGAAGAGCCUUUACUGUCGUCCUCCUCCGCCACCGCAGUCAACGAGAUAGAGUUUCGGAGGUUGCUAAAUGCUUAAAUAAGUGUUGAUAAAUUAGUAGCACUUUUUUAGGUUAUAGCGACACUCUUUAACUGUCACUAUAUACCUAGCGACCCCACAUAUAGCAGCACUUUUUAAAAGUGUCGGUAAUUUUAGCUAGCAGCACUUUUUUGACAUUUACCUAUAUUUAAAAGUGUCGCUAUAGACCGUUUUUGUUGUAGUGGGUAUUAUAUUUUAAAAAGUGUGAUGCAUCAAAAAAAAUUUGGAUAUUUAAAGAAAAUGGGAUAGUUAUAAAGUGUCGCUGAAAUUAAAAAAGGUGUUGCUAGAAUAUUAUUUUGCAUUACUUUUAUGUGCUGCUAAAAGCUUAAAUAAGUGUCGGUAUAUUAGUGGCACUCUUUUUAGGUUAUACCGACACUCUUAAAAAGUGUCACUAUAUACCUAGCGACACCACAUAUAGCAACACUUUUUAAAAGUGUCGGUAAUUUAGCCAUUAGCACUUUUUUUGACCCAUACCGACAUUUAAAAGUGUCGCUAUAUCCCGUUUUUGUUGUAGUGCUAAAAAAUAAUAUUCGAAGUUUUUCCUUAAAAUAACUUAUGAGUACAAAGAAAAUUAUACUCGUGAUAGUAUAAAAAUAGUCAAUCUCUCUCUAUAAAUAUAUUAUAAAAUAACUUAACUUUACAUUUAGAAUGUUCUGAAAUAUUCAAAAAGGGACACAAUAUUUUAGAUUUUAAAUGCUAAUUAGUUACAAUUUCUGACUCAAAUUAUGAGACAUAUGAUAUUUUUAAUUCUCAACUCUUAUUACUGCUAUAAAUAUAAUUCUUCUUAUAGUUUUUUUUUAUUUAAAUGCUUCUUAAAUUUUUACUGUAGUAGCUGUUGUUUCAACUUAAAUUUUUUUAUCUGUAUUUUUUUAUUCUUCGACUUUUUUUUCUUAUUUUUUAUUUUAAGAUCUAUAUCAUGAAAUAGAAUUUAAAUUAUUAACUUUGUAAGUCAUGUAUGUUUAAUUAAGUUUUGAUUUAAAAAAUAUUUAUCAUCUAAUAUAAGUUGUGGUGCAUAAAAUGUUAAUAUAUAUCAUGUGAAUGUAAGAAUUUUUUCUUUUCCAAUCAAUUUUAAUAAAGUAAAGACAUCUUCGCCUUUUCGGCAAUUUAAAAUACGUUCCCCACUUUUAACUUUUUAGUUAACAAAGUUAUUUAUAGAACAGUUUCCAAAACUAUUAAAAUUAAUUAAUUUUUAAAUAAAAUUGUUAAAAAUAAUAUAACUAUUCAAAAAUUAAGGAAAUAUUAAUAUAAAAGUUAUUUUUGUAAUGUACAUAACAUUAUUUUAUAAUAUUUUUAUUUAGUUAUAAUUUUUUAAUCUUAAAAUUUUAAUAAUUAUAUAUUUUUAUUGACUACCCGCUGCGGAGUACGGACCUGCACUAGUAUAGAAUUAUUCUUUAGUUAAAAAAAAAACAAAAUUACCAAAUAAGUUCUUAACUUAGUAAAUUACUAGAUUAAUAUAAUAUAAUAGCAUAAUCUAGUUUAAUUGUAUUGGUGGGCCAAUAGAAAAGCAUUAUUUUCCAUUGGGUUAAUUGCAAUAAAACGAGAAACUAUUUGUUAAACUUUGAUAAAAAUGUACAGAAAUUUUCAAAAGUUAUGGCUACAAAAUUUUCAAUUUGUUUGAUUUGAACAAAUCAUCAAAACUUUGACUUCCAAAUUGAAGUUAAUUACUAGUUUUAAUGAAUUAUAGUUGCGAGAAUUAUAUAAAAUAUACUAAACAAACCUAUAAUUAAGAAUAAAUGGCGGAUUCAAAUUUUGAAAUCAAAGACUCAAAUAAAAUAAAUUGAAAAAUUAUAAAGCAAAGUAAAAUUUUUAAAAGAUUGAAUAAGUAAUGCAAAACGUAUGGUUAACAGUUGGGAUUAUUUCUGGACGUUUUUACUUUAGAAACUACUAACUUGUAAUACUAGUGAGGGAGGAAGCUAAUGCUUAAUCUGCGCCAACAUGUGCCGGGCGUCUCUGCUGCUGGGCCUCUCAUUCGGAUCAUCGUACGUGCAGAAGCAAGCAAUCUUCAGAACCAACAGCAUCUGCUCCUCAAACCCCUUCCCCACCAGCUUCCGGUCGAUCGCAGCCGUCGGAUUCUCCGACUGCAGCGCAGCCCGGACCCAUCCGAUGACCCACAUCUCGUCAGUCUGCUGAAAGAACUCGUCCGACGGGAACCUCCCGGUGACCAGGGCCGCCAGGAUGACCCCGAACGAGUAGACAUCGCUCUUUUCUGUGUACGACAGCGUCUGGUAGUACUCCGGCGCGAUGUACCCCAGAGUCCCGGCCACGUUGUUUGAAUUCAUCGGCCCGCUGAUCGCGUCGCCGGGGACGAGCUUCGCGAGCCCGAAGUCGGCGAUCCGGGGUUUGAGAUCUCCGUCGAGGAGAAUAUUCCCUGGCUUCAGGUCGCGGUGGAUCACCUUCGGACGGUGCACGGUGUGCAGGUACUCGAGCCCCGCGGCGACGCCGAGGGCGAUCUUGAGCCGGCAGGGCCAGUCCAGCAGCGGAGAGCCGCGUUUCAUCACGUCGUGCAACGAGCCGUGCGGCAUGUACUCGUAGACGAGGUAGUGGCAGCGCGGCUGCGGGAGGUGGGCCAGAAGGCGGAGGAGGUUAGGGUGGCGCAUGCGGCCGACCGUCAUGAUCUCCGACCGAAUCUGGCGCGUGCGGUGGUGGAGCAUUUUGCUGUCAUCCCGGCACAGCUGCGCGGCGUUGGCGGGCGGCUGGACGAUCUUCUUGAUGGCGACGGGAACGGCGCGGUCGCGAUAGAGGAGCACGGCCUUGUAGACCUCGCCGCAGCCGCCGCGGCCGAUCACCUCGAGAGGGCACGGGAGGUGGCUGCGCGAAAGGAGGUCGAUGAGGGAGAUGUUCUCGGGGUCGAGGAGCAUCGGGGUGAAGAUCGUGGCCGUGUUGUUGCCCGGCUCCUCAGGGCGGCAGAUCGCGCUCCUGAUUCUGGUGCAGCAGGAGACGGACAGCAGCCGGAGGACGAAGGCGACGAUUCCGAGCGCAAAGCCGACGGCGAAGGAGACGGAGGCACCGACCCAGAGAGGGUGGGCAAGGAAGCGGCCUAGUGACGAGGGUGGGAUGUGGGCGAGUAAGAGGCGUCUGGGCGUGAGGAUAGGUGUCGCGGAGGAAGAGAUGGUGGUGGUGAAUUUGGAUUUUGUACCGUCAGCAGAACUUAUUAUUAGAGAGACGAGGAGGACGAGGACGAUAUACUCCAUGGAUGGGGCCUGGGGAAUUAUUAAGGGAAUGAAUAUUAGUAGUUCAAGGGCACCAGGCCUUCGGUAUACACUAGAGCGAAAUGAAGUUCACAAUUAAUUAAGCAAAACUGUUUGCAUUAAUUUCCAGGGUCCGGUGGACUCUUGACCUAAUGUAAACAUUACUUAUUUGGAUAUCGAAAUAAGUUAUUCAAUAAUAAUUUAUUUGAAAUAAAUUUUUUUAUAUAAAAUUAAAAAUUAGGAGUUUAAGUUUUACUCCUUGAUAAACUUUAACUUCGAUAAUUCAAGAGAAUAAUAUAGUUCAUGAACAUGACGACUUAUUUUAAGAAUUUAGAAAAAAAAAAUAUAACAUGAAGACUUAAUAUAAUAUUUUAUUCUGGACAUUUCACCGUACUUAUUCCUAACUAGCUUUUAGUCAUGUAUAAAUUAUUCCAAUAGCUAGCCAAAAUAAAAAAACCUGAAACUUCCCUUACCUUUACUAUACAGGUGAGUAAAGAAAAAUUAAUAGAUGAAAGUACAAAAUAAAAACAUGGCAAAUUCGUGGUUCAUUAAUUAGCUAGAGGAAAUAAAAAAUUAUUUAAAGAGAUGAGGGGCAUGUAAAAUAAUCAACAUUAAUAAGUUUAAUUAUGUUACAUCAUAUAAAAACCCUACUUUUUUGUGUUGAAAAGUAACUUUUAUGUUUUGUAUUAUUUUUGGUAGAUGGUUUACAAAGGGAACAUUAUUCUAAUUAGUGAUCAACCAAAAUAUUAACUGCAUGCAUGUUGUUUCAAGCGAAGCCGGUAGCCUAUUACCUUUCUCUCAAAAAAAAAAAAAAAAAGUUGGACCACUAUUCUUCAACCUUUCUGCCUAGGAGUGUUGUUUCCUACCCUAAGAAGCGUUGUUUGGAUGGACUAAUUGCAUUCCUAGUUCCAAUCUUUAUCUGAUUUAUUAAUUUAAUUUUUACUAUUUAAACAUUUUUAAUUUGAUUCUAGUAAGUUAUUUCAAUUGUUUUUGUCUUCAAAUAUUUUGUUACCCUAACAUAGACAACCCGCAUAGCAAAGUUUGGUAUGACUGUGGCAAAUACUAAUUAAUUGUUUGGGUCUAACGUUUUGGUUUUAAUACAUAAAAGUUAGUGAACUUCUUAACCACAUAAAAUUAGUCAAAACAAAAUAUAAGAAAUGUGCGAAACUUAAUUGCAAAAAUAAAAAGAAUAGAGACUAAACUGAAAAAUUACGUAAAGAUUGGAAUCAAUGACGCGAUGAACCAAUAUUAAUUGUUUGGAGCUAUUUAACAGAACUGUGAUAAAAUUUUUGCCUUUUUCUUUUUGAGGAAAUUUCGCUUGUCACACUUCUUUUCAGACUUACGUUAACUUAUUCAAAGUCUCCGUAACAAAUGAUUCUUAGUGGAAAAUCAGUAUCCUACUUUGGCAAGCUACAAGAUGCCUUUACAUCUUGUUGAGCCAAAAACUAGAUGCGAGAUGAUGCUGACCGGAUCAUGCCUUUUGUCACGCACCGAGACCUGCUACCAAUUUGGUCCGGUUCGGGCGCGUCGAACAAACGCCGGACGGACAGCACCUCCCCUGUCCGCCCAAGGCUUUGCAUCAACAAAUCAUGUACAAGAGUUGCCCAAGAAAACUCUGAAACAUACAUAAUACAACGAGGAGCGCCACUAGUGCUAACGACAAGAGCAAGCCACAAGUAAUUCAUACAAGUGAUAACAAAAGAGAGGUACUAACUAUUACAACCAUUCAACUUUAAUACAUUUGAUUAACUUUACAUAUUUUCAAAACACAAACAUAAAGUUUACAACUCAUCUCACCCUAUACAUCAUCUACUCUCAAGUACAUAGGGUAGCUCUAAUACAAAAGAGAAGUAAGCUAUCAAUACGAGCGCUAAGCCCUAAUCAUGAUCCUCAGCUGGCGCACUCGCACUCGGCCCUGCAAUAAAGUGGGGUGAGAACUACGAAUAGUUCCCAGUGGGUUUGGCCGCCGACUUCGCCGAUCUCCCCACUAGGUCUAAGCAGGCAUAGAAAGACAACCAGAUAGAUAGAUAGAUAGCUAUAAACGAAAUAGCAACUACAACAAGUAAGUAGAAAUGCAAAUAUCCUACUAUGCCUCAAUCGAAUGCUAUGAAUGCAUGCACUACAUAGUAUAAGGCUAGCUACUAUGUCUACGGGGAGGAUCCACUCACUCCCCCGACUCACAAUCUACUCUCUACGAGGAGGAUCCGCUCACUCACCCGACUCACAAUCUACUCUCUACGGGGAGGAUCCGCUCACUCACCCGACUCACACUCUAACUGUAGGUGAGGAACCGCUCACUCAAGGUGAGAAUCUACUCACUCACCCAACUCACAAUCCAAUCAUAGGUGAGGAACCGCUUUCUCAAGGUGAGAAUCUACUCACUCACCCGACACUGUCUGCGGGGCCCAAAAAGGCUCACCCCUCGGGACCCAAAAAGGCUAUCUCUAUCGUGUGACAACUCCAGAGUGCACUGCUUGUGUGGAGCGACCACCCCAAGCUUGAACAGACAUGUGAAUAUGAUCAAAUCCUCGACACUGAGGAUACCCUGCCACUAUAGACAACAUCACUUGGGAACUAGUUCAACAUGCAAUAGUAUUUCACCUACACUCUAGUUCAUCAUGCCACUCGUCAAGUUAUCUACUUAUCUAGAUGCAACUCAUUCUUUUGUGUUCAACACUAACUAGAUGACACUCGUUCUUAUUUAAGUGUUCCCAAUCCACUACUUGAACAUUAUCACUAGGUUAUCAUUUACCUAGGUUUUAAUCCAUCAUGUAUCAUCUCAUGUAGGGUUUUACCUCAUGCAUACUAGAUUCAAGUACGAAACCAAUGAAGCUACUACUAGCAUGCAAGAAUAAACACAAACAUCUAAACCCUAUAUGUAUCAUGCUCAAUAUGUAAUAUAAUCGACAACAAUAACUUAGACAUAGGGAGCAAUUCAACUGCUUCGGGAUGGUCACCACCCACCUUCUAUAGCAUUCCGAUUGCUCGUCGUCACUUGCAAUCGGCAUCCCGCGGCGCACGCCGCUCGGCUCGACCUAAUCCACGCGCGACCACCGAACGACCUCCGAUCCGCGAUCCGAAAAUUAAAGGUCUUCGGUUUCUUGCUACGACACUUGGAAUCCAAUCCUGCGAUUUACGAACGCCGCCUCGGCCUUUCGGGUGGAAAUGAUGCCGAAAUGCCCUUGGCUCGUCGAUAUCUCCGCACCAAAUCGACGAAUAGUCGAACCGUCACCGCCAACGUGUUUAGAUACCUAGCAAUUAGGUUUACAACCAUCUAAAUGAGAUCAAAACCCUAUAUUUUCCAAAACCCCAUUUUGGAGCCCUAGGUUUCAACAGCGCGAAAAUCCGCGAUUCUAGCUUGAGAUUCAAGCAUGGAACAUCUACUAGGGACUCUAGAGUUCCAACUAAACAAUUUCUAGAGUAUAAAAUCCAUACCCUAAAGAUAUACCAUUAAAGGGUUUUGGAGCUUACCUCCAAAGCUUCCUCCAAGCUUGAAGAAGAAGGAGAAGGUGAUGCCUAGCCUUCUCCUAGCUUCAAUCCUCACCAACUCAUCCUCCUUUCCCACCUUGAAGAGAGAGAGAAAGAGUAUUCUAGAGAGAGAGAGGGAGAGAGAUCAAGGGUUGAGAGAAUGAGAAAGAGAGGGCUUUCUCAUCUCUUAUCCCCUAACUCAUGUAACAAGUGCACUAAGCCCCCUCAACUUUGCCAUCAUAUGACAGCCCAUUCUGGGGGGUACGGGGUCCGGACCCUGAAACUAGGGUCCGGACCCCGAGAGUUGGCAAACUCUGCAAAGUUGCAAACUGCAACUUCUCAGGUUUCUCGCAACUACGGGGUCCGGACCCUGCAGCUAGGGUCCGGACCCCGAGAGUGGAAAAUAUGCAAAUUGCAGAUUUUUGCAACACCAACUCUCCAAGGUCCUCCCCAAUGCACUUUAUGCGUUUUUAAUGCAUUCGGCCUUUCCGAAGCAUACCAAAUCGACGAUAAGUCGAUUCCAAACAAAGUUCAACUCUCGGAUUUCGAGAAUUCACUUCCUUACACCUUUGACCGGGUUAAAAUCUCCCUCGAGAUCAGGAUCGACUUCUGAGUUGGCCUUCGAAUGCGCCAGGAUCAAAUCAAGCGAUUCGAUUGAGGAGGGAUUGGCUCAACUGGAUUCUAUCUCACUUCACUGAUUAAAGCUGAAGACUCAAGAAAAGGGUAUUCGACUGAUUGAAAACUCAGUUGAAUGAACCGAGUUGUUGUAUUAUGGGAAACUUGAGUUACAAGUAAAGUUAAGGUUACUCCUAAAAAAGGCCGUAAAUGCUGGAAGAGUAGAGAUUACAAGUAAACUACUCCUAGAAAAGCUAUAAAUGUUGAAAUCAGAAGUAUUGAAAAUGCCUUGGUAUUCUCGUUCGUAAGGAAAAAGACCCCUAUUACAGACUUCGAAGUUACUAUUUAUAGUAAUAUCUUAUCAGCCCACAUUAUUGGUCGGUUUUCCUAGUGGGGGUAGUGCUGUAGCCAUGAUCCCGUAAGUCACGCCACACUUCUCAACCACUCCCGCUUAAGGUCUCUCCACCUUCAGGCGCCUUGUUGUCGGCUCCUGGUGUACCAGGUGUCCCUAUUUCUUUGGCUCGUACAUAGGCCAGUCCGUCUAUCUUGUGGUGCGCUAAUUUUUGGCAUCAACACUGCCCCUCUGAUAGUCUUUCGAAUGAACAUUUGGAUGACUAUUGGUACCAAAUCAACGGCCCAAUGACAGCUGAGACCUGAGCAUUAGUCUUGCUAGUCUUGGUCGACUUAAAGAAAACAUAUUUAUAUGGUUGUCGGCUCUUUACCAUCUCAGCUACAUACACUUCGGCUUUAUCAGCCAAUUCUUCACCUUCACUUGAUUUGCUCGACUCUUCUUGAAUCAACCGUUCUUCUAUCAAGGAUUUCUCCUUGCCUUUGCUCUAAUUUUAUUUUGGCUCCAUUGUAGCCGAUCAUCCUCAUUUUUCUUUUGAAAUUGCUCAUAUUGGGCAACCGAACACCCAGAUCAAAUAGGUUAGGAAAAUAUUUAUCUUCAUCAUAGUCCUUUAUUUUAAAAUGCAAACCAUUAAACGCCAUUUUGGCGAACUCAAAUUCCGGCAUCCUCACGAAACUCCGAUUUCUGGUCGUUUUGAAACAGUUCAAGUACUUUGACAGUUUCACCCGACUUUUGUCUAUAUAAAGCUAAAUUGGCCAUUGAUAAUUUAGGUUCCGAUCCAUAAAACUGCUUAUGAAACUUUCACUCUAACUCAUCCCACUCUUGGAUGGAGUUGGCGGGUAAGUUUGUGUACCAUAUAAAUGUUGUCUUAGUUAAUGACAUAUUAAACAAGAAAAAUUUUAAGAAUGGGUUAGCGGUCGUUUCUCUACACUGCGCCGUGAAUCAAGCAACAUGUUCUAUAGUAUUCUUAGUCUCUUUGCCUGAGAACUUGUCGAACUUCAACAUCUUCCGGUUUGCCAGAGAGAGGUGCUCAACAUCCAUAUUUGAGGGGUAUGGAGAUCUAAAUACUGGCCACAUAGCUGUCCUGGCUCUAACACCAAAGGUGUUUCUUAUAGCCUCCUCAAUUUGAGUAUAAAGCUCAUUGUUUACUACCGUCAGAAUAGGUGCUUGAGCUUGAUUCCCAACUUGUCCAGCUAUAGUUUGAACAUUUGAUGCAACAGGAGUUUGAGGUUGUCCUCCAUUAGGACCCUGCCUCCCAGCCCUCAAGCCUACAUUUUGAGGAAGGUAGCUUGUCCUCCAUUAGGGCCCUGCUCGCUAGCCCUUAAGCCUGUACUUUAAGGCAGAAAUGCUGCCAUAGGAGGUGGAUGAGGAGGUAGCCCCAAGCUACCUCUGUUUGAGGUCCAGGGUGAACAUUCAUCGGCCGAUAGGCCGCUUGAAAUGAUCGUUGCUGCGGCAACAACACUUGAGUCACCACCAUUUGUAAUGGCAAGUUUGCCUGAAAAGCAUUUUGCCCCCUAGGCUGAUUUAAAGCUGGGGGCCUUGAGUCCUCCAACUAUUUGAUCGCUUUGGGCUAAAUUUGCCCAAUCCAAGCUACACUCUCAUUCGAGGCCGUGAUUGCAACCAAUAUCGCAUCUAAGCUAAUUGUACUCUGCUGACUGUUUUGGUUAAAGUUUUGUAAUAUUCGUGCUAUUUAAGCGAGAGUCUGAGCUAGGUUCGGCUCUUGAGGAACCGAACGACUGGAACUUUUGGCUAGUCGCGAUUGAAUUUCACUCAAAUCCUUGACACCUGUAACUAGUUCAUUCUCAGAAGAUCUAGGAACAACUUUAUUUCGAAAGUUAAGAGGGUUCUUAUCAGUCAUCAUAUCUGUAAAAAGACUAUACCUGAAAGUCCCAUUAGGCGUGCUAAAAAUGUUGAGCCGAAAACUGGACGCGAGGCGAUGCUAACCGGAUCACGCCUUUGACCAGAGCAGAAGCUCCAUCAAGAUCUGGAUCAGCUCCUAAAUUGACCCUCAAAUGCCCCACGAUCAAAUCAAACGACUCGGUUGAAGAAGGAUUGGCUCAAUCGCACUCUAUCUCACUUCACUAUUUAAAGUCGAAGGCUCGAGAAGAGGGUAUUCGACUGAUCGAAGAUCAGUUGAAUGAACCGAGUCGUUGUAUUUUGGGAAAGCUUGGGUUACAAGUAGAGUUAAGGCUACUUAUAAAAAAGCUGUAAAUGCUAGAAGAGUAAAAAUUACAAGUAAACUACUCCUAAAAAAGCUGUGAAUGCUGAAAUUAGAAGUAUUGAAAAUGCAGUGGUCUUCUCGUUCGUAGGGGAGAAAUACCUCUAUUUCAGGCUUCGAAGUUACUAUUUAUAGUAAUAUAGGGCUGCUCCAGGGCUGCUCUGCCUGAAGAUGCAACUGUUGCUGCUACGCUGCCAGCCUGCUAGCAGCAAUGUUGUAGCAAAUUCUUGCUGAUCGUAGUGCUAUUGCUACCUCUCCCUUUCCUGCAGCAAUCAAGGAUAUAGGAGAAGAAGAGGAUGACGAGAGGAUAGUUGCUACUUCCCUUGUCACUGCAACAAUGCUAGCUACCAGCAACAAUGAGGGCGUGAAGAGGGAAAAGAAGAAGGAGAAGAAGAAAAAGAAGGAAGGAAAGUCAGUUGGUUUCUAUAAUCUCCAAAAUUCUCAGUUAAGUGAGUUGGUGAGGGUUAAGUGUUGCCCUUGGCCUUAAACAACUAAACAUGUUUAGGAUUUAGUUGUAAUGUACCGAAACUUCGGUAAAUAAAUAUCGAACUUUAGUCAAAUUUACCAAAGUGCGAGGUUGGUACGCUUUGGAAACGCCGAAGGCGUCAAAAAGGAAAAAAGUGCAUUGUUGGAGAUUUUCGAGAGCUAAAGAAUCAAAAAUCUGCUUACUGCAACUUUUGAGCUCUCGGGGACCGGUCCCUGGUGGGAGAGACCGGUCCCCAAACGCGAAGAAUCUCAGAGAUGGAAAAUCGGCUAAGUCCCAGAAAACCACCUCUCGGGAACCGGUCCUUGCGGGGAGAGACCGGUCCCUCAGGAGAGACCGGUUGUAUCGUGCGAGAGCCCUACUGAGUUGCGGGAGAGCUCUCUGGGACCGAUCCCAUGCUCGAGAGAUCGGUCCCCGUGCCCGAAAAAUGCCCAGUCUGGGCUGUGCAAUGGAAUGAAAGUUGAGGGGCAUAUUUGCAUUUAUGCACUAAGUGGGCUAUGUAUGAGGGGAGUAUGAGAUAUUUUCCUUCAUUUAUCUUCCUCACACUCUCUCAUAUCUCUCUCUUCCUCUCUCUAGAAGGCAAGGAGAAGAAGAGAAGAAAGAAAAGUAGAAAGAGAAGAAGAAGAAGAAAAAGGUGGAGAGGAGGAAGAAGGAGUGAAGCAACUCCCUCUCCUUCACCUCCAACUCAAGAAAGGAAAGCUUGAGAGGUAAGCUUUGAUCCUCUCUCAUCGUAGAACCCAAAGUAGGAUUUUGAUUGACCUAAAGAUGAUGUUAAUGGAACCUCUAGAUGAUUUGAAGCUUUCUUUUGCUUCCCUAAGAGAUCAAAACUAGGGUUUUGUAUAUGUGUUGGAGCUAGCGCACCCUAAUUGGGGCUUUUGCUUGGGAGGGUUUUAAAGUUAAAUUGACCCUCUAGUAACCUAAUUGGGGGUAUUUCCGACGCGUUGGUGCGCUCGGUUUGACGUUACGAAAAGACUAUACGAAGUUAUGAGCGGAAAAGCCUAAUUUGGCUUCGUUUUGCCGCAGGUAAGGAAAUAGGCGGCCAAAAAUCAUGAAAUUCGAAUCCGAGCAUCCUAGCAAGCCUACGAGGUGGGUGGUGCUUUCCAAACUCCUUGAAAUUCUUUCUAUAUCUAAUGUGUCACUCAUUGAGCAUACAUAUAUGUAUUGUUGCAUGCAUUUUAGGGUGAAUGAGAUGAUACUUAUGUGAAUGUUGCAUGUUGUGAAUACAAUUGCAUUAUGAGAUGGUUGAGAACCUAAGAACCCUAUUUAUGCAUGAGAUGUAACAUGAAAACCUAGUUGAGGUAAAAGAACAAAGGUGACACUAUGACAUGUAGAUCGAGUGGCAUUAGUAAAUGUAAAGAUGACACUAGAGUUAGUGUGUGUGGCAUUAAAGAGGAUAUGAAUGCUAGAGUAUUUGAACACUAGAGCUAGUGUGUGGCACCAAAGAGAACAAAUGUGGCAUAAAGAACGAUAAAAGCUUGAGUUAGCGUCAAAAGUAUGGCAUCAAAGAAUAAAAGCUAGAGUUUGCACUAAGUGUGACAUAAAGAAUACUAGAGUUAGUGUAAUGAUAUGAUUGAAAACAAAGAAUGCAAAGAACUUGAGAUUGAGACAUAAUGACAUACAAUCUUAGAGCUAAGGGUCAUUUGUGCAUAAUUUUCUUAUAGUUAAGGAACAGAUUGAACUUGACAUUCUUAGAGUUAAGGAUUGGAUUAUACUCGCUAUAAGUCCUUGCUCGAGGGCGGUAGCUUCCCCUCGAGCGAUGCGCUCCGGAGUUUGUCAUCACUGGGUUGGUGCUGUUCCCCAGAGGACGGUCCCCGUCGGGUCGUAGGAGUCUCCUCAACGAUUUGGGAUUUUGAGUUGGUGAGCUAAUGCGGCGAAACCCCCGGGUUAGCCAUGAGAUUGAACAAAAGAUCAAAGAACUUGCAUUCUUCAUGAGUUGUAUAUUGAGCAUCUUUAUUGAUAGCUUUGUUCAGGUAUAUUAGUUGCAUUUGUAUAGUUAGUUACUUAUCUGCUUACCUUUUUCUAUUAUGCCUGAGUUAGACCUAGUAGAAAAGUCGGUGAGAUUGGGGCCGAACCCACUAGGAACUUCAUUGUAGUUCUCACCCCACUAUUUCCACAGAGUUGGGACCGAGUGAGCUGGCGAGCGACCGCGGUAAAGGUAUCCCAUUGUAGACAGUGACUACCAAAGUCGGGCUUUACAUUUUGUUAGUAGCUUACCUUAUAUCAUCUUUUGUAUUCGAUGAUUUGAGAUGUUAAAGAAAAGAAUGUAAUGUGUUAUUAUGAGCAAAUGUGAUGUAAAAAGAAAUGAUGAAAAGCAAUGUAAAGAAUCAUGAAUGUAAAUGGUUUAAAGUAAAUCAUUCUACGUGUAUGUUGUUAGUUUCCUUUCUUUCACUCAUGGCUAUUGCUUACCCUUGUGUAAGCCAUUGUGUAUGUUUCCGCUGGUGCUUUUCUUAACUUGAAAUUGUACAGGUGAUGAGCCUUGGGCGGACAGGGAAAACUCUGUCCGUUGGGCGUCUGUUCGACAUGCCCGGACCGGCCCAAAUUGGUAUCGGUCCCGGGCGUGACAGAUAUAGUGGUAUCAGAGCCUAAAGUGAAAGAAUAGGAGUGGACCUAGAGACCCUUAGGAUUGAAAAACCUUAAGGAUCUAGGAAACGUGAGCGACGUUGGAUUAAAGUUAGCGAAAGCAUGCGAUUCGGUCAAGUUGGGAUGUCUCUAAUGUGAUUAGGGACUGAGUCGAGUUGAUGUUUGUUCUCUACUCCUUGUAUUGUGCCGGGCGGCCGAUGACAUAAUGCUUUGGAGUGAGGAUGGAAACAUAAGUUGCUUUCGCCGAAUUAGGUAUGGUUUAGUAAUGUUGGUUGUGUAGCUAAUGUGAGUUGCUUCUUUUUAGGAAACAAUGGCACCUCGUGGUGGACCUCGAACAAGGUCAAUGCCAGAGGAGCCAAAUGCGGCGCCCGAGCAAUAAGGAGCAAGUGGCGACAGUGAGCUUCGGGAGCAAAUGGCCGCGCUUAUUGGCGUAGUGCGGCAACAAGUGGAGUCUGUUCAACGCCGAGGGGAACAGAUUCGAUGGGUCCAGGAGACCUUGGAGCGUCAACAAGCAGCGGCGACCUAGGUGGGUGCUGAGCAUGUCGCGCCCCCUGCGGUGGUGCCGAGUGUAGUUGAGGGAGCGGCGGCAGCGGCAGCUGUGCCCGUCACGAUGGUGCCGGCUGGAUCAGGAACCUCAAAUCCCGAUAGUGCUGCAGUAGAGGCGGAGCGGGAGCGCGUGCUGGCGGCUCUCAUUCAGUUCUAGAAGUUCAGCCCACCUGUCUUUGAAGGUGGUAUGGUGGAGCCAGCAGUAGUGGAGUCUUGGAUCGACUCAAUGGAAACGCUCUUCGAGGACCUGAAUACAUCGGAGAAGGACAAAGUGUACCUCGCCACCCAUUGUCUCGAGAAGGCAGCGAAGGUGUGGUGGAAGCGAGUUAGGCAGGAUCGAUCAACCGAUCUUCCGCCUAUGCUUUGGGAGGAGUUCAAGAGAGCAGUGUUCGCGAACUACUUCCCCGACACGGUAAAGCGGAGACUACAAGAGAAGUUCCGCAAGUUAAGACAAGGAGACCGCUCGGUAGCGGACUACGAGCAAGAGUUCUCCGACAUUAUUGAUUGCGUGCCGGAUGUUGUUCGUGAUGACCGGGAUCAGGCUGAUUGGUUCUUGUGAGGACACCAGUCGAGAAUCUAUGAGAAGGUGCAAAUUCUCAAGUUGACGACCUUUGCGGAAGUCUUUGACCGGGCGUUGUGGGUGGAGCACGGCAACGCCUACGCACGAGAGGAGCAUGAAGCUAUGGCCGAGCCAAGGGAUAAAGGCAAGAUGCGAGCGGCGGGCAGUGCCGGGGGCCAGCCGAAUGCAAAGAAACCCCCUCGGUAUCCCCGGCAGUAGUCGAGGAGCUGGAGACCACCUCGGUGCGUCAUCUGUGGCGGAGAGCACCGAGUGUCGACCUGCUCGCUGCGCGAAGGAAAGUGUUACAAGUGUGGCCAACCGGAACAUCUUAUCCGGGAGUGCCCGAGCUGGAUGUCGUCUGCGCCGACGGUGGCAUCAGCACCGUCUACCCCAAUGCAACUUGCGGGGCUGCCACCAGUGAUGUCGGCUGGACGCACAUCAUCACCACGUCAGCCGGAGGGAUCACGAGCACCUAGUGGCCGGGUUCUUGCCACUCAGGUGGAGGAGUAGCCUGCAGCACCAGAUGACGUUGUGGCUGGUAUUAUUCUGACUAAUGGCACUAGAGCUAGAGCUUUAUUUGAUACGGGCGCAUCUCAUUCAUUCAUUGGUACUGACCCUCGAAGUUCGCGUGUAAGGUGCCGAACUUCUGUAAUUAUGAUGUUGCGGUGGAAUGUAAUAUACCGGAUUUUAAUAUAAAAGUGAAAAUAAAUAAAAAUAGUAUGAGAUAUUAUUUUUAUUGGAUUUAGAGAAGUGAAAUAUAGGUUGGAAAUGACCUGUGCUGAAAUCGGAGCGAAAACAGAAGAUUUAGAAUUUUCUGCGAGAAAUGGGACAGAUAAAUUAGCAGAAAAUGCACAGUGUCGAAAAAUUAUGAAAACUGGAGAAUAUGUCAGAAUCAUUUUUAUGACGCUAGACUUAAAGUUUCAUGCCAUUCUGAUACCCGGAAAGUGGAAAAUAAAAUCCGACAGCUAUCUGAUAGAGAUUACAGUUCGGUACAGCUUUCGGUGAUCAAACGGGGUCGAAAGUGAAAGAUUAAAAUUUUUUUGUACUUAUUAAGUAAAAUCAAGCCUGUCUGUCAAAUUUGAGCUCAAACGGACAUUCGGGAAGGCUCCGGGAAAAAAUGUCAGUUUUAAACUGCCCGAUGUGAAUAGUGUAUAGUUGAGGGGCUAAAUUAUAAAAAGGGAUUUAAUCCUUCUCCUCCCUCAACCGUGCACCACAACGCCACACACUCACACAUGCACGCAUGCAUGGAGGGAGAGAGAAACCUCUCUUUCUCUCUCUAAAUCUCUCCCAAAAUUGGUGGCUUUGGGGGAGAUUGAAGCUUGGAAGUGAAUCGUCUUCAUCUUCUUCAUCUUCUCCAUGGUUUGGAGCAAGCUUUGAGGUGAGCUUCUUGAGCCCUCUGAUGGUAGAUCUCUAGAAUUAGCUUUGUAUGUUCUAGAGAUGGAUUUAGUAGAAUGCUUAGAUACUAAUUAGAGGUUUAUUGCUUGAUUCAUGAAGUUAAAUAAUGGAUUUAGUUGUAAUGGCAUAUAGGGCUUCAAAAUUGGGGUUUUGUAAAAUAUAAGGAUUUGAUCUAAUUUGACCCUCCGUAAACCUAAUUGUUAGGUAAACGAACGCGUUGGCGAAGUGGGUUCGGCGAUUCGUCGAGCCAUUGUGAAGAUAUUAAAGAAAUGGACGUUUAGGCUUCGUUUCCGCCUGGAGGGCCGAGGCGACAUCGUAAAAUCAUGAAAACGGAUUUGGAGUACCGUAGCACAUAACCGAAGACCUUUAAUUUCUGAAUCGUGGAUCGGAGGCCAUUCGGGUGGUCGCGCGGGAGUUCGGGCCAAACCGGGUUACGGGCGCCGCGGGAGGUCGAUUGCAAGUGGCUAUGAGCAAUCGGAACGCGAUAACAGGUGGGUUGUGUUUACCGAAGCGACUAGGUCGCCUACAUGUCAAAGAGAAAUGUGCUUCUCGUUGAUGCACAUACAGGUGUGAUGGUAGUUGAUUGCAUAGGUGAAUGCUUAGGGAUAAUGCAUGAGAUACUAUGUGAUAGCUGCCUAAGAUGAAUAAAAUUGCAUGUUAGCAUGAUUAGAAUAUGUGCAUAAUGGCAUCAUGAAUGAGUUAAAGCAUAUAAAUAGAAUAUGCAUGAUGAUGUUGUAGAUGUGGUAGAGCAUAUGAAUAGAUUGCAUGCUAGUUGAUAAUGGCAUAACGAAGCAUUGGAGUAUGUAUGCUAGUGGAUAAUCGCAUAUAGAUGCCUUGAGAAAUACAUGCUAGAUGAUAAUGGCAUAUUAGCAUUAUGAAGGUGUAUACUAGAUGUAAGAUGCAUGUUGGCUUUAUUGAACAUAUAUGCUAGAUGAAAAUGAAUGUUAACAUAUUGUUAAUUAUGGAGAUUUUGAGGUAUGUGGACAUAUUGCUAGAUUAUACAAAUAGGCAUGUGGCAUGUAAACCUAGUAUUGUGAACCUAUGAUAGAUCGAGUGGCAUUAACCUAGUGUUAUGAAUAUAGGUUGAACAAGUGAACCUAGAAUCAAGAUCUAGGUAGAGUGGCAUCGAACCUAGUGUUAGUAAACAUAGGUCGAAUAUGAACAUAGUGUCGUCAAACAUAAGUUGACAUCAAACCUAGUGUUGUGAAACCUAGAGUUAACUAAACCUAGGUGAGUGGCAUUCGAACAUAGUGUAAAGAAACACAUUGAGACACUUAACGUGGAACUAGGGAUAGGUGGAUUUCCGAGUGUUUAUUAACCAUAGUGGACAGGGUAUCCUCGGUUGGUGAGGAUUGGAUCAUACUCACAUAGUCUGUUUUGGGCUUGUGGCGGUCACUCCACACAAGCAGUGCACUUCGGAGUUGUCACACGAGCUGGGUAGCUCACGAGAGGGGUAGCUCACUGGGUGGGAUACGAGCGGGGUAGCUCCUCACCCAUUGGACUGGGAAGUGAGUCAGGCGAAGGGCGGGGUAGCUCUUCACUUGUGAGAUUUGUGCGGGGUAGCUCUUUACCUAUGAGUGGGGUAGCUCUUGACUGAUGAGAUUGAGGUUAGAGUCGAGGCGAAGAGCGGGGUAGCUCUUGCCCUUAGGCAUUUGAGUUAUGAGUUGGGCGAGGAGCGGGGUAGCUCUUCACCUAUAGGACUUUAGAUAUGAGUCGGGGCAAAGAGCGGGGUAGCUCUUCACCUACUAGAGAUGUGAGUGAAUAUCUAUGGCAUUCGAGAUAUGUGUUGGGUGAGGCAAGAGCGGGGUAGCUCUUCACCUAUGUGAUAAGAGAUCUUAGGCAGGUUAGCCUAGUGGAUUGGGUAAUGACAUGAAUAACAUAGUGGAAUGGCAUUCAUACCAUGAUUGGGACAUAGUAUAUGUUUAGUGGAUUUAAGGCCGAGGAGUAUGUGAGGGUUCCUUCACCUCGAGCCGGAUAGAGUGCGGUACUCCGCAGUUGAUUGACUCGGGGCAGAGUUGGGUGGCUAGCUUGAAUAAGGUAGAUGGAACCUUAAGGCUAGUGAUAGAUGAAAUGGAUCUAGGGUAAUAGAAACCUUAGAGAGUAGUUGGAUGUGAUAGAAAGUAGUAUCGGGUGAUCUACUAGUUUUUGCAUUACUUGCAUGGUUGCAUAGCAUGACAUUAUUGCAUUCGCGAGGCAAAAGCAUGACAUAUGUUAGUCGCAUAUUUUUGAUAUCAUAUCUAUCUGUUUAUUAAUCUAACCUGCAGUUUGCCUCCUUUGAACCUGUUGGUUGAGCUUUUUCCUUGGGUGGCCGUACCCACUGGAAAUCAUGGAGUUGGUUCUCACCCCACGUUGCUUUGGGGUGUUAUAGGUUCGCACGUGAGCGACGCGACGGCGCGAGGAAAGGGCGUAGCUCUGUAGAUAGCGCCCUACCUCAGAGACCAGAGCUAGCAGUACCCCGUCGACAUAGCUUAGGGGUAUAGGAAAUGAAUAGAACACAAUGUAUCAAAAAUGUAUUAAAGAUAUAAAUGAUGUAAUAACAUAGAUUGCAUUUGGAUGGAAAACAAGUUGUAUUUGAGUUGUAAAAAUGUAAGCUGGUGAAUGCAUGUAAUAACUUAGGAUGUGUUUAUGUUGUUUGAUACCUUCCUUUGCAAUCAGUGUAUGAAUACUGUUCCUGUUUGGAACCCCUUAUAUUAUACUGUUUGUUGAGCCUUGAACGUUCAGGGGAGACUCUGUCCGAGGUACAGGGGAAUCCCCGGUUCGUUCGGCGCUGUCUGCGACCCGACCCGGCCAAAUAGGUAGAGGGUCACAGGGCGUGACAUCGCGCCCUUCGAUUGAUCAAGCGAUUCGGCUGAUGAGGGAUCGGAUCAGCCGGAUUCAAAGCCUCUACAGUAAAUUCGGUUUGGCUGGAAGAGCCAAAUGUACGGACCAAGCAAAAACUGAAGUCAGCCGAUGAGCCGAAUAGCUAAAGAACACAGGAAUUGACCGGCUUGAAAAGCCGAAUGCCUUUAUAUUCACUGAUAAGAAGUACAGGGGUCGAGUGUGCCGGAUGGCAUGCAGACUCGGUUGAUCUAUUUAAAACUACUCCUAGGAAGAACAGUAAAUACGGGAAAGAGAAAUUACAAGUAGACUACUCCUAGAAAAUGCAAGAAAUUGCGAGGAAAAUAAGGGCGGUCUUUUGUUCAUAGAAAAAAAGACCCAUUUUUAGGGCGUUAUUGACCUAUUUAUAGAUCGCCCCUUGUGAUCAGUUAUUAUCUGUGCAUGAUCAGCCACUACUCCUGAUUCUCCGGACCAUUUUCAGCCCACUUUCAGCCGAUCAGAACCGUUUGCAACUGCUUACGGUUACUGUAACCUCCCUUAAUUAGCGCAACAGUUUCUCUUCCGGUGCUCCUGGUGUACGGCAAGAUUGAUGCUUUUGAAAGGAAUACCGGCGUACCAUCUGUCCGCGCCUAAUUUCCUCAACAAUUGCCCCCUCGGCAACUUUCGAAGUAACGCUUCGGUAGCUGGCGUAAUCUGAGGCGCGAUUACUUUUCAAACUCUUGGUACGGUUUCGUCUCAACCGUCCACUUUUUUCUACUGCCGAAAUCCUGCCAUCGCUUCAAUAACAAGCGCGAUCCGAGGCGUGGUUCUCGGUCCAAUCAAAUUCAAAUUCUCUGUACGAGUAGCUGACGUAAUCCGAGGCGUGAUCCUCCGUACGGUUCAAUCUUGGCUGUCCAUUUUCUUUUUUACGGCUCUGAUCUCGCCCUCUAUUUUUGUCUUAUAUGUGGCAUUAAUUAGGUCAUCUUAAUUACCGCCAUCUAUUCAUCAUUAUAGCCAUCUUCGGAACUCGCUUUGAUGCGACGAUUCGAUGCGACGACAACCUUUUCUUCUUAGCCAAGCUUCUCAUUCCUUUUUGUACUCAAACCUCAUCUUCGUCGCUUCUUUUACUUCUCUUCGUCUUCUUUGCUAUGUCUAUACUCCAGCUUGGCCCAUUAUUUUCUUCCUGAUACUUUAGAUUUUCCUUCAAUCUUUCGGCAAUGGCGCCGCUUCCGCCUCUGCCUUCCUUUCCAACACUGGAUUAUACCAUACUUAAACCAUAUCUCUCUUUAGACCCCACUAGAUUAAUCUUGGGUCCCUCCUUUACUGAAGACCCAGCUCCUGAUGAUUUCCCUUACUCCAGUGAUGGUCUUCCAUUAAUGGCUAAAUCCAUUCAUCUCCACUCCUGGUAUUCCUCGGCUUCGACAGGAAAAAGUCUUCGAACUUGGCCGAGUGUUUCAGAUGCUUACUUGGCUUGGUUGGAUCGAGUGGAGGCUGUUUAUGGUGAUUCUUGGAAGGAGAUCGGGAUUUAUGAAGCUAUUAGGCUACCUAGGAAGCCUCCUGUAGCCGACAACCUUCUGUUAGCUUCUGCUCUCUAUUUUUGGUCCCCUGUUUUCAACGUUUUUCUUUUCAGAGGAGGACCUCUUACUCUAACUCUUUUUGACAUAGCCGCUAUCGUUGGACUGUGUCCUCAUGGAGUUACCAUCUCUAUAGCUUAUAAUCCUGAUGGCGUGUCUGACUUUGAGGCUCAUCUCGACCUCAAUGACUUGGCCUAUUCUAAGUUCCUCUGUAAGUUUGCAGGCGAAUCCCCUGCUCCUGUCACUAGGAAAGAACAUACAGCGUUCCUCCUACAUUGGUAUGCCACAAUCUCUUCUGCACUCGUUUGCAGAAAAUCAAUCGGGACUUUGUCCCAAUUGCCGUUGGUUUAUCUAACGGCGAUAGAUUAGCUCUAUAGCCUUAUUUUCUUACCUUCGUCUAUAGGAAAAUCUUUGAUUCCAUUAAACCACUACCCUCUGGAGAUGGUGUAACAAUCAGCUCGGGUUGUGGUGUUUUUUCGUUUUUGCAAAUAUUUCUGCAAAUUUAUUUUCAUAAAUUGUGCCGAGAACCUCUAGAUCUAAACUCGGCUGCUCAUUUUGACUCUUAUGGGCUUGCUCUCGGCUGUCCUCAGCCGUUAACAUCAGGCCAUCCUCUUGAUUUUAUCACCUAUUUUAAAAUUUUUUAUGAAUCGGGUCCUCAUUUCCUCAUUUCUUGGUCUCCUUUUGCUGAUUACGUCACCGGCCCACCUUGGUUUUUAGCUAGGUACGAGGCCAUUCAAGGUGAACUUGCUUCUUCUCGUGCCGACGAAUAUUCAGAUGUCUAGUACUCUUUUUUGGCUACAAGGGAUUUACACAUUGGUUUGAAAUCGCGCUCAAAAUUACUGCCCAGUACUGAGGUUUACUCCCCCCAGUUCGCAGUGCGUCAAUUUGGAUUUACGCAAGCAAUCCCUGCUCCAGCCAAGUUCUUCAUGGCCAAUACUGCCGUUCAUCGUCCUCCUACCAAAAGUAUAGCCGAUGCUAAUCGAAUUUUGGCCAUGGGGAAUCGUCUUCGGCGAUUUUUCAAAUUAUUAAGCUUUAGGCCAAAUUAUACAGGAGUAGUAGGUUUCCGCUAUACCGUUACUUGGGAUAGUUUUGUCAAUAGCACCUUCAAUUUUCCUACCUCGCAGGCACACCGCAAAACUAUUCACCCAAUCAGUAAAUCUCUUACUUAUGGCUGAUUUUCUAUUCCACAUAAUUUCUGCUUAUCUAUUUUCCAUUUACAGUGUCCUAUCCAAGCAAAAGUCUUUCGGACGACACCGCUGCCCUAUCUGUAUCAAAAAAAGUCGGUUUGACGAUUCGUUGAGUUUGUGUGGAGUUCUUGGCAAAAGGGGCGGUCGUAGCCUUCGUUCCUACUCGGAGAGCCGAAGCGACGUUCUAAGAGAUUGCCGAGUUCCGUUCCUCGAGUUGUAGCAUCGCCAAAAGGUGGGUGGUGCCAUCUCGAAGCAGUUGAACUGCUCCCUAUGUCUAAGUCUCAUUGUUGAUCUCAUGAGCAUCUUGCCAUAUUGCAUUAUAGGGUAUAUAAUAUGUUGUUGUGUAUUCUUGCAUGCUAGUGGUAGUGUAGAGUCGCUUACUUGACACUUGGACCUAGUAUGUGUGACAUGAUGACUUGGAACCCUAUAAUGAGAAGAUAAAUGAUGAAUGUGCCUUAUGUGGAUGAAAACCUAGUAAAGUGUAAACUAGUGUAUUGGAAACAUGUAAUGAGAACGAGUGGCAUCUAGUUAAUGUUGAACACAAGAAUGAGUGGCAUGAAAACCUUAGUGUAGCUAAAACACUAUGAGAUUGAGUACAGGAACACAUUGAUUCCAUGAUCACGAUAACCCUAGUUGGCAGGGUAUCCUCAGUUGACGAGGAUUGGAUCGACUCACAUAGCCUGUCUGCGCUUAUAGUGGUCGCUCCACACAAGCUAUGCACUCCGGAGUUUUGGUCACUAGAGGGGCAGUCGUGAGCUGCCUGGACAGUAGCCAGCUGUCCGCAGGCGGUCUCGGGGGUAGUCGAGUGAUCAAAAUCUCCUCCCCUAUGAAACUUCAAGACGUGAGAUGGUGGCGAACCUUCGGGUUAGUCGAUUGAUUGGGUAAUCUAAUGAAUUACAUCAUUAUUGAGCAUGAUAGCUUGGUAGUAGCCUUUACUUAUGUUGCAUGCAUGAUUAUAGAUUGAGGCAUGGUAGAUUACUUUCAUAUCUCCUUAUUGUUAUCGCUUUUAAGUUUAUCUAUCUAUCUGUUUAUCUAUCUAUGCCUGCUUAGACCUAGUGGGGAGAUCGGCGGAGUGGGCGGCCGAACCCACUGGGAACUAUGGACAAUAGUUCUCACCCUACUUUGUUGCAGGGCCGAGCUCGAGUACACCCGGCGAGGAUCACGGUAAGGGCUUAGCGCCCUAGAGGUUGUAGAUGCUUCCUAUUGCAUUAGUAGUCACCCUUUGUACUUGAGAGUAGAUGAUGUAUAGGGUGAGAUGAUGUGAAGAAUUGUAAACCUUAUGUUUAUGUUUUGGAAGUUUAAAUGUAAUCAAAUGUAUUAAAGUUGCAUGAAUGUAAUAGUUAAGUAUCUCUCUUUUAUUCACUUGUUUAUUACUCGUGACGCUUGCUCUUGAUUGUUGUGCUCCCGCUGUUGUUGUAUGAUCGUGUAUGUAUUCAAGUGAUUUCCUGAGAACUUGUUGUACAUGAUCUCGUUGUCUAGUCUUGGGCGGACAGGGGAGGUCCUGUCCAUUCGGCGUCUGUUCGACGCGUCGGAACCGGACCAAAUUGGUAGCGGGUCUCGGGGCGUGACAGAGAGAGCUAGGGUUGAGGGAAAGUGAGAAAGAAAGAGAGCCAUCCCCUUUCUUUACCUCCCACUCAUGUAACAAGUGCAAAUAAUCCCCUCAACUUUUAGCUUCACCAACAGCCCAAAAUAGGCAUUUUCGGCUACGGGGACCGGUCCUUGGAGUCAGGGACCGGACCCCCAUGGUCCAGAAUUUUCAGUUUUCGUUGAUUUUGCUCCGUUUUGCUCCGUUUUCGCCCGUUAGGCCUCCGAUUCAUUUCAAAUCGAACCGACUCCAAACACGUUUUCGAGCGUAUUUAAAUCAUCUUUUUACCCAUGCUAAUGCCGGAUUUAGUUCACAGCCCAACAUAGCCUUUCGGGUCCCAUUUUCGUGCCUACGCGCACCGAAACGUCCAAAUGCUUCCGGACUUCACCGGAACUUUACCGGAACAAUUCAAAUGGCUUUCCAAACCAAUACACACCAUAACUUCAUAAUUUUAGAAGUCCGGUACCUUACAUCCUCCCCUCCUAAAAAAAAGUUCGUCCUCGAAACUAACUCACAUCAACCCUAAUUUACAGCUCAACUCAACUUAUCGAGCAACAUAGGGUUCCAAUGCACUUUUAUACUCCGGAGUGGCCUUUCACUCAUUGGAAUCAUUCAAAGGUCCACUACGGAGGAUGUGAGACCAAGUUCACUCACAUUGGCUAAACGCAACUCCAAAAGUGCAUUGCAAUCUCCGCAAGUCUCGGUGGUAGCGUAAGUCGACACUUGAUGACUCUUCACGCUCCAACACCGCUCGCUAACCAGCGCACCAAGGUCAUACCAUUUCCUUCGAGACCAGGACUACCCGUCGUCCUCGUGGCGUGGAUCUAACAAAAUGCACCGACUAGUCGUAUCUUCCACCACCACGACACAACACACCCGAGAAGCCCUCUCGAAUCACUCAAGUGUUCACAAGUUGACACUCCAUCACUCGAUCAUACAAGAGUCUAUACUAUCAGGUACGACUCUUCCUCGCAUCAACUUCUCCCCUUGGGAACGCACCCUGCUUCGAUCACCGACAUUGCCUAAAAGCAAUAUCGUGGUGCAUCGGCUAAUCGCGAAUGUCCCAAUCACAAUCGGAUUUCCGCUCUAUUAUGAGAUGGCACACUCCAGCACAUCUCCAAUUCCUAUCCACAAAAGAGCAUUAUCCUCAAGCUUUAACUCACUCAAGAGCAUCAACUCCAAUCCUCACGUGGCAAUCCAUUAUUCAUGUGUCUCCUAGAGACCACUCUACUUUCUCUUUAUCCGUUGACAUCCUAAGCCACGGCCAUCUCGACUUCGCUCUCACAACGAAUUAACACGAAUACCCGUUCGUGAAUCCCGGCCAAAUUCCUCGACAGAGUUAUCGGCCAAACCGACUACCGCGGGUUCCACAGGUGACCAAUGGUCUCAAAUCCUACGUAACCCUAUAACCUAAACCUAUCUCAACACACGUUUCAUCUUUCGCUCGCAAGCGCAGACCCAAUUAGCAUUAGACGAAAUCCUCAUUGGAGAAUUCGCACACACUCCAACCAGGAGCAACCACGACCCCAAACCACAUCAAGUCCCCGGGUUGGGUCAUAACCACACUCUCUGUAUCCUCGAUCACAUGAUCUAACAUGUGGCAUUCCACGUUCCCGGGUCUAAGCUCGGACUACCGCCCCGACAAAAACUCUGCCCUACCUCAGGCCGCUGUCACCCACAGCUGAUUGCACCUGUCCAUAAGGACCUAGGCUCCACAGUCCACGAGUGGUCCAGGCACGGAUCGUCCCCAAGCAAUACCCGCAAUCGUCGUCUCACACGACACGCUCACCCGAGCAACACACGCCACUACCGGCUCCUAUGCACCCAGUGUGAGCCAUCAGCCCUACGAGUGAUCCAUGGCCCGCUUCACACUUAGCAGUGCUACAGUGCUACUGCCAUCUCACUCUCCCGGCUGAGUCAUUACCACACACCACGAGUACCUAUACUCGAGCGCUCUAUACACCGUAUACUAAGUCCAACAUUAGGCAACCCUGCCUAUGCACACCAGCCAUAAGCACGACUCACCCACCUCACUUCAAGGUACUACCAGGCCCACGUGCCCGUACCCAGCAACUAAUCGGCUACUCUCUCAACAGUAACUCUACUUUCACUGUUCGAUCUACCGGAACAAUGUUCACACACUCGGACUACUCGGGUAUCCACGAGUAUCAUAGCUCAACUCUCGCAAUCUAUUAACCACAUUGCCUUGAGAGUUGCUUCACCAUUUCCUUUCCACUACGAGUCUCACUUCCCGUCUAGAACUCACUGCUAGCAAUUCGCUAGUACCGUCUAGCUCUCUACCUGCUCCAGCAGGCGCUAUACUUUCACGCGCAAGCAUGCCUUACACCUACUCGAUCACUGGUCCAUACUAUACUAACGUGUAAAUAGCAGCAAAAGACCACAAGGUAAUUGCAUGCAAUUGCUCAAACCUAUAUCAUGCUGAAGCGUAUGAUUGCUUUAAUUAAAUCAUACCUACGGUGACAUUACGAGCAGCAGCAGGUUCCUCAACCUGGGUCACGUAUCCAUGGCCGCUUGGCGCUCUCCGCGAACCCUCCAGCUGCCCAAUCAUCACCUCUCGCUCUCCAGACCGUGCCAAAGGCUGCACAUCCACCAUCUAUCCAGAAGAUGAGAAUGCCGUCGCCAUCGGCAGGGGUUGUCUAUCACCCAAGGGGCAAUCAUAUCUCACGUGGCCAGAUUGCUCGCAAGAAAUACACCUUUCCUUUCGCAGCGCACACCGCUGCGUCCUGUGGGAUCCACCACAAAUCACACAUCCCGCAGAUAUGGCAGCAGCAGACGGAACUCCACCAUACUGCCACGGAAUCACUAGGGCGGAUGCAAUAGACGGUGCAGGCGACACUCCUUCUGGGCACUGACGGACCAUAUGCCCCGCCUGACCACACCUAAAGCAUCGUCCUGCCCUAUGCUCACAAUUCCUUACGCGAUGCUCUCCACCACAAAAUACACAUUGCUUAGGUCUCUGGCUAACGGACCUCCUUUUCCGGUACUUCGGGGGCUUCUGGGAACUAAAUUGUCCCCCCGAACUACCGCCAGGCCGUUUCUUUCCUCUGCCUCUCUUGAACGCCUAACGCUCAACGUCAGCGACAUAUCGCGACACCCCGCACGCCCAUGCUCCACACAUCCGUGCUUCGCAUGUGACCCGUACGGCACACGUGUCCUCAACGCUCCUGGCAAGGAAGCCAACAAGCCCCACACCGUGCUUCUCGACCGUCCCCACGACAUCACAUUGCCAUGGCGCACCGCGCCCUCAAUUCCCAUAGGUUCGCCACAUAAGGCCCCAUACAAACGAGCCGGCCUCACUCCGCGUUGCUACCCAUCUGACCCCUCCAUGGCUCGACCACACCUGGCCAUACACACUAAUGGUCUGGUCUCUCAAGGUUCACCAUACGGAUACUGAUACCGCUUGCCUCACUGGGUUUCGCCCCUCUCGAGUCUCCAAGACCUACGCGUCCGACGCUCCCAUUUCACCUCCCCAGCCGCCGCAUUGAGUACCAUAGAACCCGAAGCCGCCAGAGGAACACUAGCCGGCAGGGGAUGCGCCGCCGCCGGAGCUACCAAAAUGCUCACACCGUCAGGCGCAUUAGGCGUGAGAGCCGAGGGCGCGGGCGGACCAUGGCCUUCAAUUGCCGUCGCGGCCGCCGCCGCCACUUGCUGCCCCAAAAGCUCCUGGAGCCGCUCGAUCUGACUCCCCUAGCGUUGAAUCACGCCAACCAGCACAGUCAUAUGCGCCCGCAGUCCUUGCACUUCGCUUGACCCAGCUCGCUCAGGCACCUCGGGAGGUGGUGCCGGAACGGAUCUACGCGUGUAGUGUCUCUUUGGUGCCAUUAGCUCCUGAAACACAACAACUCGGUUAAUUACCUUAACUCGUUAAUCUCGUCGCAAUUAUUAGACAACGCGACUCAAAUCAGGCGAAAGUCAUACAAGGGUGCCUAUUCUCAUCACUAGGUUUCAUGUUGUAUGCAUCCAACAUGAACACCCUCGGGUGAGAAUAAACAGAACCUUGAAUCCACCUCUAACAUCCGUCUUAAAGGUUUACUAACUUGACCCAAUCGAUUCAACUUCCACCACCGUAUAGGUCCACACUCCACUCACGCACCUAUAAGCUUAGGGUUUACCGUCCUAGGGUCUUCUAGGUCCAUCCUAGACUUCUCUCUUUACUUGCUCUUAACCGCUCUGAUACCAUUUCUCUAUCACGCCUCGAGCCCGUUACCUAUUUGGUCCGGUUCGGGCGCGUCGAACAGACGCCGGACGGACAGAACCACCCAUGUUCGCCCAAGGCUCAAGCGACGAGAUCCUAUACAUCAAGUCCCCAGGAAAACAACUUGAAACAUGUACAAGAUUAAACAACCAUACGAGGGUACAAUCAGUGCUAAACAACUAAGAGCAAGUAUCACGAGUAAUGUACAAGUGAAUAAAAGAGAGAUACUAAUCUAUUACUUUCAUUCAACCUUUUUAAUACAACUUGAUUACCAUUUAGCUUCCAAAACAUGAACAUAAAGCUUACAUCUUCCAAAAUAGUCUCACAACCUAUACAUCAUCUACUCUCAAAUAUACAUAUGGAAACUCUAAUGCAAAUAGGAAGCAUCUAUCAACUAGCACUAGGGCGCUAAGCCCUUACCACGAUCCUCAGCUGGCGCACUCGUACUCGGCCCUGCAACAAAGUGGGGUGAGAACUAUUGUCCAUAGUUCCCAGUGGGUUCGGCCGCUAACUCCGCCGAUCUCCCCACUAGGUCUAAGCAGCCAUAGGUAGAUAGAUAGAUAAAUAGAUAGAUAACUUGAAAUCAAUGACAAUGAUAAGGAGAAAUGCAAGUACUCUACCAUGCCUUAAUCCAAUAUAAUGAAUGCAUGCAACUCAUAGCAAAGGCUAGCUACCAUACUACUAUGUUCAACAAUAAAGCUAUUCAUUAGAUCACCCAAUCUCUCGGCUAACCCGAAAGCUCGCUCUCAAUCUCACAUUUUUAAGUCUCAUAGGGGAGGAGUCUCACUGAACUACCCCGAGACCGCCUGCGAACAGCUAGCUACUGUCCGGGCAGCUCACGACUGCCCCUCAGGUGACCAAAACUCCGGAGUGCACAGCUUGUGUGGAGCGACCACUACAAGCGUAGACAGGCUAUGUGAGUAGGAUCCAAUCCUUGUGAACCGGAGAUACCCUACCAACUAGGGAUGGCAUCAUCAUGGAAUCAACGUACUACUAUACUCAUUGGUCUAGUGUUUCAACUACGCUAAGGAACUCAUAUGCCACUCGUCAUAGGUUUGCAUUAACUAGAUGCCACUCAUCAUCAAUUAGAUGUUCUCGAUACACUACUUGCACAUACUCACUAGGUUGUCAUUUACCUAGAUUCCAAUCCACUAUGUGCUAUCACAUAUAGGGUUAAGCUAUGUCACAUUAACCUCAUGCAUACUAGGUUCAAGUGCUACAUCCACCAAACUACAUUAACACUAGCAUGCAAGUAUGGAUACAAGUAUCUAAACACCCUAUAUGUAUCAUGUUCAUAUCACUACAUUUUGAUCUCAUGCAUACUAGGUUCAGGUGUCCAAGCCAAUAACACUAUAUUACACUAGCAUGCAAGAAUAUGUAAUAACAACUAAGCACCUUAAUUGUACACAACUACUAGGUUUUCAUUCAACUAGAGUUUAAUCCACAUUAAUCAUGUUAUUAUGGGGUUUCGCAACACUAUGUCCCAAUCUCAUGCAUACUAGGUACAAGUAUUAAGCAAAUAACACUACACUACCACUAGCAUGCUAUAACAUGUAACAAUUACCAUCUAGCACCCUAUAAUGCAAUAUCACAAUAUGCAACUUGAUAAACGAUAACUUAGACAUAGGGAGCAGUCCAACUGCUUCGAGAUGGCACCACCUACCUCUCUGGUGAUGCAACAAAGUAAAGAAUCCAAAUCUUGCGACCACAAGUCGCCGCUACGACUUCUCGGGUCAACUCUGAGCCACGAACACUUGUUUCAGCCGGAACGUCGCACCUGCUCAACGAAUCGACGAACCAUCGCCUCCCACGCGUUCAAACACCUAUCAAUUAGGUUGAUAUAUGAUCAAUUUAGAUCAAAACCCUCUAUUUGUCAAAACCCCAUUUUUGAAGCCUUAGAUGCCAUUAGUGCUAAAUACCCCAAAUCAAUCCAAGAUUUAGGUAAUAGUGAUUUCAUUAGCAUCCUAGGAUUCCAAAAAUACCACUUCUAGAGAUCAAAAUCCAUGAUCUUCCAAAAACCCAUUUUAAACCCUAGGUUUACAACUAGGCAAGAAUCCACCAUUAGAGCUUCGGAUUCAAGCUCUAAUCAUCUAUCUAGCAUAUUAGAGUUCCACUAAAUCCAUUCUUAAGAGUAUAAAACCCAAACUCUAAAGAGAUGCCAUUAAAGCCUCACAAAGCUUACCUCCAAAGCUUACCCUCAUGGUGGAGAAGAUGAUGAUAAAGAUGGUGAAUCCUCUCUUGGCUUGAAUCUGCACCAAUUCCCCUUCCUUCUUCACCUCCUAGAGAGAGAAAGAGAUCUUAGAGAGAGAAAGAGAGAGCUAGGGUUAAGGGAAAGUGAGAAAGAGAGAGAGAGCCAUCCUCUCUCUUUACCUCCCACUCAUGUAACAAGUGCAAAUAACCCCCUCAACUUUUAGCUUCACCAACAGCCCAAAAUGGGCAUUUUCGGUUACGGAGAUCGGUCCUUGGAGUCAGGGACCGGACCCCCAUGGUCCAAAAAAUUGAAAUUUUCAGCUUUCGUUGAUUUUGCUCCGUUUUCGCCCGUUAGGCCUCCGAUUCGUUUCAAAUCGAACCGAGACCUUCCAAACAUGUUUUCGAGCGUAUUUAAAUCAUCUUUUCACCGACGCUAAUGCUGGAUUUAGUUCACGGCCCAAUAUAGCCUUUCGGGUCCCGUUUCUGCGCCUACGCACACCGAAACGCCCGAAUGCUUCCGGACUUCACCGGAGCUUCACCGAAACAAUUCAAAUGGCUUUCCAAACCAAUACACACCGUAACUUCAUAAUUUUAGAAGUCCAGUACCUUACAUCGGCCUUCUUGUUGCACACCACGUUAUCGACCUGCUGGGCCGAAUUUAUCACACAGCCGACCCUGUCGAUCGGCUCCUCUUGCCGAAGCUCCUCUAAAGCUUCGGUUCCUGAUUCUUCAUGCUCCAUUUUAACCAGCUUGGUGGCUCCUCGGCUGCCACCAUAGCUCCUUCAUCUCUAGAGAGAAUCAAUUGCACUCCCUCUUCAGUAACUCUCACGAAAGAGAUUUGAUCUGGGUCAGCGUCGGCCCAAUUGAUGUGGCCGAUCUCUUCUAAAUUAACGUCCACCAUUUGGGGCCGUUCUUCGGCCUGGAUUUCUUCAACUCUGUCACCUAUCCACUGGAAUAAUUUUUCGUGGAGUGUGGAUGGCACGCACUCAUUUUUGUGUAUCCAAUCGCGUCCGAAUAGUAGGUUGUAAUGGCUAUCUCAUCUAUUACAAAGAAUGCAGUUCUUAAGGUUUUAGAACCUACCGUAAUCUCGGCCGUGAGCACCCCUCGAGCUUGUUGACCGCUUUCGGUGAAAUCGGUCAUAAUUGUGUCGGUUGGCUUCAAUUCGUCCUCGCCCUUGCCUAAUUUCUUGAAAAAUGAAGUGGGCAUGACGUUGACCGUUACUCCACCAUCCACCAUAACUCGGCCUACCGGCCGACCUUCGAUCAAGGCCCGAAUGAACAAAGGCCUCACAAACCUAGUCUGAAUGGCCGAAGGUUUUUCGAAAACCACCGCAUCGGCCGGUUUAACAUCUUCUAAUUGCAAUUGGGCCACCGUAAGCCCAACUUCUUCAUCUACCAUCUCCUCAUUGUACUCAACAUACUCUGCCUUAAAAGACUGCGGCAGAGUAUACACCAUGUUGACAUCGGCUGAUCCUUCGUCAGCCGAUUUUCCUUGAAUCCUCUAUUUCUUUUCUUCGGACUCCUUGGCUGUCUCAGCUGAGGAAUCACUCUCCAUCGGUGCCUCCCUCUCUUUUUGAGGCCAUCUCGCUUUUUUGAUGAUUGUCUCGAGGGAGGCUAUUUUUUCUUCUAACUCCUUCCUAGUCAUCUUCUCCUCUGGUUCGACCGUGACCGGCCGUUCUACCUUUGACUUUAGCCAAGGAACGGGUGAUGAACCACCCGCCUCAUGAUUGUUUUUCAUUAGACGAAAAAGGUGUAGUAGCUCGUUAGGUCGUCUCCACACGUUCAGUCUUAUCCCUUUUGCCUCUUCAUAAUGUUGCCUCUCCUCGGCUUGCAUCCUCUACUGCCGACGCUUCUGUGUUUUUGUUAACAUCGGCCCUUACCAUUUGGCCGAUGAUUUGACUUCGACUUCAUGCCACUGAUCUACCGGCACAUUUGUCGAUACCUUCACAGUUCUCAAAUGAUUCUUCAAGAUCUCUCUCCUUUCCCAAGGUCUCGGCCAGGGCUGUAUGCCAAGCUCAUUUACUAAUCUCCGACCGAGGAAUUCUAUAUCUCCUUCGGUCAUUCCUUCGAAUUCUGGUUCUGGUCUCGGCCUGGCUUGAUGCUGCCAGUGCGGCCGAUACCCAGGGAAUCUUUGCUUUGAGCCGAAUGGUUUCUCUGGAUAACUCCAUCGGUUGUUGCAUUUUUCUUUUCUAUUAUAAUAAUCAAGCAGAACUUUCUGCAUUAAUAAAUCCUUCUUGCGUUGAACAGAAUCAACUUCUGGUUCCGUCUCGUUAGAGGCUUCAUCCGAGCCAUCCUCUGAAUUAUCAUCUCCAUCGGGAAUUUCAUCCUAUUCUUCGGGAAAAGCCGCCAACUCUCUCCAUUCGUUGCUUCUUUUCUUGUCGUUGACGAUAACUUCCCAAUCCUUCUUUGUUAUGCAAGAUGCAAAGCCGAAGCGUCUUCUUGACGAAAGCAAUGUUCUCAGCGGUCUUCUUGUCUGCGACCGCCUUUCCUUUGAUAUCCACCAUAUUUACCUGCGAAGGAAAUGUAUUCUUGUCAAUUUCCAUAGCUUUGUUUUCAUGAUCGGCAAAUAUGAGCCGACCUUCCUCUAUUUCUUCUCGGAUCUGUCUUUUUGCAGCCGCUUUUCCUUUUCCUACCAUAUUGACCUGUGAUGGAAAAGGAUUCUUAUCAAUCUCCAUAAUUUUAUUUUUUUGAUCGGCAAAUAUGAGCUGACCUUCAUUUAUUUCUUUUUGGAUUUGCCUCUUAAAGGCAGUACAUUCGUUUGUUUAUGACUCCAGGAAUGGUGCCAUUUACAAUAUCUUCUUUGUUUCAAUUCUUCUACUGGAGGUAUUGUUUGACCUUCCUGUAAUUGAAUCCCUCCGUCUUUUAGAAAUCGAUCAAAAAUUAGAUCGUUCUUUGAGACAUCAAACGAAUAAGUAUAUGCCAACACUCGUGCCUUCGCCUCACUUGAUUUAGCGCGCUUCAACAAAGCACAUUUAUAUGGCUGUCGGUUUUUCACCAUUUCGGCUGUAUAUAUUUCGGCUUCAUCAGCCGAAUUUUCAACCUCUUCAGAUGAAUUUGGCUCCUCAUGAGCCGAAGACUCUUCAAGGAAAGAGAUAUUUUUCUCCUUCCCUUUGUUCCAAUCUUUAUUUCGGCUCCAUCUAGGCUGAUCUUCAUUAUUUCCUUUUCGGAAUUGCUCGUAUUGAGCAACCCGAAUUCCCAAAUCGAAAAUAUUUGGAAAAUAUUUAUCUUCAAAAUGAUCUUUGAUUUUGAAGUGCAAACCAUUAAAUGCCAUUUUGGCAAAUUCCGACUCUGGCAUUCUCACAAAACAACGGCUUCUAGCCGUCUUAAACCUAUUCAAAUACUUCUCAACCGAUUCGCCUGUUCUCUGUUUGAACUGGGCUAAAUCAGCAACCGAUAAUUCCGGUUCCGUUCAAUAAAAUUGUUCAUGAAAUUUACCUUCUAAUUCGCCCCAAUGUCGGACAAAAUUAGCCGGCAAACUUGUAUAUCAAGUGAAAGCCGUUUUGGUCAACGAGGUAUUGAAUAAUCUUAAUUUUAAAUUGGAUCUGCCGCGGCUUCAUGGCACUGAGCUGUAAACCGUGCGACAUGUUCGACCGUAUUUUCGGUCUCAUCGCCGAAAAACUUAUCAAACUUCGGCAUUUUCCAAUUUGCCGAGUAUGGAUGCUCUGCGUCUAUUUUUGCAGGGUAUGGUGAUCGAAAUACGGGCCGCAUUGCCGGCCUUGCGCCUACUCUAAAAGUGUUUCGGAUAGCUUCCUCUGUAACAUACCGAAACCUCGGUAAUUAAAUUUGAACCUUGGUCAAAUUGACCAAAGUGCGAGGUUGGUACACUUCGGAGAGGCCGAAGGCGUCAAAUAAUGCAAAAAUGCAUUACUGGUGUAAGGUACCGGACUUCUAAAACUAUGAAGUUACGGUGUACAUUUAAAUGAUUCCGGUGAGGUUGCGGUGGAAUGUAACAUGCCGGAUUUUAAGUAUAAAGGUGAAAAUAAAUAAAAAUAGUAUGAGAUACUAUUUUAUUGGGUUUGGAGAAGUGAAAUAUAGAUUGGAAAUGACCUGUGCUGAAAUCGAAGCGAAAAUAGAAGAUUUAGAAUUUUCUGUCAGAAACGGGGCAGAUAAAUUAGCAGAAAAUGUACAGUGUCAGAAAAUUAUGAAAACUGGAGGAUAUGUCAGAAUAAUUUUUAUGAGGCUAGGUUUAAAGUUUCAUAACAUU
rnacentral:lncRNA from 1 species